rnacentral:lncRNA from 1 species
AUCACCGGCCUUCACAGACUAUCCUCCACAGACCCGAACCAGGCCCUCCAGAUCCACCGAUAACACAACCCCUCUGCUCUUUCAGCUGCCCCCUUCUCUGCUAAACCGAGACCCAGCUUUCUCUCCUUCACUCAGCCACCUCUGCCUCUCUGUAAUUCGUCCAUAGAUGCCAUUUCAAAUCAACCCCUUGUUUCCUUGUUUUUCUCAGCCGUUUCCAGCACUGUUCCUGAGUCUAUUUUGUAAUUUGUAGAUUUUGAAAUGUGUAUUUAAAUUAUUGUAAGCAAUUUUAAUUUUUGUUACAUUGGAAACUUGAAACUGGGAGUGGGUGAGUAAAUUAGAAUGUUUGGUUGGGAGUGUGUGUUUGUGGGUAUUUUCUUUUAUGUUUUUUGAAUGUUAAAAAACAAAAAGAAUUAAAUAUAUAUUUUUUAAUUUGCAUAUGAUAAAAUCGUAUCCAUUUGACAUGAAAUUUCAAGAAUAUAUUUUGGUAUGUAACUAGUUUUAUAUUUUUAUUACUUAAAGCCUUGAUAAUUAUUUAUGUGAUUUUCGAGUGUGAGCUUUAAAGAAAAGCAAAGGAAGGAAAAACUCACAGGUAUCUUAUUCCCGUCAUACUUGCAUUUUUUGGGAAAGGGAAACCGGCCGAGCUUCUUACAUCACUAACCACCCUGGAAGAAAAACCAUCCAGAAUAAAAACAUGCAUUUAUUUCAACCCGGUUAAAUUAAAUUAUAGAGCACUUACAAGUAUCGAAGAUUUGACAAGUUAAAAAGAAGUUCAAGAGGCAGCUCUCCUUCAAAAUCAUUCCCGGAGAGGAACCUGUCAUCAGUACACAAAAACACAAAUCAUUGAAUGAUAUUCUUCGAUCAUCGACAGUUUCUCAAUCAAAUAAUAUUACAGAAAGUACAAGUAAUUUCUUACAGGUAAUUGAGUCCAGUCCAAUUCGCAAUGAACCUUGGUACUUGACCCGUCAAACGGUUCCCAGCUACGCUACUGCAGCCAUAGUUAGUUGCUUUUCCUUGGAACAAUAAUUAAACAGAUUGUUGGUUGAAAGAAUAUGAUGAGUUGCACUUACAACCACCCCAAUUGAUCCGAAGUAAAGUUGGCGUAAUUUCGCGGCAGUUCUCCACUCAAAUUGUUGGAGCUCAACCCUCUACAACAACAAAUCAAAAGGAUUGUAAUCCACCCUUUUUCUAUUUUAUUUCUCCUAUUACAAUCAAAAGUUGACAUUAUUAUUCUUCUUUUUGAAACUUACAAAUAACUAAGAUAUCCCAAUCUUCCAAGUUCUGAUGGAAGCUGACCACUGAGUUCAUUGAAGCCCAAGUCCCUAAUUAAAUAAGAGAUAUGAACCAAACCAAACUCAAAAAGUUAAGAGGAGAAUGAAAGAGUGAGUGAGUGAGUUUCUAUGCAUAUGUAGGAGAUUAGAGAGGUUGCCCAAUUCUUUAGGGAUAAGAGCACAAAACUUGCAUAAGCAAUGGAAAAAGAAUUUAAUUAACAUUAUAUGAUACUGAAAAGACUGUGAUUACAUGAUACUUACAGAACAUAGAGGGACGUCAAAUUCCCUAAAAAUCGAGGUAUGGAGCCAAUGAGGAAGUUACCGGAGAGAUCGCUAUGCAUAUGUAUUACCAUAUUAGUUCAUUAUUGCUAAAAAAUAAAAAUUCGCGUUCUAAAAUAAGAACCAAUAAUUUAAAUUUUAAGAAGACACACUAAGAACUGAAAUUAGUUAUUAAAUAUGAUCCAAAAGCUAAGUAGCUCUUUGCUUAUAACCCUGCAGACAACCCAACAAGCAUCAACACAGUUAAGCAAUUAGUGAAACAAGGCUUUUAUCCUAAUUAAAUAAAAAAAGAGAGAACCAAACAGAACUCAGAAGUCAACUUUUGUGACCAUUAACACCUUGCCAUGAACAUUUAUAGUAUCAAGACCCCAAACAGCUUGCCUUUUUUUUUUUCAUUUCUAACAAAGCUAAUUUUACUUGAAAAUGUUUCACCAAAAAUACUAUUAAAAAAUCGUAAUUAUUACAAGUUUAAUCUAUCAAUUGUAUAUUCAGUAACUUCUUCUUAUAAUGAAGCAAAUUUGGGUUCUUAACUCAAAUUUUCACCAUUAUAAUAUAAUUAUAUAGUCCUAACACAACUUCUCCGAAUGAAAAUGAAAUUUUAACUAUUGGGUUUUUGGAACUUAUCGAUGGAAUCUAAGUAUUUAAUGGAAUAUAAUUUAAAAGAAGUGAUUUUAGAGGGAAAAAAAUGUUAGAUAUAUAUAUAUAUAUAUUCUGACAACGCAUGCUGAGACUAUAUUUUCACAGAAGAUAUAUGUUAAUUGUAUGCUCUUUUUUUUUACCAUUAUAUAUUGUUUUUUAAAAUAACAGCAAUGGUAUAAAAUCAACCCCAAAUAUCCAAGAUGUUCUCCUAUAAUUCAUAUAAAAAUGGAUGUUCUUCGAUGCCCAAGUCGAACUUUUUGGUUAGUGCCAAUUUUUUUUUUAAGAAAUUCUUGAUUAUGGAUAGUUUGCUUUUAACUAUAUUAGAAAUAAUAGAUUUAGUCUUAAUUAAAGCAUGAAAUCUAAAUAGAAAAAACAUAAUAAUCUAUAAAAAUUGGACAUGGGAUGUUUAUGAAAAAAAGUCAAUAUUAAUAAAAUACAUAUAAACGCCCACAAGAAUAAGAGCACAAAACUUGCAUCAGCAAUGAAAAAAAAUUUAAUUCACAUUAUAUAAUACUGAAAAGACUGUGAUUGGAUGAUACUUACAGAUAUCCGAGGGACGACGUCAAACUCUCCAAAAAUGAAGGAAUGGAGCCAUUGAGGAAGUUAUCAGAGAGAUCGCUAUGCAUAUGUAUUACCAUAUAAGUUUAUAUAUUAUUACUCAAAAGAUAAUAUAUUUAAUGCAUGCUGAGACUAAAUUAAUUUUCAUAGAAGUUAGUAAUUGUAUGCUUUUUUUCUUACCAUUAUAUAUUAUUUUUUAAAAGAACAACAAUGGUAUAAAAUCAACCCCAAAUAUCCAAGAUGUUCUCCUAUAAUUCAUAUAAAAAUGGAUGUUCUUCGAUACCCAAGUCGAACUUUAUGGUUAGUGCCAAUUUUUUCUUUUAAAUCUUGAAUUCUUGAUUAUGGAUAGUUUGCUUUUAACUAUAUUAGAAAUAUUAGAUUUAGUCUUAAUUAAAGCAUGAAAUCUAAAUACUUGAUUAGGAAAAACAUAAUAAUCUAUAAAAAUUGGACAUGGGAUUUUUCAGAAAAAAAGCCAAAAUUAAUAAAAUACCUAUAAACACCCACAAGAAUAAGAGCACAAAACUUGUAUCAAUAAUCAAAAAAGAAUUUAAUUCACAUUAUAUGAUAUUGAAAAGAUUGUGAUUGGAUAACACUUACAGAGAUUCGAGAGAUGACAAACUUCCCAAAGAUAAAGGUAUGGAGCCAUUGAGGAAAUUAUCGGAAAGAUCGCUAUGCAUAUGUAUUACCAUAUAAGUUCAUUAUUACUCGAAAGAUAAAAAUUCACAUCCUAAAAUAAGAACCAUUAAUUUAAAUUUUAAGAAGACACACUAAGAACUGAAAUUAGUUAUUAUAUAUAAUAAAAAAGCCAAGCAGCUCUUUGCUCAUAAUAAUGCAGUCACCCAAACAAGCCUCAACAUGGUUAAGCAAUUAAAAAAUAAAACUCGGAAGGGGGAAAACAUCCACAAUAAAUUAAUGGAAAAAGAAAAAAAGAUUACAAAUAUGAAAUGUUGAAAAUCAAUACAGAUUUCUUUACUAGCUCCCUUGUUUUUAGAAGGCACUUAUUUUAUUUAUAUUUUUUACUAUUUCAAACCGACAUCUAAAUUAUACUUGUAAAUAUCUUUUCUCUUUAAUGAAACAGUAAAAAAAACUCAUACUCCUAUUUAAUUUAACAUAUCUACAUUUAUUAAUAUUAAAUAUUAAACAUUAAAAGACUAUAAAAUUAUUUGAGAUAAUUAUAUUCGUAAAAUUAACAUUGAUUUUCCUAUAUUCGUGAAUACUUGUCAAUUUACAAAAUAUAAAUAUAAUUUUUUUAAAAUAAAUUCAACCAUCAUUAAUAUAUAUGUGUAAUAUAUAUAUAUAUAUAUAUAUAUAUAUGGUUACCCAAUAGUAGAUAAAGUAUAAUGCAUAGUCUGUUUUAGAAAUUGAUAACUUAUCCAUUUAGUCACUUUUAGCACUGGAAAAUAAUAGUAAGAACGUAUUUAACGAACAUUGGCAACAAAAUAAACUGCAGUAGUAGUAUAUGACCAUGGUAUUGGAUCACUUACAGAGAGGUGAGUGAAGACAAGUUCCCCAUGGUGACGUCAGGGAUGCUACCAUAAAGUUGAUUGUGGGACAAAUCACUGUUUUGGUAAUAGGAUUGUUAUCAAUUAGUUGAGGUCAGCAUACUGAUUCGAAUGAUUAUCAUCACAUGUCAUAUGAUACUCACAUUUCUUUUAGGAAAUUGAGACUAGCCAAGGCUGUAGCGUUGAUUUGUCCGUCUAAUUCGCGGUUUGAGAGAUCUCUACCUCCCAAAAAUGGCGUCAACAUAGCAACCAGUGAGUUUUAAAGAGGAUGCAUUGCCUUACAAAGAUAAAAAAAAUUGGAUGAAGUUGAUGAGGAACUUACAGGCCGGUGACGUGACAAACUGCGUUGUUCUCAUAACUGCAAUUGCAUUCGAUGCCUCGAUAAUUAUUGUCACAAGGCGAGCUUAGCAGCAAACCCCAGCCUAACGUGAUCAUCAAGUCAUCCAAAGCCGUUUCUGCCAAACGUUUUAAACAAAGAAACACAUAUUUUGUUUAGCAAGAUUCAAACAGGCCUAGCUAUUUCUACCUAGCUUCAAAUCCGAACUAAGAGAAGAAAAAAACGAGUGCUAAUUUUAUGGAUGUGUGAAUUGACUCCAUAUAAUUCCAUGUUGAAAAUCCAUCUAGAUUUCCUUACCACCUCCCUUGUUUAUAAAAUCCUCGUAAAAAUCACUUCAUCCUUAACCAAUCACUUCGCUUGAUAGUUAUAGGAAAAGAUGGAGAAGCAGGAAAUAUCUAAGAUAUGCAGUACGUAGGCUAGCACUACGGAACUCUCUGCCAGGCUGUGGAAGCACUAGCUAGAGAGUGCAAAUGGAAGAGAGAAAUAGCAGUAUCUUGUGCACAAGGCUUUUCGUUGUUUGGGUCACAAAGAUUAAGACCCUUCCUUCCAACUCAAGAUCAGUUUCUUGCAAACAUGAGUGAGUUUAUAGUCUAAACAGUUAAUUGAGUUUAUAUUCUUGAAAACAAAUUUUCUUCCUUCUUUUGUAUAUAGCAGGAAAAGGAUAUAUAUGUAGAUGGAAAAGUAUAUCGUGCGUGUGUACCUUCAUCGUCAGGCAACAGCGGGCUUUCAGAGGAAUUUGUUGAUUGACAAACUACAUAGCGAAAUUGACGAAGAAGAAGAAGAACGGCAAGAGAGGAAACAAGCUUAGGAAAGAGCUUAUUAAGAUAAAGUUUAGCCAUUACUUUAGCAUGCAAUGCGCUUCCCUUGAGAUGACAUACAUUCUUUAUAUAGAUAUUGUUUUACCGUUCAAACAGUUAUUAACUCUGAAUCAAUUACCUCACGUUACCAAAUUGUCCCUAUCCAAAUAUCAAAAUACCCGAGAAAAGUAACUUGCAAUAUUAUGCAUGGAGGCCUAACAAUUUUGGCUCAAGUAAAUUGCAAAAUGAUUCCAAAGCAGCAUCUUUUUAAAUUGAUUAUCUCGUAGUUUUUAAAACGGUGUAAAAUUUGCAUAUUUGAAUUCAAUUCAAUGUCUGAGAUUUGUAUUCAUUCAUGCAUAAUUAAUGGGUAGUAAUUAAUCAAAUAUAUAAUAUAUAAUUAUGAGUUAUUAUGCAUUAUUAAUCCAACACUAUUUUUGUAUCUAGUAUCCUCUCCCGAGUAAUGUGAGCUUGUGUUUUAUGUCUUUUAUCUCACAAUUCAUAGAAAAAUAUCCAUCACACUUUUUUUAUAUCUAUAUAAUAAUGGAGAGAAUUAUAUAUAAAGCAGCCCUUCUUCCACUUUGGACCACAAGUUGUCACUGAGGCCGCACAGAAGCCCACAAAAUUGUUUAACAAAAUAUGAGAGAAACAAAAACAAAAACUGUUUGCAUGGUUUGCUUCACACAAAAACAAAAUAUGAGAGAAAAUCACAGGACACAGCUUGCUUUUCUGAGAUUUACUUUAAAUAUAGCAAUUAAAAGUACCGCAGAUAUAGUGGUGUAGCCAUAAUAUUUUAAAUGAGGGAUAAAUUACUUAUAAAUAUUCAAUAUUAUAUAUUAUAUAGAUAUAUGUUAUAUAAAGAAAUCUACUAAUUAAUUUAAAAUUUGUAAAAUAAAAAAACUUACAUUAUAAUUGUUCUCUUCGAGAUUUUAUAUUUUAAAACUGCUUCAUAAUAAUUUUAUUUUUAAUCUCAUUAAAAAUAUAUUUCUCAAUAUAUACAACAAACUUUUAUUUAUUUAUUUCUAAAUCUUUCAAGGAUUACGGAAGUUCUUGGUAAUAAUUCUAUGCUGAUAUAUGAUUUAUAACAUCUAAAAUUAUAGCUUAAAAGGAUUGUCAUAAAUUGAUAUUGUUCUUAUUGACUUGUUUUGUACAAAUUUAUUAAAAAUAAAUAUUAAAUGUUUUCUUUUUAAUUUAUCUAUUAUCUUUCUAAUUUUUUUAGCUGUCUUUUACUUCACUUUUAAUCAUUAGUAAAUUCGUCAUUUUUAUUUUUAACAUAAAAUUUAUAGCAAAAUAAUUAUCAAUUCAUCAAAAUUUAUUUUAAUUCAUAUUCAUUAGCAUAUAAUAUUAUUCAUACUUAUAUUAAUUCAACAAAUAUAUAAAUUAUUAUAAACUCUAAUAUUUUUAAUAACUAAUUAGUAUAGAAAAAAGAAACUAACAAGUAGUUAAUAAAGAAAAUUAUUUUGAAAUAAAAUAAAAUAAAGGAUCAAUUACGUACCUUCUCUUGCACUCAUGUGCUCCGCCACUGCGUAGAUAUUUGUUUAAGGUAUAUUGUGCUCCAAUCUUAAUUAGUUUAUAAAAACUACAAACAAUAAUGAAUGGGUAUCAGCAUACAAAACCUUUUAUCUUAUUUAAUUUAUCCCUGUAUAUAUAUACCCGAUUUGUCCAAACUCAAGCAUAUAAACCAUAAAAAAAAACAUAUCCAAAAUAAGUUCACAUCUUAAAUAGGUUUAAUUUAGAAGGACUAAAUUAAGUAAAUAUUGUUCAUAAAUCCUAUUUUGACGCAAACCAAUCUUAAUUCCAAUAAAGCCCAUUUAAAUGGUAGAGUUUUCACAUAAUUUUACUAAGAUUUCUACUAUUAAAUGGUAGAGUUUUCACAUAAUCCUACUAAGAUGGAAUACAAAGAGUCAUAUGCUGCGAAAAGAAAAGAAAAAAAAUCAAGAAAAGAAAGCUUGUCUUGAUAAUUAUAAUACAUAGUUAGGUUUAAAGUUGAUGAGAUAUCUAUUGUUAACUAAUAUUUUUUGAGUUUUAAAAUAGUUAGGUUUUAAUUUGAUAAGAUAUUUAUUGCUGACUAAUUUCUCCUUUAUACAUUGCUAUUAUCAAAGAAUCACUAGAAACUUAAAAGCUUAAAGUUUUAAUUAUUACGUACUAGAACAUCUUUUCAAGUGAACAUUUAUCAUUAUAUAUUUUGUUUUAUAUUAAUAUGUUUUUUGUAGAAUUGAAUUUUUUUUUACAUUGAUAAAAGAAUUAUAAUGUAAAUGAUUGGAUUCACGGAAUCUGAAGUAAAAAUGCAUCUUUUAAAAUUGAUGGUGAAGUCUUUGUUCGUGUUCAGCAUCAAUUUUUUGCCUCGUCAAGCAGAGAAAGAUUAAUAAAGCUAAAGCAUAUCAGUACGAAUACCGCAAGUUGAUCAUAGAUAUCUCUACAUUUCUUGGGUCCAAUAUGUGAACCUUGAGAAGUAAUAAAGACUUGACAUGGUUUUCUAUAAUAGGUUAAGCCUCUUAAUUAUUUUUAAUUUUUUCUAUGCCCAUCCAACGGCUCUCCCAAAUUGCUUGAUACAUCAUAAAAUGACUUGAUUUUGUAAUGUAUAUGAUUGAACCCAUGCAAUCUAAACAUUGAAAAGUAAAAAAGAAUCUUUAAAAUUUGGUCAAGUCUUUGUUCGUGUUCAGUAUCAAUAUUGGACCCACGGAAUGUGAUCCUUGAGAAGUAAUAAGGUCAAAAUAAAUAAAUAAAUAAAUAAAGACUUGACAUGGUUUGCUGUCUUUUCUAUGCCCCGCUAACGGCUCUGCUAAAUGAAUUGAUUUUUUGACAUUAUCAGAAAAAUAAUAAUCAACAUGAUCGAACCCAUGGAAUCUGAACAUUGAGAAGUAAGAAAUAAUGCAUCUUUAAUAUUUAUGGUCAAGUCUUUGUUCAUGUAAUUCAGCAUCUUUUGUUUUCCAUAUUAUGUGGAUCAAAAUUGCAUUGUCAAGCAGAGAACAAAUAAUAAAGCUAAAGCACCACCACAAGUUGAUAGAUUACUUUUUUUUAUAGGUACUCUACCAAGGUAUUGUUUAAACUAUAUUUUAUUUCAAAAUAAAUAAAGUAUAUAGCCUUCUGCGCUUGUAAUUGCUAAACCAUUUUGUAUUCAGAAUAUAUUAUUUAUGCUAUUCUCCCAUGAAAAGUUUUGGCUGUGAUAUUCAUACACCAAUUGCUGGCUCAAUUUCAUACACCAUGGAAGACUUGGUUGAUAUGGUCGAUGACGUGGACACCUAUGGUGAUGGGGAAGAAGACGUUGCGGAUGAUGAGGACCUUUGGGGACUGCAGCAACGGGUUGGAAAAAUCAGAUCUGGCAAAGGAUGGAGACAAUUAUCACGUAUUGAUAUUCAAAUACUCGAAAAACAAAUUAGGUGGUGUGCUGCCUCAAUCAGAAGAUUUGAAUAACUUUCAUAAUAAUUUUUUAAUAUCAUGAAUUAAUUAUUUGAAUUUGAUUAGUUACUAAGUGGUGCAUAAAUAAUGUUUUUAAAAUGCUAAAAUCAUAUUUAGAUUAGUCCAACGAUUUAGAAAGGUUUAUUCACCUUAAUUUACAUUAAAAUUUAUCUUCAUUUUUAUUAUUAUUUUAAAGUAUUAUAAGUUUUAUCAAUUUUAAUUCACAUCAAGAAAAUAUAAUUUUUAAUUAAAACAAGAUUCUAAUAAUAUUUUAUUAAUUAAACAUGAUUCUUUUUAUAUAUAUUAAUUUUCGAUGCUUAACCUUUAGCCUAUGCAUGUUUGUAUAACAUCAUAAUUUAAAUAAUCUUUAAAAAUUAAAUAAGUGAAUAAGCUUUCAUGUAUGCAUUUUUUCUCAGUGCAAACAUGAUUUUUUACCAUAAGAAACUCAGCCAGUAUAAUUAAUUAGAAGAGAGAAAUUCUCCAUCUAAUAAAAAGAAUGAACUUACGCCUUCGACCACAUUUUUUCCUCCGCAUCUCAUCACAGAGAUUUGUUAGACAUGCUUCAAGAAUAUCACUCUUAUUGCAGAAAAUUAUGGUACCACAUACCUAGUCGGGUGUCUGAAAAGCACCAAGAUCAUGAAAUUAAACCAAGAAAAUAUAUAAAUAUCAAUGAGAAAUAUUCAGGAGUGAUUUAUUAAAGUCAAUAAAUUUGUCAAAAAGAAAGCUAGCAAAAUGGAUAGGAGUUUGGUCCGUCCCUUACAUGUUUACAUACUGCAUCCCAAGUGUGGCACCCCCAAAAAAAAAAAAAAAAACAAAAGUUUGUUUUUGCGACAUUCGACUGGCGAUUUUCGUUUUGUUCUGUUUUGCUGAUUUGGUUCUUUGGAGUUGCCACCUAGUAUUUUGAUCACUAGGAACCCUAACUGGUCUUUCAGAGGUUCUAAGGUAAGGGACUGGUUGCGUAAAGGGAAGGUAUUAGCACCCCUAGUACGCCCUACCUAAGGUAAGCUGCUUGGUGUUUGGUUUGCCUUAUAAUUGCUAUGGUGUUGGUAUUUUUUUAGGCUCGUCAAUUGAUUUUGGAUAGAAAUCUAAGGAGAUUCCAUGUGCUUUAAAAGCUCAUUUUUCCCUUAGUAUUUCAAAAGUUUACGACUCAUAAAUCGUGGGAUAAUAAAAAAAAAUUAAAUUUUGAAAUGUCCUCGAUUAUAAUCAAGGCUUCUUUCAAGAAUGUGUGCGGAUUUAUUACUCCCAAUAAUAUUUUGGAUAUUCAUCCUUUUAAGGAUUUCUUUAUCCAAACAUUAGCGGUAAAUAAUAAAUAAAUUCCUUUUCCAAAAAUAAGAUUUUUAUAGUUUUUUGAAUAUUGGCCAAUACCCUUUGGAAUUUUACAAACACGUUGUAAAAUCCAGAAAUGCAAGAAAAUAAUUUGUGUUUAAGAAAUUUAUGCGAAAACACACUUUCGAAGCUUCCAAUAUAUUUGUUUUAUAAAAAAAAAGAAUAUUCAAAACAUGUUAGAGUAUUGGCCGUAUGCAACACGCAAGAAAAUAUAUAUUUUUUAAAACAAUAUUUUUUUUUGACGAAAUCGGGUAUUUUUAAUACUGAAUUUGUAUCUCCACAGCAUAAAAAUACAAACUAAUAUUAAGUCAUUAAAAAGAUGUACGAAAAAAAUCAACAAUAUUUUUAAGGAAUUUUUAGAAUUUUUUGAAAGCAAAAAAAAAAUUUAUCUUUGAAAAUUUUGGGUGCCACGACGAAAAUCAGAUAUUUUAAAUACUGAAUUUAUACCUCCACAGUAUAUAAAAAAAAUACAAACCCCCUUAGAAAUAUAUAUAUAUAUAUAUAUAUAUAUAUAUAUAUAUAUAUAUAUAUAUAUAUGAAAGGAAAAUAACAACAUUUUUUUUUAGAUUUUUUAUAAAUAUUAUAUAUAUAUAACAUAUACACACAUAUAUAUAAUAUAAUAAUAUAAUAUAAUUAUAUAUUAAUUAUUAAGGGGGCUGGGCCGGCCCAACUAACUGGGCCGGGCUCAGCCCCACAAGUCAUUGGGCCGGGAUCGGCCCAAGAAAGUGACUGGGCCGAUCUCGGCCCAAGAAAGGUAACUGGGCCGAUUCGGCCUAAGAAAAAUAACUGGGCCGAUUCCGGCCCAAUAAAAAAUAACUGGGCUGAUUCCGGCCCAAGAAAAAAUAACUUGGUCUGGGCCGGACCCGACCCAGACCACCGGGUUGGGCCAGAAUCCUUCUGGCCCAUAUACAUGUUUCUGGGCCAGAACCCGUCUGGCCCAGAAGAGGAAACAGAACGGGGGGGGGGGAAUUAAUUCCCCCCCCGUCCCCUGCAUGCAGAACAAUUCUGCAUGCAGGGGACGAAACCUAACAGAAGAAAGAAAACAAAAUGCAGGGGAGAGAGAGCGUACCUGGCGAGGCUGGAGACGGUGGUUGGCUGACGGGGCUAUGGUGGCGUGGCUCGUGGAUGGCGGUUCCGGGCGGCGUUGCUGCCGUUUCCAACAGUGGCGAAAAAUUCUUCUUCCUCCCUUCUCCUUCGGUUUUUUUUCGUUCUCAGUUGCUGUUUGUUCUCGGUUUGGUUUUGGUUUUUUUGGUUUCGGUUUCCUUCUUCUCGGUUUGUUUCUGUUCUUCUCUCUCUCUUCUGGUCGCUCUCUCUCUCUUUCUCUCCUUGGGUCUCUCGGGUUUUUCUUCUUUUUUUUUUUUUUCUCUUCGGUUUUCUUCUAUAUUUAUAGGGGCAGAACGGGUGGGGGACCAUGGUUAGUGCGCCUUCAAUCACGCAUGGCUGGUCGGUUCUUUCGGUGGUGGUGGUGGGGGCGAGGAGAGAGACGCGAGAGGUUUUUUUCUUUCGUCUUCUGUUCUGCUAAAACGGGGGGAAGGAGGAAGAUGAACAGUGUCGUUCAAAACGACACCGUUCUGAUCUUCCUCCUUUUUUUUUUUUUUUUUUUAUAUAUAUGAAACGGCGUCGUUUUGGGUAAAACGCGCCGUUUCAUUUAAAUGGCUAAACUUCAAAUCAGUCCUUCAAAUUCGGUCCCCGCCCCUCUUGUUGGCCGCCUUUUUUACUUUGGUCCUUGGUCUCUGAGUUAUGCAAUUGAGCCCCUAAUUGAUCAAUAAACUUCCAAUUUCUUCAAUUAAGCCCCUGAAACAAUUCCAAACAGCCCCCUCUAUCUUUGCGCCUUCUCCAAAUUGGUCCCUGGUUUCGGAUUUUCAUAAUUAAGUCCCUAAUUGGCCCUUAAACUUCAAUAUUUAUGCAAUUGAGCCCCUGUUUUGACCCAAUAAAUUCCUAAAAAAUAUAUUUUGGCCCCAGAACUUAAAUUUCUCCAAAUUAAAGCCCAAAUUGACUUAAAAAUCAAUUUUUCUUGGAAUCAAAUCUUCUAUAAAUUCAAAUAAAAAUCCAAUUAAAUCCAUAAAAAUCCAAUUAAGUCCAUAAAAAUCCAAUUAAGUCCAUAAACAUCCAAAUUUGGGCUUUUCUCCUCAAAAUUCCAAUUUUCCUUCUCAAUAGGGCUUUCAUCCUUCAAGAAUAUACUGUCAAAAAUUUAAUCCUUGUAUUUUUAAAUUCCUUGACCAAUUUUCUGACUGUUUUCCGAGCGCUUCUGCCUCCUGUUAUUUUUCUAACCUCUUUUGGCUAUUUAUUUUAUUUUUCAUGGGGACCCAAAAAUGGGUUACAACAGAUGCCCCCUCUUUAUAAUACUUACGGAGCAUGGGUUUUGCGCAGUAAGUGUUAUAAAGAUAAACCCAAAACGGAACUCCCGAAACUGAUCUGGUCGAAGCUUGAUUGAUCUGAAACUUUGUCCUUUAUAACAAUCCUCCUUAGCUCCAAAAAUCAUGAUCGAAACUUAGUCAUCUCGAGAUCUUUAUCCAGCGAUCCUCUGAAUUCUUAUUUUAGUUUGAUCAACAUGGAAAUCCAUCCGAGAUCCCAUCUAGUGAUCUCCUUUAACCUGGAAUCCCAUCUGGCGAUUCCUUUACUCAUAACCAAUACAAAAAAUGCGUGUGUGGCUCAUUAUGAUGGGUGACCUACCCGAAAAAAGGAAAGAGUGGUCUCAUUCUUUGGGUGACCUACCCAGAAAAAAAAAUGAGAAGGUCUCAUUCUUAUGGUGACCUACCCAGAAAAUAUGGUCCAUUGUGAUGGGUGACCUACCCAGAAAAAGGAAGAGUGGUCUCAUUCUUUGGGUGACCUACCCAGGGGAAGGAAUGGCCAUUCUUAUGGGUGACCUACCCAGAAAAAAAAAAUGGAGAAUGGUCUCAUUCUUAUGGGUGACCUACCCAGAAAAUAUGGUCUCAUUGUGAUGGGUGACCUACCCAGAAAAAAGGAAGAGUGGUCUCAUUCUUUGGGUGACCUACCCAGGGAAGGAAUGGCCUCAUUCUUAUGGGUGACCUACCCAGAAAAAAAAAAUGGAGAAUGGUCUCAUUCUUAUGGGUGACCUACCCAGAAAAUAUGGUCUCAUUGUGAUGGGUGACCUACCCAGAAAAAAAAUGGAAGUGGUCUCAUUAUGGGUGACCUACCCAGAAAAAAUGUGAUGAGUCUCUUGUGAUGGGCGACCUACCCAAAAAAAAAUAUGAAGUGCGUCUCAUUGUAAUGGGUGACCUACCCAGAAAAAUGUUGGUGAGGGCUCAAAGGCACUCGAAAAGAGGUAGGGUUUAGAAAACGCACUACCCGAGAAGUGAGGGCUCAAACGGCGCAUUCGAAAAGAGGUAGGGUUAGAAAACGCACUACCCAAAAAGUGAGGGCUCAAACAGCGCACUCGAAAAGAGGUAGGGUUAGAAAACGCACUACCCAAAAAGUGAGGGCUCAUACAGCGCACUCGAAAAGAGAUAGGGUUAGAAAACGCACUACCUGAGAAAUGGUGAUGAAAUCCCGAUCUGACAAAUGUUGAAAGCAAUAUAUUAUGGUUAAUAUGCAUGUAUGUUUUUGUUACCUAUCUUGGAAACAUAGGUCCCCCUUUCGUCGUAAACCUCUUUGCUCUUGUUUCAAGCUUUUCUCAUGAACCGAAAUAUCCUUCAUGUCCUUUUAGUGAAGAGAUCUUUGGUUCCUUAUGGGGCCCUUUCUUGCUCCAUUGAGUUUUGCGCCAAAGGAAAAAAUUGGUUUUGUUCAUGAAAACUGAAACUUUUAAUGCAAUUAGCAAAUUUUAUAAAAGAUGCUUUUUUAGAAGUUUUUAUUAUGAUACCUCUUUUUGAGCUUGGGUUUACUAUAGACCCUUAUGUGCACUUCGUGCACCUUUUGCCCCCUAGUGUGAUGUGCAACUAUAUGUCAAGCAGAUUUGAUUUGUUUCAUCAAUUGAUGGAGCCAUCUUCUUAGUCAUGCCAAAAAAAAGUUCUUUUAAACAAAAGAUUUCAAAUGUUAUGAGAUCAUAUGUUAUAUAUAUAUAUAUAUAAAAGGACUCUUUACAAAGAGAAUUCAUGGCCGAAAUUUAUUUUAUUGAACGGGAAAUUACGAAAUACAUCAAGCGUAGUAUUUCUUUACAGAGUCGGAAUUCACAGGCCUAGCUAGAUCUUCUCCAUCCAUUCUAGACAGUAACAAAGCUCCUCCUGAGAAUGCUUUCCUCACCACGUACGGCCCCUCGUAGUUAGGUGCCCAUUUACUCUGAUCUUCUCCAGGUAAAGGUAAUAUUUUCUUUAGUACAAGAUCUCCUUCGUGGAAUCCUCGAGGUCGAACCUUCUUGUCAUAGAUUUAGCCAUCCUUCUUUGGUAGAGUUGAUGAUGACAGAUCGCGGCUAUCCUCUUUUCACUGAUCAGAUUCAACUGUUCAUAUCUAACCUUUGCCCAUUCUACCUCUUCCAGCUCAGAGUCUAACAACACUCUCAAUGAUGGGAUUUCCAUUUCUAAAGGCAUCACCGCCUCCAUUCCAUAUACCAACAUGUACGGGGUGGCUCCUGUUGAGGUUCGAACUGCGGUGCGAUAUGCAUGAAGGGCAAAUGGCAACAUCUCAUGCCAAUCCUUAUAGGUGACUACCAUCUUCUGAAUAAUCUUUUUGACAUUCUUGUUAGCAGCUUCUACCGCACCAUUCAUCUUUGGUCUAUAUGGCGAAGAAUUGGAAUGCUUGAUUUUCCAUUUAGUGCAGAGCUCUAUUAUCAUCUUGCCGUUGAAAUUCUGGGCGUUAUCAGUUAUAAUCUUUUCUGGUGGACCAUACCGACAUAUCAAAUCUCUCUCAAUAAAUCUUCACCACUUUUUGCGUCACAUGAGCAAAUGACCCAGCUUCUACCCAUUUUGUGAAGUAGUCGAUAGCCACGAGAAUAAACCUAUGACCAUUGCUGGCUUUUGGGUUUACCGGUCCAAUCACAUCAAUUCCCCACAUCGCGAAAGGCCAUGGAGAUGUUAAAUUAAACAGAGGAGCCGGAGGAGCAUUGAUUUUGUCACUGUAUACUUGGCACUUAUGACAUUUCCGGACAUAAUCGAUACAAUCCUUCUCUAAUGUCAUCCAAAGUACCCGGCUCUUUGUAUCUUCCUGGCCAUCAUGUCCACUAGCAUGAGUUGAGCAAAUCCCUUCAUGGACUUCCCGUACUGUGCUUUUUGCCUCAAAUUCAUCCAAACAUCUCAACAAAGUCCCGUCAGAUGAUUUCUUAUACAAAAUCUCCCCAUCAAGAUAAAAAUCCAUUGCCAACCUUCUCAAGGUCUUCUUGUCGAUUUUGGAUGCCCCCAUGGGAUAUGCCUGGUUUUGGAUGAAAUUCUUGAUAUCAUAGUACCACGGGUUUCCAUCCACUUCUCUUUCGACUGAGCAACAAUGAGCGGGUUAUUUCUGAUAUUGAUGUGUACUGGCUGUACCUUGUGCCCAAAGUCUAUCUUGGCCAUAGAUGCUAGUGUGGCCAAAGCAUCUGCAAACUGGUUCCCUUCCCUUCCCAGAUGGGUGAACUCUAUUUCCUCAAAUUCUUUAGCUAGCUUAGACAGGUAUUCUUGGUAAGGCCUUAACUUCUCUUCUUUGGUUUGCCAUUCUCCUUUUACUUGGCAAAUGAUCAGCAUUGAAUCUCCAUACACAUCUAUCUUUCUUAUGUUCAUCUCUAAAGCAGCCUCUAAACCAAGAAUGCAAGCUUCAUACUCAGCCGUGUUGUUGGUGCACCCGAACUGCAGCUUAACUGAAACCGGAUACUGCUUCUUAUCAGGAGAGAUUAUCACUGCCCCCGCUCCGUUACCACAUACAUUUACAGCACCAUCAAAGUACAUAACCCACCAAUCUGAUUUCUCUUCCUCGAUUGCAAACACAUCUUCAUCGGAAAGUCAAAGUUUAACGGCUCAUAAUCUUCCAUAGCAUGGUCAGCCAGGUGAUCGGCAAUAACACUCCCUUUUACGGCUUUCCUUGUCAUAUAUACUAUGUCAUACUCAGCCAAAAGAACUUGCCAUCUUGCAAUUCGGCUAGAUAGAUAAGGCUUUUCACAAAUGUACCUUAAGGGUCUAACUUGGAAAUUAACCAUGUAGUGUGAUACAACAUAUACUGACGCAAUCUCUUUGUAGCCCAUGCUAGUGCGCAGCACAGCUUUUCAAUCACAGUAUACCUAGACUCAUAUUCCGUGAACUUCUUGCUUAGGUAAUAAAUGGCCCUUUCCUUCCUUCCGGUUUCAUCAUGUUGCCCAAGCACACAUCCCAUUGCUGUUUCGGUUACUGUUAGGUAUAAAAUCAAUGGCCUUUCUGGUACGGGAGGAACAAGCAGAGGUGGAUUUAGCAAGUACUGCUUGAUUUUCUCAAAAGCUUUAUCACACUCUUCAUUCCAUAUUCCAGGGUUCUUCUUCCUCAACAAACGAAAGAUCGGGUCACAAGUCGCGGUUAAAUGGGAUAUAAACCGAGCGAUGUAAUUCAACCUUCCUAAGAAACCUCUCACCUCCUUCUCAGUCUUGGGGGGUGGCAUAGAUUGAAUAGCUUUUACUUUUUCAGGAUCCACUUCUAUCCCUUUGUCACUCACCACAAACCCCAACAGCUUACCGGAUUUCACCCCGAAUGAACACUUUGCUGGGUUAAGCCUCAACUUAUAUUUCCUUAAUCUUUCAAAUAAUUUCUUCAAUACUUGGACAUGAUUCUCUCCCUCUUUAGAUUUAGCAACCAUGUCAUCCACGUAUACUUCAAUCUCUUUGUGCAUCAUGUCGUGAAACAAAGUCACCAUAGCCCUUUGGUAAGUGGCCCCAGCAUUCUUUAAACCAAAUGGCAUGACUUUGUAGCAAAAGGUUCCCCAUGGUGUUACAAAGGUCGUCUUCUCCCUAUCCUCUGGCGCCAUUCUUAUCUGAUUGUAGCCUGAAAACCCAUCCAUGAAGGAAUAUGUGGAGCUGCGUGCUGCAUUAUCAACUAACAUAUCUAUGUGUGGUAAAGGGAAAUUAUCUUUAGGGCUAGCCCGGUUUAAAUCCCUAAAGUCCACGCAAACUCUGAUUUUACCUUCCUUUUUGGGUACCACCACUAUGUUUGACACCCAUUGUGGAUACUUCACUACUUCCAAAAAACCAGCGUCCCAUUGUUUUUCAAUUUCCGCCUUUACUUUGAUUAAGACCUCCGGAUGAGUUCUCCUUAACUUCUGCUUAAUCGGCUUGCAUCCUUCCAUCAGUGGUAUUCUAUGCACUACAAUGUCCGUAUCCAGACCAGGCAUAUCCUCGUAGGACCAGGCAAAGACAUCCACAUAAUCCUUGAGCAGUGCAAUCAACUCUUCCUUUGCUUCGAGGGUGAUCAAAGUCCCUAUCUUCAGCUCUCGCUUGAUUUCUUCAUUGCCUACAUUUAUGGUUUCAAGUUCCUCUUUAGCGGGCCUCCAAGCCUGUUCGUGUUGUUCUAUUAAUUUUGUGAAUUCCCAUAUGUUUUCCUCUCCCAUUCCUCAUCUUCUACAGCCACUAUGUAUUCUUUAAAUUUUGGCCAUUCAUUCUCAAUGUAAAGUGCAGGUGUUGUUGUGGAGGAUCCGCUUUCAGAGUUCCUGAAAGCGGAAAGUGAUGUGUAAAUGCAUAGUAAGACAUCAAGAUGAAUUUUGAAAAUGCAUGAUCUCAUUAAAAAUAAAAGAUUGGCUCACAACAAAAUAAAAUCUCAUUGACAUCUUGAGCCUCGAUUGUCAAUGAAUAAAAACAAAACAGAAAAAGGCAAACAACAUAGAUAAAAAUAUAAUCCAACCAUCAUUGUUGAUUACAUUUUAAAAACCAAUGGAGCUUCUUGGGUCUCCCAAUUCUGGAACUUCUCCCCUUCGGCUAGCUUCCGGACAAAAGUCUUGACGGUGACUUCUUCCAAAGUGUGGAUGGUCAAUUGUGGCAGCUCUUCAAUCCUCCUUUCGACUCGAUUUUCUCAGCAAUGUCCUUGACUUGAUUUUCCUCCAGAGUGUUUAUGUUCAUUGAAGAAAGCUUCUGAAAGAGGUCUCCAUGUCCCCCAUCAGGUUGUAUCACAUAUGCGGCCUUUGGAAAUGAAAUCCUGAUUGGAGGGAUGGCUAAGUUUUCUUCUACAGGCUUCCUUCCUUCCAUCCUAGCCAUUCUCUUCUCCCUUCUUGCACCAGCAGCUCGUUUGUAAUCCUCUUUCUUGGGCUUAUAUCCAAGCCCAAACCUCUGUUCUGCAGCUUUCAAUUUGAUUAUACCCCUCCAUUCAGGCCUUCUUUGCUCCAUAUCGUAUGGGAAAGGAAUCUUGUUUUUCAAAAAGAUUUUAGCGGCCAUUUUAGUGGCUUCAGAGAUUUCUGGCUUCCUCAACACAGUGUUCUCGGGCACCCACUCGGUAUUCACAAUCUCAAAUGCAUGAAGGUUUCCGUCCCUACAAUCUUCUGCUUCAAUGAAUGGAACCGCCACAUUUCUUACCAUCGAUAUAGUCUCCUCAGCCUUAACAGUAACCAGGACACCGUUGGCAAUGUACUUUAAACAUUGAUGUAGCGAAGAGGUGACAGCUCCCGCAGAAUGUAUCCAUGGCCUCCUAACAACAUGCUAUAGGAAGGGUGGAUAUCCAUCACUUGAAGGGUUACUAGAAAGACUUGUGGACCCACAGCUAGUUCAACAUCAAUUGACCCUACAACUGGCCUUGAUGAGCCAUCAUAUGCUCUUGCCGUUAUCACACUGGGUUGCAUAUGUGAGGGAUCUAUUGGCAUUUCAUCCAGCACAUGCCUUGGUAACACAUUCAGGGCCGAGCCGUUAUCAAUGAGAACCUUGCCGACGAGGCAAUCCUUGCAUCGGACCGUGACAUACAAGGGCUUGUUAUGUCCAGUUCCUUCAGCAUCGAGUUCAUCUUCCGUGAAAUACAAGUAAUUGGCAGCAUGGAUCCUCCCUACUAGAUCCAUAGUCUUUUGCUCAUAUCUUGGGGCACAUAGGCCUCAUUCAGUACUUUUUGCAAAGCAUUACGAUGUGGCUCCGAGCUGAGUAUUAAAGACAUGAUGGAGAUCUUAGCAGGGGUCUUUUCAACUGAUCCACUAUACUGUACUCACUAUGCUUCAUCAGUUUCAAGAACUCAUUUGUUUCUUCCUCAGUCACAGGUUUAUUCACCUCAAACUCUUUAUCGAGGUCCAGCACCUCCUUGCCUUUAGCCUUUCUUUGUCUUUCUAGCUCUUCAGGUGUGUAACAACGACCACUCCGAGUUAGCCCACUUAUCUCCGUCGAACAGCGGCAAAGGAGCUUCAAUAUUCGAGGUAUAACCAUAAUCUCCAGGCAUCGCUCCAUAGUUUACUUUGCUUGCAUAGGAGGGCCUAGUUAAUACCAGUUUUGAGCGACCAUUAGCUGUUGAUUGGAUUCUACAUUUCUCUAUCAUCCUACCUCUUCAUUGUCACUUAUGUCCUCAAUCCUCAACUCUCCUAGAGCCAGCAUUCUUGCAACUUUUUGAUGAAAUUCAUGCAUUCAUCAAUGUGAUGCCCUUCCUUUUUAUGGAAAGGGCAAAAGUUACUUUCCCCUGUGCAGUACUCAGUCGUUUCUUCCAAAUGUCCAGACUGUACCAACAUCAGUAUAGCUUGGCCAUGGUCACUUUCAACACCCUCUUUUUGCUACCAAUCUCCAUGGUAUUCACUCCUCCCCUACCAUCAACAUGUUUAGGUAAAGGGUUUGAAUUCUGAUUAGGUGAAUCCUCAAAAGUGACCCAUCCCACUUUGAUCAGUUGUAACCUUUCUUUUAAAAGCAAAGCAAGCCUCAAUGCUAUGGCCUGCGUGACCAGCAUGGUAUUCACAAGUUACCUCGGGGUUGUACCAGGCAGGGAAAGGUGGCUGCAUAGGUGGUAUGGGUAGGGGAGCUAUCUGCCCAAUACUCAACAGCUUGGCAUACAACUCUUUCAAGGUUAUUGGUAAAGGAGGUAGUUGUUCUUCUGAUGGUUGCUUAUCCUUUCUUUGGUAAUUGUGGUGGUUAUUUGCUGGGAAUUUUACUGGAUUGGGCUGGUUUGGAGUGGGGGGUUUGGAAAAGUUAAUACUAGUGACUCGAGGGGUAGGUAUUUGAUAGUUUUUGCUUCUCUUUCGAGGUUGUUCACCUCAAUUUCUUUCUUCCUUCCAAUGAAACCUCUCUUCUCUAGAGGUUCUGCAAUUCUUCCACUUCGGAUCCCUUGUUCAAUCCUCUCGGCGAUCCGCACGACAUCAUAGAAAUGUUGUGCUGAACUACCCAUAAGGUGUUCAUAGUAUGGAGCCCUGAAAGUAUUGGCAAACAAAGUCACCAUUUCUGUCUCUAUCAGCGGAGGUUGUACAUUGAUAGCUUGGUCUCGCCACCUUUGAGCAUAAGCCCUCACGGACUCUUGACUUCCUUUCUCCAUGCUAAUCAGACUGGUCCUAUCAGGAGCAAUCUCUAGGUUAAACUUGUAUUGCUUUAAGAAAGCGUCCGCCAAGUCUGUCCACUUCCUGAUCCUAAUAUUGUCUAACCUCAUAUACCAACUGAGGGCCGAUCCGGUCAGACUAUCCUGGAAGAAGUAAAUUAACAUUUUGUCGUCGUGGAUAACCUCUGCCAUUUUGUUAUAGUAGGAGCGGAGAUGGGUCUUCGGGCAUUCCAUCCCAGUAUACUUAACAAACUCCGGCACUCUAAACUUCUUUGGAAUGACAAUAUUAGGUACUAAACAUACCUCAGCGGCCCUAAUUGGGUCAAACAAAUCAUUUCCUUCAAUUGCCCUUAGCCUCUCUUCUAGGGCAGUCCACUUAUCAUCUCCUUCAUGAUUAGAGAAUUUAAAGUCAUGUGGAUCUUCGUUUGUUAAAUCCAUUGUAAUAGGGAUUUGGAUGGGCCGAGCAGGACUCUGCUUAGUUGGUGUAUUUGCCCCUAUGUUUAUAGGUGCGACAGGAAUUUGAGCUGCUGCUGGUGCUUCAUUAGGUUGAGUAGAUGUUCCCUCUCCAUCUCUGGCUCUUAAUAAUUGCUCUAACAUACUUGUUAAGUGCGCCACAUCAUUCCGAACUCCUUCGAGUUCUCUUUGGUACUGAGAUUCUGGUUGUGACCUUCCUUCGUUUUCCAUUCUUGCUCUUUGUCGAGUGUUGUGGAUUCUAGGAGGGGGACCUAUGUUUCUUAAUCUGCAAAUGCAUGCAUAGAUGUAUGAGAAAAUGUAUUGUGAUGGAUGCAUGAUGAUGCAUUAUUGGGUAUGGAUGCAUCCUUUUUUGUGAACGAAUAACAACCAUCACAUUAUAAGCCUUCUCUUGUCACAUUGCUUUGAUAGGAGUUCUGCCUUUCGAGUCGUUUGCUUGAAUCAUGUUCACCAAGAGACAGAUUUUUGCAUAAGAAGAUGGGUCAACGCCCUUUUCAUUAAUGCUUGGAUAAAAAUACAUUUAGAAAUAAAAGAAAUACAACAUGCUAAUCCCUUUCCUCCCUAAACUCUUUGGCCAAAGGUAAGAAAGCAAAACCACGGUUCUCAAUCUUCCCUAGAAAGGCAUCGGUUUCAGCUAGGCUUCGGCGAUAGCGAAUGAUGUCUCCCCCCACAUUCCGCGAAUUGAUUCUGACCAUUCGAGCAUGUGCAGCAGCUUCGUCCAUUUGCUCAUCUGUUUUGGUCAUUUUUUCUAUGAGCAACAUGUUGGUUCUGUUUAAAGCAGUGUUGUUGGCGUCGAUUUGAUCUUUGUGCUUCUCCAUUGCUACUAGCUUUUCAUCUAAAUACUUCAACUUUUCUCGUUCUUUGUCAAGCUUUAUCCUCAUGACUUUUAUCUCAUUCUUCUUGACUGCUAACUCUGCUUUAACAUCCUCGAAUCCUCCCUUUUCGCUUUCCAACUCCAUAUAUUUCUUAUUCAAAUCCUCAUACUUCCUAAUCCUAUCCAUCAGCUCGAAUUGCACUUGUGCAAAUUUUUCUUGGUAAUAUUCUGCACUUUCUUGGCAAUCGCUAAAGUCCAUCUCCAUUGCUUGAAGUUCAGAGCAACUUUGCAUCCAAUCCAAACUCAUCCCUUUAAGCUCCUUCUCACUUCCUUCCUUAGCAAUCUUCUCCUCAACCAACUUUAACUCCAGCUUUGUUAUUUUCUCAUCUCUAGACUGUAUUUGCUCAUCUAGAAAUGUUCUCAUUUUAUCCUGUUCUAGCAUCAUUUCUUCCAACAUUGCUUUGUCUUUUCUGCUCUUGCUCAAUUCUAUUCGUAGUCUCUCCACUUGCCUUCUCAAGUCUUCUUCAUUACUAACUCUCUUUCUCUUGAUAGGCUCCUCUUCAGUUGGAGAAGAUUUGACUUCUACACAAGGCAUGGCUGAAGCAGCUGAAUCAUCUUCAAUGUUCACCCUUUUUCUCUUAAUAGGCUCCGCUACAUCUUGAGGAGAUUUAGCUUCUACGCGAGGGGUGGCUGAAGUGGCUGAGUCUCUCCAUUUUACAUAUCCUUCGCUCACACUUGGAUCUCUUAACCCUUCCAUCUCCACCAACACUAGAUGCUUCCAAUCUUGCUUGAUGAUCUCCAAAACCUCUUCUGCCAUGGGAUCUUUGAACAAACCAGAGAAUUGAGCAAUUCCCAUAGUCCUGGGAACGAACUGCAUGCCCCCAAGUUGUCUUACCACUAAGGCAGGAGCAUAACUCACAUAACCCGUGAUCCCCACCAAUGGUACCCAACGCCUUUGUCCACAACUCAUUAGGACCUUCACUGACGUUACCCAUGGGGCCCUCCACUUAAACUCGCUAUUAGGUAAACCUUCUAAUUUAUCAACCCAACCCUGGUUGUCUAGAUCUCCCCAUUCUUCUUCUUCUACUAACUUGAGGGGUUUUUGGGUGAACCACCAAAAAUUAUUGAAGACAGGUUUCUUUGUCUCGAUAUGGCUAACCAUCCAAAUAUACAACAGUUGCGUGCAGCAUCUCAUUGCUCCUUUUCCGGCCCUCCUACAAUGGUUAAGUGUCAAAAUUGUUUCGGCUAAAAUAGCAGCCACUGGAUUGAUUCGUGUAUUCUCAUAUUCCACGUAAGCAGCAGCGGCCUCCAAACUCACUAAACCAAUCUGACUUGGGAACAACACAAGGCCAAAUAUACCUAGGGCAAUCAAUCUCUCUUUUUCUACUCCUGACUUCUUUUCCAAUUCUAACAUCCUCCAUUUCAAACCGGUACCAUUCUUCUCUUGAAACUUUUCCAAGUUGGAGAUUCUGAGCAGCUUUGACAGUUCAGGGAUGAUCUUGUCGGAUCUUAAAGGAGAAUAAAUCCGAUACAGGUCGUUGGGAAACUCGGUCAACAAUCCAUAUUCAUCAACCGUGGGGCACAAGUCUGUUAUAACCCAUUUUUGGGUCCCCAUGAAAAAUAAAAUAAAUAGCCAAAAGAGUUUAGAAAAAAUAACAGAAGGCAGAAGCGCUCAGGAAACAGUCAGAAAAUUGGUCAAGAAAUUCAAAAAUACAAGGAUUAAAUUUUUGACAGUAUAUUCUUGAAGGAUGAAAGCCCUAUUGAGAAGGAAAAUUUGAAUUUUGAGGAGAAAAGCCCAAAUUUGGAUGUUUAUGGACUUAAUUGGAUUUUUAUUUGAAUUUAUAGAAGAUUUGAUUGCAAGAAAAAUUGAUUUUUAAGUCAAUUUGGGCUUUAAUUUGGAGAAAUUUAAGUUCUGGGGCCAAAAUAUAUUUUUUAGGAAUUUAUUGGGUCAAAUCAGGGGCUCAAUUGCAUAAAUAUUGAAGUUUAAGGGCCAAUUAGGGACUUAAUUGUGAAAAUCCGAAACCAGGGACCAAUUUGGAGAAGGCGCAAAGAUAGAGGGGGCUGUUUGGAUUUGUUUCAGGGGCUUAAUUGAAGAAAUUGGAAGUUUAUUGAUCAAUUAGGGGCUCAAUUGCAUAAAUCAGAGGCCAAGGACCAAAGUGAAAAAGGCGGCCAACAAGAGGGGCGGGGACCGAAUUUGGGGACUGAUUUGAAGUUUAGCCAUUUAAAUGAAACGGCGCGUUUUACCCAAAACGACGCCGUUUCAUUAAAAAAAAAAAAAAAAAAAAAAAAAACAGAACGGUGUCGUUUUGAACGACACUGUUCAUCUUCCUCCUUCCCCCCGUUUUAACAGAACAGAAAACGAAAAAAUUCGAAAAUCUUCCCGCGCCUCUCUCUCUCCUCGCCCCCACCACCUUUAGCAUUGGCCGACCAGCCGUUGCACCGCACUAACGAUGGUCCCCCACGGUUCUGCCCCUAUAAAUAGGGAAGAGACGGAAAGAAAAAAAAAAAAAACCGAAGGGAGGAGAGAGAGAGAGGAGGCCGAAGAGAGAGAGAGAACCGAACACCGAAGAGAGAAGGAGCCGCAGCGCCGCCCGGGAAGCCACGCCACCGCAGCACCGCCUCCUCCACGCCAGGUCACCUCUUCCCCCCCUCUCGUUAGUUUUUUAUUUUUUUCCCUGCAUGCAGAAUGAACAUUCUGCAUGCAGGGAGGAGGGGGGAAUUAAUUCCCCCCUGUUAUGUAGCUGGGCCAGGUGGAUCCUGGCCCAGCAUCAUUUUUUUGGGCCAGACUAAGUCUGGCCCGGCCUUGUAUCUGACGGGCCAGACCAGGUCUGGCCCAUACCAGCUCUCUGGGCCAAGUCCGGCCCAGAUAUUUGGGCCGGCCCAGCCCGAAUUAUUUUUUAUUUUAUAUAUAUAUAUUAUAUUAUAUGUGUGUAUAUAUGUAUAUAUAUAAAAUAUAAUAAUAAUAAAAAAAUAUUUUGAAAAAUCUUAAAAAAAUAUUGUUGAUUUUUCUGCAUAUUUUUGUCAAAAAUGUUUUAAUUUUGGUUUGUAUGUUUAUACUGUAAAGAUACAAAACCAGUGUUAUAAAUACCCGGUUUUCGUCAAAACAUCAAAGAUUUUCAGAAUAAAAAAUGUUUUUGCUUUCAAAAAAAAUUCUAAAAAGUCCCUAAAAAUGUUGUUGAUUUUUCUGCAUAUUUUUAUCAAAAUGGUUUAAUUUUGGUUUGUAUUUUUAUACCGUAAAGAUAUAAAACCAGUGUUAUAAAUACCCGGUUUUCGUCAAAAUAUCAAAGAUUUUCAGAAUAAAAAAUAUUUUUGCUUUCAAAAAAUUUCUAAAAAUUCCCUAAAAAUGUUAUUGAUUUUUCUGCAUAUUUUUAUCAAAAUGGAUUAAUAUUGGGUUGUAUUUUUAUACCGUAAGGAUACAAGCUCAGUAUUAAAAUACCCGAUUUUCGUCAAAGCAUAAAAAAAAUAAUAUUUUCCAAAAAUUGUUUUUGUUUUAAAAUACGGCCUAGUCUCUUCAAAUAUAUAUAUAUAAAUAUUAUAACAUCGUAUUUUCACACAACAAAGAAAAUUUUCAAAAACAAUAUAUGUAUUAACAUGCAUUUUGGCUUUAAUAACCAGUUUAUUCAAGCCAUGAGAACUAGGCCAAUAUUUCAAAAAUUCUAAAAAAUCUUUUUGUUUUAUUUUAGUAUUUGGGAUUACGAAUUUAUACGUAAAACGUAUUCCUAAGUAUUAUUAAUAAAAUUUUGGUAUGGACGUUAUAACGGUUAAGAUUUUUACCCGAUAAGAUAAAGAUCUCCUUACCGAGGAGGAUUUUUCUUAAACUAUAGACAGACCAACCACUAGGAAAACACAAUAACACUUUAGUUUUUUUUUUAUCAGACAUUAAAACAAUGCAGCUUACCUUAGGUAGGGCGUAUUUGGGGUGCUAAUACCUUCCCUUUACGCAACCAGUCUCCGUACCCGAUCUCUAAGACCAGUUAGGUUCCUAGUGACCAAAAUACUAGGUGGCGACUCCAAAGAACCAAAUAAAAAUAAAAUAAACAAAUUUUCGCCAGUCGAACCCGCAAUGGAUGCGUAUAUUUUUUUUGGGGGGGGGUGCGCUCGGUCAACAAUCCAUAUUCAUCAACCGUGGGGCACAAGUCUAUGCUUCCAAAGGAAAAACAUAUGUAGUCUGGAUCCCAAAAAUGAACUAAAGCUCGCACAGCUAGGCUUAAAACUUCUACCUUUGCAAUUUCCAUCAAACGUCCGUAUUUCCUAAAAAAUGCAUCUUUAUCCACAUUUUGAAAAUGAGUCGUUAACUUGUUCACCUCAUUCAAUACGCAAUUCAGGUUCUUGAUUGGUGACAUCUUCUUAGCAUCGCUUCUAAGGCAGUCUCCUUCAGUCAAUUGUGACAGUUCAGAAUUUUUUCCAUAUUCUAAGAUGGAAGAUUUAGUGAUGAUGGCCAUUUCGUUCACAAGUCCUGCAAUUCAAAAUGCAUUGGGGUUUAGACUUUGUUUGGAUGCAAAAGAUAUGUUGGAACAUACACCCUAAGGAUAGGUUCUAAUUUCUCUAUGUGAGACAUAGGGUAGGUUUACUAUUGGGUCUCUAAAAGAGGGUCUCUUGCUGUUCCAGUGAUCAGCCUUCGUAAAGGCGAUAUGGAGGUCUAGCAGAUAGUGGGAUGGUACGUGUACCAAUCACAAUCAGUCUAAACACUCAGCAAAGAGUUGGGGUUUACACAAACUUAAACCUUGACUCAAGUCAUAAGGCAAGCUGCUAGUCCCCCACUUAAACUUAAAGUUACAUGUGUGUGCACUCCAAAACAUAAUAACAAUAAUAAAGUGAUGCAUGACUAUGCCAUGUAUGAUAGAAUGUAAAGAUAUAUGCUAAAGCUUUUAAACAAAGCAUCAUAAAAAAAAAACAAAAACCAAUAACACAUAACAUAAACAAACAAACAAAUCAAGCUUAGUCCAAGGGUCCCCAGUGGAGUCGCCAUCCUGUCGCACCCCCAAAAAAAUAAAAAAAAAAGUUUGUUUUUGCGACAUUCGACUGGCGACUUUCGUUUUGUUCUGUUUUGCUGAUUUGGUUCUUUGGAGUCGCCACCUAGUAUUUUGGUCACUAGGAACCCUAACUGGUCUUUCAGAGAUUCUAAGGUAAGGGACUGGUUGCGUAAAGGGAAGGUAUUAGCACCCCUAGUACGCCCUACCUAAGGUAAGCUGCUUGGUGUUUGGUUUGCUCUAUAAUGCUAUGGUGUAGGUAUUUUUAGGCUCGUCAAUUGAUUUUGGAUAGAAAUCUAAGGAGAUUCCAUGUGCUUUGAAAGCUCAUUUUUCCCUUAGUAUUUCAAAAGUUUGACUCAUAAAUCGUGGGAAAAAAAAAAAUUAAAUUUUGAAAUGUCCUCGAUUAUAAUCAAGGCUUCUUUCAAGAAUGUGUGCGGAUUUAUUAUUCCCAUAAUAUUUUGGAUAUUCAUCCUUUUAAGGAUUUCUUUAUCCAAACAUUAGCGGUAAAUAAUAAAUAAAUUCCUUUUCCCAAAAUAAGAUUUUUAUAGUUUUUUGAAUAUUGGCCAAUACCCUUUGGAAUUUUACAAACACGUUGUAAAAUCCAGAAAUGCAAGAAAAUAAUUUGUGUUUAAGAAAUCUAUGCGAAAACACACUUUCGAAGCUUCCAAUAUAUUUGUUUUAUAAAAAAGAAUAUUCAAAACAUGUUAGAGUAUUGGCCGUAUGCAACACGCAAGAAAAAUAUUUUUUUUUUAAAACAAUAUUUUUUUUUGACGAAAUCGGUAUUUUUAAUACUGAAUUUGUAUCUCCACAAAUAAAAAUACAAACUAAUAUUAAGUCAUAAAAAAUGUACGAAAAAAUCACAAUAUUUUUAAGGAAUUUUAGAAAUUUUUGAAAGCAAAAAAAAAAUUAUCUUUGAAAAUUUCGGGUGCUACGACGAAAAUCAGAUAUUUUAAAUACUGAAUUUAUACCUCCACAGUAUAUAAAAAAAAAUACAAACCCCCUUAAAAAUAUAUAUAUAUGAAAGGAAAAUAACAACAUUUUUUUUUAGAUUUUUUACAAAUAUUUAUAUAUAUAUAACAUAUACACAUAUAUAUAUAAUAAUAAUAUAAUAUAAUUAUAUAUUAAUUAUUAAGGGGCUGGGCCGGCCCAACUGACUGGGCCGGGCUCAGCCCCACAGUGACUGGGCCGAUCGGCCCAGAAAGUGACUGGGCCGACCGGCCCAGAAAGGUACUGGGCCGAUCGGCCCAAAAAUCUGGGCCGACGGCCCAAAAAACUUGGUCUGGGCCGGACCCGGCCCAGACCGCCGGGUUGGGCCAGAAUCCUUCUGGGCCAGAACCGGUCUGGCCCAGAAGAAAAAACGGGGGGAAUUAAUUUCCCCCCCCCCUGCAGCACUGCAUGCAGGAGAGAAAAUAACAGAAGAAAGAAAAAAAAUGCAGGGGAGAGAGUACCUGGCGAGGCUGGAGACGGUGGUUGGCUGACGGGGCUACGGUGGCGCGGCUCGUGGAUGGCGGUUCGGGCGGCGUUGCUGCUGUUUCAGUGGCGAAAAAUUCUUCUUCCUCCCUUCUCCUUCGUUUUUUUUCGUUCUCAGUGGCUGUCCUAUUCUCGGUUUGGUUUUGGUUUUUGUUUCGGUUUCCUUCUUCUCGGUUUGUUUCUGUUCUUCUCUCUCUCUUCGGGUCGCUCUCUCUCUCUUUCUCUUCGGGUCUUCGGUUUUUUCUUCUUUUUUCUCUUCGGUUUUUCUUCUUUAUUUAUAGGGGCAGAACGAGUGGGGGACCAUGGUUAGUGCGCCUUCAAUCACGCAUGGCUGGUCGGUUCUUUCGGUGGUAGUGGUGGGGGCGAGGAGAGAGACGCGGGAGGUUUUUUUUUUCGUAUUCUGUUCUGCUAAAACGGGGGGAAGGAGGAAGAUGAACAGUGUCGUUCAAAACGACACCGUUUUGAUCUUCCUCCUUUUUUUUUUAUAUAUAUAUAUAUAUGAAACGGCGUUGUUUUGGGUAAAACGCGUCGUUUCAUUUAAAUGGCUAAACUUCAAAUCAGUCCUCCAAAUUCGGUCCCCGCCCCUCUUGUUGGCCGCCUUUUUCACUUUGGUCCUUGGUCUCUGAGUUAUGCAAUUGAGCCCCUAAUUGAUCAAUAAACUUCCAAUUUCUUCAAUUAAGCCCCUGAAACAAUUCCAAACAGCCCCCUCUAUCUUUGCGCCUUCUCCAAAUUGGUCCCUGGUUUCGGAUUUUCACAAUUAAGUCCCUAAUUGGCCCUUAAACUUCAAUAUUUAUGCAAUUGAGCCCCUGAUUUGACCCAAUAAAUUCCUAAAAAAUAUAUUUUGGCCCCAGAACUUAAAUUUCUCCAAAUUAAAUCCCAAAUUGACUUAAAAAUCAAUUUUUCUUGAAAUCAAAUCUUCUAUAAAUUCAAAUAAAAAUCCAAUUAAGUCCAUAAACAUCCAAAUUUGGGCUUUUCUCCUCAAAAUUCCAAUUUUCCUUCUCAAUAGGGCUUUCAUCCUUCAAGAAUAUACUGUCAAAAAUUCAAUCCUUGUAUUUUUAAAUUCCUUGACCAAUUUUCUGACUGUUUUCCGAGCGCUUCUGCCUCCUGUUAUUUUUCUAACCUCUUUUGGCUAUUUAUUUUAUUUUUCAUGGGGACCCAAAAAUGGGUUACAACACCAAGCAUGUUAUAUUUUCACAUGUCACGUUGAAGUUAUUGUAUGAAAGGUCCCUGCAAGUUAACAAUUCAUAAAAUCGAUUUGAAAUUGAUCUUUAUGAAUUGGCAAUUUAACAAUUCAUAAAUUACACUAAAUUGUCAUUAAUUAAUUAAAAUGAUUGGUCUUUUUGAUAAAAUUCUCUUAAUCUUUCUCAUCUCCCAGAGUUGACUAAAUAUAUUGAAAUUGCAAGUGCACUUUUUACAAAAGCAGUGUUUUUUUUAUGAGUCUUUCACCUCCUCUUACAUGCUUUUCCAAAACUCUUUUUCUCCAAAAUAUCUUUUUAUAAUAUGUCAUUUUAUUAAAAGAAAAAAUAAAACAACUAUUAUCAUGACUAGAUUCCAUAAAUUACUAAAUAAACAAAUAUUGAAUCUGAAGUAAAAACACAUCUUUUAAAAUUGAUGGUGAAGUCUUUGUUCGUGUUCAGCAUCAAUUUUUUGCCUCGUCAAGCAGAGAAAGAUUAAUAAAGCUAAAGCAUAUCAGUACGAAAACCGCAAGUUGAUCAUAGAUAUCUCUACAUUUCUUGGGUCCAAUAUGUGAACCUUGAGAAGUAAUAAAGACUUGACAUGGUUUUCUAUAAUAGGUUAAGCCUCUUAAUUAUUUUUAAUUUUUUCUAUGCUCAUCCAACGGCUCUGCUAAAUUGCUUGAUACAUCAUAAAAUAACUUGAUUUUGUAAUGUAUAUGAUUGAACCCAUGCAAUCUGAACAUUGAAAAGUAAAAAAGAAUCUUUAAAAUUUGGUCAAGUCUUUGUUCGUGUUCAGCAUAAUAUUGGACCCACGGAAUGUGAUCCUUGAGAAGUAAUAAAGGUCAAAAUAAAUAAAUAAAUAAAGACUUGACAUGGUUUGCUGUCUUUUCUAUGCCCCGCUAACGGCUCUGCUAAAUGAAUUGAUUUUUUGACGUUAUCAGAAAAAUAAUAAUCAACAUGAUCGAACCCAUGGAAUCUGAACAUUGAGAAGUAAGAAAUAAUGCAUCUUUAAUAUUUAUGGUCAAGUCUUUGUUCAUGUAAUUCAGCAUCUUUUGUUUUCCAUAUUAUGUGGAUCAAAAUUGCAUUGUCAAGCAGAGAACAAAUAAUAAAGCUAAAGCACCACCACAAGUUGAUAGAUUACUUUUUUUUAUAGGUACUCUACCAAGGUAUUGUUUAAACUAUAUUUUAUUUCAAAAUAAAUAAAGUAUAUAGCCUUCUGCGCUUGUAAUUGCUAAACCAUUUUGUAUUCAGAAUAUAUUAUUUAGGCUAUUCUCCCAUGAAAAGUCUUGGCUGUGAUAUUUGUCGAUACACGACGGGCGACGGCUCCAUAUCAUUUUUAUUUAUUUAACAAAAAAGAUUUUUUAUUUUUAUUGGGGAAAUGAAAAUUAUAUUGGAGUCGUUAUCUAGUAAUUUGAGGGAACUAGAAAUCCCAAAUUAAACACUGGUUUCAGAGAUUCAGGUACUGGGUUAGUUAUGAUUAAGGGAAGGUAGACACCACCCUUAAAACAUCCUUUCAAAAGAAAGGUUACCCUUACUUGUGUGUUUUUUAUUUGAUUUAAAUGCUAUUAUAUUUCGAGUUUAUUUGCAAUUUCGUUUUUUUUAAAAUAGUUAACGUCGGUCCCUAAAAAUAGGAGACGCGUUAAAAAUGACAUCAGUCCCUAAAAAUAGCAGACUCGUCUAAAAUAUUGACGUUUAACCCUAAAAAGGAGAAGUACGUCUGAGUUACCAAAAAAAACUAUGGACAUAAUCCAUAUUGGUAUUUAAACUUUUAACAUCGGUCCUUUUCUGAAAAAGAGACGUGUCGACGAACAGUAUUUGUUUAUAAAAUUAUUUUUAUAUCGUUGAGAAAUGGGUAUCCCAUAUUUGAGAUUUGGGCUUUGGGCCCACGAACGAUAACAUGAUAGGAUGAGUGUUGGACCCGCGUUGUUAUUCCUUUCUUUUUUAUUUUAUUUUUUGUUUGUUUUACAACAUACAAGAAAAUUUAUAUACAAAAUAAAAAAAUGUUAGAAAUCUAUAAAAAAAAAAAAAACAAAUUACCUAAGUGACACAGUAUAGGUAAAAGACUGAAAUACCCUCGGAUCUAUCAGAAAUUUACGAAAAUGCCACUAUGCGGCGCGUGUGGCUCACGCGCGGCUACUGUUGGUGCGGCGAGAUUUUCAGGCGCGAUUUCUGGCCCACCGAUGGUUAGUUCUGGUAGAUCUGAGGUCGAGGAUUCUGUUGUUGGUGGUCUCGACGUCCGUUGAUGGCUUACGAAUGAGAAUCGACGACUUGAAGGUUCGGUGGCCGACGAAGAUCGCGGCCUUUUUCCGGCCAGAUGAGGCGGCGGAAACAAUGAAAACCGCCGGGGUUUUUCUUCACAACAGGGUAGCUACCUUUCUGUGGUGGUUCGGAGGCUUGAGAUGGCCGGAAAGUGGAGAUCGGAUGAGAGAGGGAGUCGCCGGCGAGAGGAGAGAGAGGCUCUGAGAGUUGCUAUGGUGUGAACGCGUAUACGGUGUACCGGUGCCUCUGAACACUGUGCACCGUUCUAUCUCGGAUGAAACGAUCGGAUGGCUGUGAUUGGCUAGAUCUGCGGUUGAUCUGACGGUCUGGAUGAACUUAGCUUUGAUCUGGUGUGUUGCGGUGCACCGAAAGAUCGGUACACCUGAGACGUGGCGUAACCGGUUCAAAUCUUGAAUUGUUUCAAAGGCCGAGAUGUGUCGGGAUAUAUUUGGUAUUUUUCAAAUUGUUUUUUUUAAAAGACAAUAUCCUACUCUCCGGAAGAAAAACUACAAAAAAUGUUAAUGGUAUCAAUCGAUUUUUUUUUUCUUCCUCCCCUCACUCCUUCCGUGCUCACGUGGCUAUUUAUAGGUAAUUUUUUUUGUAUUAUUGUUUUUUUUGUUUUAAUAUAUAUAAUAAUAAAUAUUUAUAUAGGUAAAAUUAAAAAUUUCAACCGCUAACACUAAAAACAUUUGAUAGGUAUCAACCCGAUAAACCGGGUUUUAACCGAAAAAUGAUGGUUUUGACCCAAAAAUAGCCCGACACUCAUUUUUCAUCCCGGUCGACAUGGUUUGACCCGUAUUGACCUGGUGAACUCGGUUUGGGUCGAAAAUGACGUUUUUGACCCGAAACAGCCCGAAACUCAUUUUUAAACCUGGUCGACAUGGUUCGACCCGUAUUGACCCGGUGAACUCGGUUGUGGUUGAAAAUGACGUUUUUUACCCGAAACAGCCCGGAACUCAUUUUUAAACCUGGUCGACAUGGUUCGACCCGUAUUGACCCGGUGAACUCGGUUGUGGUUGAAAAUGACGUUUUUUACCCGAAACAGCUCGGAACUCAUUUUUGAACCUGGUCGACAUGGUUUAACCCGUAUUGACCCGGUGAACUCGGUUGUGGUCGAAAAUGAUGUUUUUGACCCGAAACGGCCCGGAACUCAUUUUUAAAACUGGUCAACAUGGUUUGAAUGAAAAGAUGCGGUUGACUCGAGAAAAAAAAUAUUUUUGAAUUUUCAAAUUUUUGUUAAUUUUUUUGGAUUUUUAUAAAUAAUAAUAAAAAUAAAAUAAUAUUCAAAAAAAUUGUGUGUCGAAAAUUGGGUUACAACAAUAUUCAUACACCAAUUGCUGGCUCUAUUUCAUACACCAUGGAAGACUUGGUUGAUAUGGUCGAUGAAGUGGACACCUAUGGUGAUGGGGAAGAAGACGUUGCGGAUGGAGACAAUUAUCAUGUAUUGAUAUUCAAAUACUCGAAAAACAAUUUAGGUGGUGUGCUGCCUCAAUCAGAAGAUUUGAAUAACUUUCAUAAUAAUUUUUUCAUAUCAUGAAUUAAUUAUUUGAAUUUGAUUAGUUACUAAGUGGUGCAUAAAUAAUGUUUUUAAAAUGCUAAAAUCAUAUUUAGAUUAGUCCAACGAUUUAGAAAGGUUUAUUCACCUUAAUUUACAUUAAAUUUAUCUUCAUUUUUAUUAUUAUUUUAAAGUAUUAUAAGUUCUAUCAAUUUUAAUUCACAUCGAGAAAAUAUAAUUUUUAAUUAAAACAAGAUUCUAAUAAUAUUUUAUUAAUUAAACAUGAUUUGUUUUUAUAUAUUAAUUUUCGAUACUUAACCUUUAGGCUAUGCAUGUUUGUAUAACAUCAUAAUUUAAAUAAUCUUUAAAAAUUAAAUAAGUGAAUAAGCUUUCAUGCAUGCGCGCGCGCGCAUAUGCUUCCUCACCACCACUAUUUACAAACAAGGAAUUAUCUGCAAGAAAACUUAUUCUCAGUGCAAACAUGAUUAUUUACCAUAAGAAACUCAGCCAGUAUAAUUAAUUAGAAGAGAGAAAUUCCCCAUCUAAUAAAAACAUUUUUAUUAACUGAAAAUUCGAAUUAUUUGAUAAUUUAAACCAUUUUUCGAGUUAGUUUCCGAUUUCGAAUCGAUAACUACAAUCAUUCUACACCUAUACACUCUCGGAAAAAGAUCAUGAUAUUCAUUUUUCUCAAAGGGUGUUGGUCCACCCAUGUUCACCCUAUGAACAGUCUCCCCACUGCAUUAAAAGUUUCAGCAUCAUCUGUAAUGAGCUCAUCGGGAACUGAAACGACUUCCAAAGGCAUUUAAGAGGCAAAUGAAUUGCCUUCACACUGAAAUUGCUGAGGAAACACCAAAACUCGCUUUGCUCAUGUUGUGACAACCACUAACAAAUGGAUAGAAAUAUAGACGAAUCCAAUGCCUCCAUGUUGGUUAAUGAAAAAGGUGUACUUUGAGGUUCCAUCAAAGAUUCUUGCUGUUUGAUAGAGCGGUGAAUCAUCCCCAGAAGUGACAGAUAUUGAAGCAUUUGCAAAAGUGUUUUUCGGGGUUGAAAGAAAGUUGGAGGCAGAGUUAUCAGCAACAAAAACACGGUUACCUACUGUAGUAUUGCUGAGUGAUCCGCAGUCUAUAAGAUAAUUGUCUAUAUUGUAACUUAUUUUUGGAUCCCACACAAAAAAAAUAUAUAUAAUAAAAAGAUAAAAUAAUAAUAAAUAAAUAUAUAGCCGGAAGAAAUUAGAAAAACUAACAGGUGGCGGGAGCGCUCAGAAAAUUAUCAGAAAAAUAGAUUAAGGAGGAUAAAAAUACAAAGAUUAAAAUUUUGACAGUAUAUCUUUGAAUGAUGAGAGCCAUGUUGGAAAAUAAAAUUCAAUUUGAAAAGAAAAGUCCAAAAUUGGAUGUUUAUGGACUCAAUUGGAUUUUAUUGAAGGUUUAAUUGAAUUUAUAAAGGGUUUAAUUGCAAGAUAAAUUUAUUUUUAAGUCAAUUUGGGCUUUAAUUGGUCGAAGAAAUUAAAGUUCUGGGGUCAAAUUAUAAUUUUUGAGAGUUGAUUUGGUCAAAUCAGGGGCUUAAUUGCAUAAAUAUUAAAGUUUAAUGGCCACUUAGGGAUUUAAUUGAGAAAAUCCAAAACCAAGGACCAAAUUGGAAAAGGCGCGUAAAUAUAGGGGCUGUAAUCAACGAAAUCAGGGGUCAAAUUGAAGAAAUUGGAAGGUUAUUAAUCAAUUGAGGGUCCAAAUGCACAAAUUCAAAACCAAAGACUAAAGUGAAAAAGACGGACAACUAUAGGGGCGGCGAUUGAAAUUGGCAGGGAUGCAAUUGAAUUAAUUCUUAAAAAUCAAGAUUACAUUGUGAGGACUUAAAAGAACAAAAGAUAAAUUAAGGAUUGAUUUGGAAACGAAUAUGCUAGCACCACCUUUAAAUGAAAUGACACGUUUUGUAUAAAGCGACGUCGUUUCAUGUUAAGAAAAAAAAAACAAAGAGCAAAACGGUGUCGUUUUGAGUGACACCGUUCCUCUUUCUCUUUCCCCUGGACGUGCAGCAAGGGAAGGCAUACGAUUUUCUUCUUCUUUCUUCAUUGAUUCCUGCGAGCCGCGUGCCCUACGAAAGACCCGAAGCCCCACGCACAUUGAUGAUUAGAAAUCAAAGGCGCCACGCCUUGCCAGCCGUGCCCACCAACCAACCCAGCGCUGCCCUGCUCCCCAUGCACAGCAAUAAAGAGGCCCCGCUCCCUUGCCCCUACAAAUGGAGACAGAACGCCAGCACGCGAGGGGGACAAAAAAAAGAGAAGGAGGACGAACCGAAAAAGAAAGAAAACGAACCAAAGCAGGAGAAACAAAACGGAGAGAACGAAUAGGAGAGAGAGAGAGAGAGAGAACGAACCAACGAAAGGGAAAAACAAAUCGAAAGUUUUUAAAAAUUCUAAAAAAUAUUUUUGUCUUCUUUUAGUAUAUGGGAUUAUGAAUUUAUACGUAAAACAUAUUCCUGAUAUUAAAAAUAUAGUUUUCAAAUAGACGUUAGAACAAUUAGGUUUUUACCCAAUACGAUAAGGACCUCCUUACUAAGGAGAAUUUUUCUUGAACCAUAGACAGACCAACAAUUAAAAAUAUAAUAACACCUUAGCUUUUUAUCAGACAAUUAAACAAUACAGCUUACCUUAGGUAAGACGUAUUUGGGGUACUAAUACCUUCCCUUUAUGCAAUCAGUCCCCGUAUCUGAUCUCUGAGACCAGUUAGGGUUACUAGUAACCAAAAUAUUAGGUGGUGACUCACAUUUCAUUUUCCACCGAUAAACGACAAGAGUUUCUUAUCUUCCUAUAUUUGCCAUAUAGAUAGAUAUUAUAUUUAGAUUUGAAGUGGAAUAAUUUUUACCGCGACGCCGCACACGUGCGACAGUCUACAUGAGUGAAUCCACUAGAUAAACAUACCAAACUUAAUCAUGAAAAAAAUAUAUUUUAAUCAUCUAAUCAAAUAUAUUUUUUUAUAGUUUAUUUUAUUCUAUUUUUUUUAUGUUUCUUGUUAUAUGAUUAUAUAAAUCUUGCUUGAGUUGAGUAUAACAUAUAUUUCAAAUUAUUAAAUAAUAAUAUCCUUUUCUAUUAUAAAUUUCGUUAAUUAGCAUUUAAUGUUCGCAGAACAUAUUUGGUUUGAUAAUAACAAAAAAAAGAAAGAUUUAUUCAUCCACUUACUUUAUUCAAAAGAAACUUAGCUUCUUGGUUUUGAUCCGUAUUUAACAGUUUUUUAAUUUUAUUAAAAUUGUUUUUUCUAAUAUAUAAAUAGCAUAUAAUAGUUGUGAUACUUUUUAUUGGAAAAAUAUUGAGUAAUAAAAAUUAGAAUUAAAAUUAAUUGAAACUUUUUGUGCAAAAUACUGUAUUUCAGUGUGUUGUCUUUCUUGUUUCUUGUUUCCGCCUGCAUCAUGAACCUUUCAAAUAAUUCAUAAAUUCAAUCAAGAAUUCCCUGUCUGCAUUUUGCUGCAGUCAGCUGUGGUCACUUUUUGCCAAUUCUGGCUGCAGAGAACUUUGCAGCUACGACGAAAGAUGCAAAAUUCUUUUUGGAAUUCAGUUCUGUUUAGAGAAGAAUCAAGCUAAUAGGUUCAGGUACACUGGGAGAGACAGAAAGCAGCAGCUAUGGUUCAACAAGGCAUGAUCCUUGCUCAAUGAGAAGUGUAGAAAAACUGGUAUAUAAACCACACAAUCUGUGUAACAUGGUGGUCUGCAUGAUCAACAAUGGUAGUUGUCUUCUCAAUUAGAGUAUACAUAUAAGUAGGCAUUGUUUAAAAACCACAACAAAUUGGAAGACUCAUUAUUGAUGCUGCCACUCUCUCAGUUAAAGAUGUUUCUUUAAGCCUUAACGACGAUAUCGACUGAGCUCAUCUGAUUGCUAUAAGAACAAAGGAUAUUGAAUUGUCUCAUUCUGAUUGCUGCAAAACCUCAACAAAUGCUUCCUUCAAAAGCGGGUUUGAAGCUGCGACUCUUUGAGUAGUGAUGUCAAAAUCUUUACCAGAUCUGUAGCCGAAAGAGCAACCAUCAAAAUAUCAGAACACGCAUUAUAUUCUGGACAAAAUGUGAGCAUAUGCUUAUGUUCUUAAUAUCUUUGACCUAUUGCUUGCCCGGAUGACAGAGUUGAGGAUGUCACAAGACGACGAUUAAAUCAUGUUGACAUUCGAUAAACACUGUUCUUUCAUGUCCAUGCAUGGGACUAUCCUCUCUAUAUCCCACACUACCCCCACCUAAGUUGUGGAAGGGAUGAAAUAUAAAUAGCAUCACUUACGGGUCAUAAACGAUUCCUCCAGCUUCUUUGACAAUCACAGCACCACCUGCCACAUCCCUGAGUUCAAGAGUAGAUUAUAUCAAUCAUGCGUCCAGAUGAACUUUUCUUGCGUCAAUCACAAAUACGUACCACGGGCCUCCAUAUCCGGUUUCAUAAAACAAAUCAAUCCUUCCACAUGCAACUCCGCAAAGAUUCAAUGCACAGGAGCCAGUCAUCCUAAGGGAUCUCACCUGAUAACAAGAUAAUCAGAUAUGAAUUUUAAGAAAACCAACACAUUUUACCAAAGCACAUAGCUUCCACAGCAUGUUCUGGUCUCACCUUGAAAAGUAAGCUGUUAAUUCUGUUCGUUGUGGCAUCCACAGUAGACUUGUCACGUUUUGUUCCAGCCUGCUCUUAGAAGAAUUUAGUUUGGUCAGUUCCUAACAUGAUUCCUUAUGAAACAUAAAGGAGUGGACUUGAAGUAGAAAGGAGUUUUAACCAGAUUCCACACAGAGCAUAACAGGGGUGAACUUAAAGCACUCCUUUUGCAGGGUAUUUGCAAGUGCAACAUGGUAAAAACUAAAUACAUUCACAACGCAUAGAUCUGCAUUUCAAAUACAGGGAGUUGGAUUUCUAGAGUCUACGAACAAUAUUUUAAUAUAAACGAGAAGGGUUAGCAUGCCAGAAAAAUCAAUCCAGGGUUAAAACAAGCUACCCUUACUCAGCACUUAACAUUUCUGACACUAUCUGGAGUUAAGACUGAAAUUGAUUGUGCCCAAGGCAAUUUUAACACCCUUCAAACCGAUCCAAUAAGAAACCAAUUGGAGAUGUACAGUUAGAAGGAUAGAAUUGUACCAAAAAAAUAUGAGACAGUAGGGCACCAAUUCAUCUCAGGUUUCAAAACUGAUUCCCGGUUAUAUUUCAGUUUAAGCUAUCUAAACUGAAAAGCAUCUCAGUUUGCAAGUUUGGGCAGACAAAAAUGAUGCUGAAAAGCAUACCUCUGUUGCAAGAAGAGAUUUCACAAGCUCACUUUGAGAUGAUACUGCAAUCGAAACACAAGUACAUAGCUGCUUAAGUUUCAUGGAAAGAUUAGCAUGCAAAAGUAUCAAAAUAUGGAAACUGACAAUAGUCAACUCAGAGACACCUUUUAUGGGUUUUCCAUUCAGAAAUGCACCUUUUCCAUGGACGCCUGUAAAAAGCUGCAUUUAUAAAUCCAAAAUCUUUUAGCAAAUUACUGGAUCACAUUUCAAAUUCUAUAAAAUUUUGACAGAACAUUAACUUCGAUGUUAAAUGGGACACUAUACGACCACAUAUCUGAAGUGAAAGCAAGAAGUGUUCAAGAAGGCAGACAAAAGUUUGAUGGACUAACUGUUUAGAUAUAGCUAGAUACUCGUUUUCCCGAUAUUUAAAUACUGGCAGACUCAACAUCAUAAAGCAGACAUUUAUCUGAGUAGAGGACCAUGAAGCUGAAAACUAGUGGUCACUGGUCAGUGUUCAUUUUGUGAGGAAAGAUGCACUAACAUCCAGCAUACAUGUAGAAGAUCACCAGGCUAUAUGAAAGGAGGUAAACUGUGCAUGUUCUACAUAAAAUUUUAAUCAUUUAAAGUUCAAAGUAAUAUCUGGCCACCUAAAACUAACAUGCAAUAUAUAAAAUCUCACCUCUUCCAUUAUUGGGUUGUAAACAACACCUACUGUAGGAACUUUUCCAAUUGUAAGACCGAUAGAAAUGCACACAAAGGGGAACCUACAUCCAAACAUGUUGCGACAAAUUAAAGUGAUGUUACAUGUAUAAAAACAAGAGGAAAUUGCCUUCACUAAACAAUGUUAAAAAAAAAAAAUAUUGCAUUUACCCAUGGACAAAGUUGGUUGUUCCAUCAAGAGGAUCAACUAUCCAUGUCGGUUCAUCAGUCAGUUCCGUAAUACCACAGGCAGCAGUAGUUUCUUCCCCAAUGAACUAAGAAAACCAGCAAAAGAGAACUUUCAAGAGAAAAACAGAGGCACUUUUUAGGAGACAAUAUUCCCCGUACAGAUCAAUAAUGCUCAAAUUCAUCACCUACAAAGUAGAAAAUACUAAAGUAAGUUGUUAACCUUAUGUGAGGGGUGCUGCAGUUUGAGAUAAUUAAAAAUAAGAUCCUCACAAGCCUUGUCAGUCUCAGUAACUAAAUCCACUUGCAAUUGAGAAAUAAAAUAAACAAUUGUCAGUAAUUACACGCAUAUAGUGAAGUAUGUUUAGCCACAGCACUUUUAUCCGGGCUAAAUUAACACAAAUGGGUUGGCAACUUCUAAUUUUUUAAUUUUCUUCUCUGCUCCACAGUUAUGAUGAUACAGUCCAAUUAACAAAGGAAAUAUGCUAGCAUUACAAAAUAGCAAAAGCACUUUCAAUUUUUUUACAAACUCGAUGACCUCAGCCUCAGCGUGAAGAUAAAAACUUUGUUUCCCAGCAGCUUUACAAACAAGGAUUUUAGCACCUCAUGCACGAUGAAUUCAAUUACCGUUAGCUUUACAGACGUUGAUGCUAAAUUCAAUUCCCAGUUUUGUUACAAAACAAGAUCACCUCAAUGCCAAGAUUAAAACUUUAUUUCCAUUAGCUUUACAAACUGGGAUCUUAAAGUUCCCCCUUGCAUUAUAAAUUCAAUUUGCAAUCAGAUAUAAUCAAUCACUGAUCUGAAUUCAAGAUUAUUUAGCAGCAUUUGAUCAACAAUUCUCCUUUCUUUAGGGGAAAAAAAUUGCUAAGCACUACACAGACUCUACAUUCAAGAUCACAUGAAGCAACAAGAAUGUCCAAGAUAAGACUACCCUGAUUAACGACCAACAAGAAAAAGAGAUACAAAAAGAACCCAAGAAAAGCAAAGAUGUGGGUACCAGUCCUUUAUGCUCCACAUGCUUGGUCUGGUAGAAUCCUUCACGGAUUAUCUACAAAGCACACAAGAAAUGGAAAAUGAGACUAAAUUUGAGACCCCUAAAAAAGGAAAAACAAAAUCUAAAAUUUAUAUCUCACCUCUCCAGCUCUCUUUGCUGCCUCAACAGCAGUCUGCAAGAACUCUGAAAGAGAAUCUAAAACAUCCCAAAUAAAAAACAAAAUGCAAAAAUCAUCAAGAUCCCAUACUGAAAAUGAACCAAGAAAUCAAAAACAAAACAAGAAAGAAUGCAAUAAAAAAACUUGACGGGGUCCUACCAUUCUGUGCCAUGUUUUAAAAUUUGUAUGUAGAAAGAAGAGAGUGACAGAGUGAAGUAGAUUGUGGUGGAGGUGAUGGUGAUGAAAGGCUCUGUGUCUCUGAGUUUUUUUACGUCUAAAAGGAAGUAGCAGGCAAACCACAAAAUGGACCGUUUGAUUUCUGUUUUUCUCUCUCUUUAUACAUAUAUAUGCUAAAGAAUCUGCCUUUUCACCCAGUCUGUGUACGUUUUGCAUCAAAUUCCUGGUGAAAAAGGAAGUCCUUUAAUGGUGCCUUUUGAGUCCUUUUAACCCUUUUUUAUGGCUACUCUUCCCCUACGUCAUAUUGUUACUCUUGAGUUUUCCUAAGAAAUUAAGAAAAUAUUAACAUGAGAAAAUAUUAACAUCCAAAUGAUGGGGAAAGAGAUUUGUUCAAUUUUGAAUGAUGGAGGGCAUCAUUGGUGAGCCUAGGAAGAUAGGGACCAAAUUGAAACCUCCCUAAUAACUGGGGGUAUAGUUGUAGUACAUAUGGAGAGGGAGACCUAAAUGGCUUCAAGUAGGUUACCAUGGGGAAUGAACAUACGGUGUGUUGUAACCCAAUUUUGGAUUCAUCAAGUUUUUCUUAAAUAUUAUUUUAUUUCUAUUAUUAUUUAUAAAAAUCCAAAAAAAUAAAAAAGGUUUAAAAUUCAAAAAAAUAUUUUUUUCUCGAGUCAACCGUAUCUUUCCAUCAAAACCGAGUUCACCGGGUCGAUACGGGUCAAACCAUGUCGACCAGGGUAAAAAAUGAGUUUUCGGGCUGUUUCGGGUCAAAACCAUCAUUUUCGGCCAAGACCGAGUUCACUGGGUCGAUACGGGUCUAACCAUGUCGACCGGGAUAAAAAAUGAGUUUCAGGUCAUUUUGGGUCAAAACUGUUAUUUUGUGGUCAAAACCCGGUUCACGGGUUGAUACCCAUUGAAAGUUUUUUUUUUAAUGUUUCGACAUAAUUUUCGGUAAUUAAAAUUGAUUUUUAGCGGUUGAGUCGGGCUUUUUCUAAUACUGAUUUGAGUUUUUAAUUUUAUCUAUAAAUAUUUAUUAUUAUAUAUAAUAAAACAAAAAACUUUUUUGUCAUAUUAGGUAAUGUUAGGUAGAGUACUUUUUCUUUUUUUCUUACAAUUAGGCAAAUUUAGGCAGAAAUCAAUUAUUAUAUUACUGUUCACUGCCUAUAAAUAGGCAGUGAGCAUCGCCAGAAAAAAAAAAAAAAAAAAAAAGAAAAAAAGGAGGGAACGGGAAAACAAAGCCAGAGAAGAAGAGAAAGAAUGGUUACUGUGCAUAUUUUUUGAGUUUUUCUUCGCAGGAGUAGGAUAUUGUUUUCUUAAAAAAACAAUUUAAAAAAUACCAAAUAUAUCCCAACUCAUCUCAGCCAUUGAAAUAAUCCAAGACUUAAUCCCGUUAAGCCACGUCAUCCGGUGUACCGAGAUUUCGGUACACCGCGUCACACCGGAUCUAAACCCAGACUCAUCCAGACCGUGCGAUCGACCUCAGAUCUAGCCAAUCACAGCCAUCCGAUCAUUCCAUCAGAGAUCCAACGGCGCACAGUGUUCGGUGGUACCGGUAUACCAUGCACGCGUUCACACCGUAGCCUAAUCUCGGACUCUCUCUCUCCUCUCGCCGGCGACGUCCUCUCUCUCAUCCGAUCUCCACUUUCCGGCCGCCUCCAGCCUCCGAACCACCGCAGAAAGGUUGAUCCACUGGUGUAAAGCAAAACCCCGGCGUUUGUAACCGUUUUCACCGCCUCAUCUGGCCGGAAAAAGGCCGCGAUCCUCGCCGGCCACCGAAGCUUCAAGUCGCUGAUUCUCCCUCGUCAGCCAUCAACGGACGUCGAGACCACCACCAUCAGAAUCCUCUCCCUCAGAUCUACCAGGAUCGACGGUUCGUUUCCCAGAAAUCUCGCCGGAAAACUUCGCCAGUGCCAACAGUAGCCGCGCGUGAGCCACACGCGCCGCCAGUGGCAUUUUCGUAAAUUCCUGAAAAAUCCGAGGGUAUUUCAGUCUUUUACAUAUACAGGGGUACUCAGGUAGUUUUUGUUGAAUUCCUAACAUUUUAUUUUAUGUAAAUAUUUGUAAAUUUUUAUUGCAUGUUGUAAAAUAAAAUAAAAAAAACAAAAAAACAAGUAUAAAAAGAAUAACGACGUGGGUCCAACGCCCAUCCCAUCAUGUUAUUGUUUGUGGGUCCAAAGCCCAAUUUUCAAAUAUAGUUAUACCCAUAUCUCAAUAAUAUCAAAAUAUUUGUUUUUAUAAACAAAUAUUGUUUGUGGACACGUCUCUUUUUAUAGAAAAGGACCGAUGUCAAAUAAAAACUUUAAAAACCAAACAAAUAUGGAUUAUGUCCAUAAUUUUGUUUUUUUGGUAACUCGGACGUAAAUCUCCUUUUUAGGGUUAAACGUCGAUAUCUUAGACGAGUCUCCUAUUUUUAGGGACUGAUGUCAUUUUUAACGUGUCUCCUAAUUUAGGGACCGACGUUAACUAUUUUAUAAACAAAACAAAAAUUACAAAUAAGCUCAAAAUAUAAUAGCAUUUGAAUCAAAUAUAAAAACACACAAGUAAGGGUAACCUUUCUUUUGAAAGGAUGUUUUAAGGGUGGUGUCUACCUUCCCUUAAUCAUAACUAACCCAGUACCUGAAUCUCUGGGACCAGUGUCUAAUUUGGGAUUUCUAGUUCCCUCAAAUUACUAGAUGGCGACUCCAAUAAAAUCUAUUUCCCCCAAUAAUAAAACAAUCUUUUUUUGUUAAAUAAACAAAAAGAGCGGAGCCGUCGCCCGACGUCGUGUAUCGACACGGUGAAGCUGAAUAAUGACGGCUUCCAAUAGAGGACAUGGUUCACAAAAACAUGGACAUGCUCUCUAACAGGGUUCCUAAAAGCCGAGUAUUGGAUUGAACUCGAUUCUUGUCUCUUUAUUUCUCUCUUCCUUUCAAUACAUGUAAUUUUACCACAGAUCGAUGGAUACUGAUAUUGUCAUCAGGUUUGGGCUAUGAGAGCUACAAUUUAUGUAAAAUGAUUACAAUAAACAACCAAGCUCUUUCAUGACUACUCUCUAGGCUCACAUAUCGUGUCAUCCCAACUGCAUUAGAACGAUCCAAUAAUAUAUCUCCCAACAGCUGUCACAAUUAAAGAAGCCUUUUUAAUAAAUAGUACAAUUAUCAAUGACAAUAACAAAGCACAUUUUAAUGAAAGCAUUUUCCUAGGUUCAGAUGCCUAGAGAAUUGCUUCAUUGAAUGUUCUAAUGAUAUAUGAGCGGGAUAUAAUUAAGUUUCCCUACCUUGACAGCUUGUCGUCUUGUAAUGUAAUUGGUGGAUUCUAGCAGCUUCGAAUUAAAUUCAGCAAAAAACUGAAGUCCAUACAAAGUUAGACAAUGUCAAGCUCUGACCAACAUUUAGCAAGCAUGGCCACAACAGGAAAUAAAGACACAUUUAGAAUGUUGCAAUUCAUGUUUUUGUCAUAGAUAUGUAGCUACCAACAUGCAGUUUAAAAAAGCAAAGAAGAAUGCUAUAAAAAUGAGGAGAUAAAGCUGCUCAAUUCAUCAGAGUCGAGUAAUAGAUUCUACUUUAUAUGCCCCAUCAUUGCAGAGCAACAAUAUUUUGAGAUUAAUGCAUUACCAGAAAAAUAAAUUUGCAAACCGUCUUUCUCUAAUCUCACCAAAGGUUUUCCGGCUAAGACUUUUGUUGGCCUUCAAAUUCUUUGAAAAAACUAUAGAGGAUCAGGCAUGCCCCAUUAUACAGUGUCAGUGCGUGCAUAACUGAGGCAAUAUCUGUAUCUAUAGGUAUAUAGGAUUUGAAUUUGGGUGUUCAAAAAAAACCAUUAGAGCUUAAAACCUUUACAUUGCUUUUAUAGGAUUUUGGUUUAGAUUCUGCUUUAUGUCUCCAUCAUUGCACAGUCACGAUAUCGUGUUAUUAAUGCAUCACCAGAUAAUUAAAUCUGCACAUCAUCUUUCUCUAGUCUCAGCCACAAGUUUUCUCACCAAAAUAUUCGUCUGCCUACAAAUUCUUUAGAAAGAGGAUUGGGCAUGCCUAUCAACCACCUUGUGUGUGUGGGAUGACCUAAGGCAUGCAUAGCAGAAACAAGUAUAAACCUGUACAAGUAUGCAUCUAAACAUAAGUGACAGCAGAACUCACCCAAUCAUAGUUCUUAGAAAGAAAUUCAGCUACUGUAGAUUUAUGUCUUGUCAAUAGUUCCUGCAACAAAACAAUAUAAAAGUCUCAGAUUCACACUUCAACUAAUAGCAAAUACAAGGCCGAAACAUAAAAACUUCAUAAACAUGCAAUAAAGACAUAAACAGCAUAUUAUAGCAUACUCUAAUCCAAACCUCAAUCAGACAUCAAGAAUCACCCUAAAAAACGCAUUGUUUUCAUAAAGAUUGAACCUUUCUCAUCCAAAGCAAAAAAAGAAAAGCAACCCAGACCCCAAACAAUCUCAAAUCAAUCAAAAUCCACCUAAUUAAAAGAAAACAACAGAAAAAGAACACAAGCACACAUAAAAUAUAUAGAAAUGAUAAGAAAGAGACUGCCAACCUUCUCUUCUCGUUUUGAAUCUGAUAAAGAAGCUGAACUCUGAUCAGCAUAGAUUAAAAGAUCGCGAGUCUGUCUAACUAUAUCGACAGGAGUCGUCGGCUUUGACUUGAAAAGUCCCUUCAUCCUCUUCGAAUCACCCACUAACUGCCCCGAUUUCGAACUCAAGAGCACUGGAUGUCCCGAUUUCGAAUUACUCAACAGCCCAGAAUGUCCCUUUGUCGCUACUGCCGCUGCCAGCGCCGGUGAUUGUGGCGGUGGCAAUACUCUCCUCACCACUACCUCCUCCCGGGCUGCUGCUGCUGCGGCAGCUGGUUUUGAAACGCAGACUCCUAUCUUUCCUCCCUUUAUAAACCCCACAAAAACACAAGAAAGCGAUUUUGCCUUCUCAGCUGGUUUUGACACGCAGACUCCUAUCUUUCCUCCCUUUAUAAACCCCACAAAAACACAAGAAAGCGAUUUUGCCUUCUAUUUACGAAAAGGGUUCGCGGUUUACUUGAUUUCAGCCACCAAUUUUGCUUUUGGAUUAUUGGGUUUUUAUGGGAUCUUGGUGAAAAUGUGUGCUUGAUUCGACGGUUAUGGUUUUUUGGGCUUUGCAUAAACAGAUUGCCAGUCGUUACCGUGUCACUAACCGCUAAAUACUUACAGUACAGUGCUAUUUUUUCUUACGUAUUCAUUUUCUCUAUUAUUAUUAUUACUAUAAAAAAAAAAUUACAAAAGAGGGGAAUUCACUAUGACCGUCUCACAAAAGCACUGUUUAUUAUAGUUUUAAAAAUAAUAUUUUAAUAAAAAAUCCAAAAAAAUAAAAUUCAUCAACGGUGUGAUAGUUAGUUAAACAGGUCAGCUAAAAUUUUCAAGAUCAGCUGAUUUUUUUUUUCCAACUCGAAUGGCUCUAGUCAUGGAUUAGAUUAACUGGGUCUAAGUUGAUUUAUCUGGUAGUCUAGGUUUUAAAACAAUAUUGUUCAUAGUUCUAGAUCAUGAAUUUAAUAAAUUAAUUUAAUUAUAUAUAUUAUUAUUUUAAUUAAAAAAAUAAAUUGUCAUUUUAAAAAAGAUUUUCAAAGUCAGUUUUUAUCUGGCAUUUAGGUUAAUAUUUGACCUGUCAAAUUCACUAUAUUAUAUUAAAUUAACUCUAACAUGGUUUUGAUUUUAAAUUUGAAUUAAAUAAAAAGAAUUCAAAACUAAAUCAUUUCUCCAAAUUUAAUAAUAUUAUCAGAAUAUUACUCGUUGCCUAAACAUUUUUUUAUACAUUAAUUUUUUUUUUGUUCGGCUAGUAGCAUAACGUAAUUAACCAGUAAUCGAUCUAAUCCAUUUUUAAAAAAUUUUAAUAUUAACAGCUAUAUGUGCAGGGAAUAUCAUGGGGUAAGUUCAGAUUGUAAUAAAAAGUACUUGUUCCAUUCAAACUUCUUAGGUUUGGAAAGAAUCAUUGGGAAAUUUAUUUGUAAUUAGUCUUAUUCAUAAAAGUAUCCUAAGACAAUAUCAUUUAGCUUCGACAUUGAUGCAAUAUUUAUACCAAAAAAGUCUCUUUAGAAAUUUAAUGUUUAUGUAUUGUAAAUUUAUUUGUAUUUAUUUUUGCUAUAUAAAAAAGUAAAGUAUACCAUAUCUAUCUAUGUAUCUAAGUUUUUCAUAAAUAGACAGUACAAUACUACUGCUCAUCACUUAGAUAGAUACUAGUUAAACUUGGAUUGAUUAUGGGUUGAUCUGAAGUAUAAUUAAUUUAGAAUCUGGAACAGUUCAAGUUAAAUAAAUAAAUAAAAAAUUUAGUUGAUCUCAUAAAAAAAUUCAAUUUGAAUGGUUUCAACACCCAUCCCUCAAUUUUUUUAAAUUUGUUUUUAAAAAAAUAUUGUUUUUAUCAUAUUUAGAAAAAAAACAUUUGACAAUUGACUUAUGAUCUUUUUUACUCAUAAUCUAUAUCUUAUUCUAGUCCACUCUAUAUCAAGUUUUACAAUUAUAUUAGAUUUAUUAAUUUUUUUAAAUUUUAUAAUGGAAUUAUUUUGGAUCCAUAUCCAAUAUAAAAAUACGAUCUAAUAUUUAAUAUUAAAAUUGUAGUUGCAUAAAUCUAAUGAGUUUGUAAAGUAGAUAAUAUCAUAAAAUUAUCCUUUAUAUAGGCUAUAUAUAAAGGAUGACAAAUGAUAAUAUUAUUCAAUUCAUGAAAUUACCGCCUGCCAUAACAUCACAAAUAAACCACAACAGACAAAGCAAACACACAUAUUUUCUCAUGGAGUCUCUCACGCACACAUCAAUGUUCUCUUGUCACCACCACAUAAAUAGACCCAACAACACUUAUGUUAUAGAAUAUUAAUUAAUAAAAUAAAAAAGAAGAGGCAGGAGGUUUUCAUCACCAAACUUAACAUUACCUAUUGGCUAAGAAAUUGGCUCUAUUUCCAACACCCUGGAACAUGCACCGUACAGUCCUCCAAUAUUUGUUGAUGGAGUAUCAUCGCUUUCGGAAAUCUCAUCGAUUCUUUUCUCACCUUCAAGUACACUGACGAUUUCGGAUAUUUUAGGCCUUAGAGUGGGAGACAGUUUAACACACUUCAUUGCUAACAGCAAAACAGUCAGAGCCUGCUUCCUAUCGUAACUGGAUGCCAAUCUCUUGUCCACCAAGUCAAGGAUUCUUCCCUUAUCGUACAAAACACCAGCCUGCAAUUACAAAGCAAGAUUGGCUUAGCUCCGAGUAUUAAGAAAAUAAUCAAGUAAAUAUUCCUGAUUAUUUUCUAUUCAAUAAAAAACAAAUCAAGGAAUUAAAUCAUUCUAGGUAAUCAAGAAAUUAUUUCAAUCACCCAAUUAAAGGAUACAAUCAACUCUAUUUUCUAUAAUUUAUUUUAUUUUUAUUUACUUAUGUGUCUUGUUAUAUAAUUAUAUAAACAACAUAUGAGUUGAAUAUAAUACAUAUAUCAAAUUAUUGAAUAAUAAUAUCUUUUUUUAUUUUAAAUUUCUUCUUAGUAUUAGAGCGAUCUCUAAAUAUUAGCUUUUGUUUUUUCAUAAGUUGAAUGUAACACAUAUAUUAAGUUAUUUGAUGUUGACAGAACAUGUUUGGUUUGAUAAUAACUAUGAAAAAAAAGAAAAACAAAGGAUUUAUCCUAUAAGACCCACUUACUUUAUCCAGAAGAAACUCAGCUUCUUGGUUUGGUGUGUAGUCUGCACUAACUUUUCCGCUAACUAUUUCGAGUAGGACAAUUCCGAAACUGUAAACAUCAGCUUUAACAGUUAUUGCUUUUCCCAUUGAAUACUCAGGUGCCAUGUAAACUCUGCAAUAAGAGAUUAUUUAUUGGUUAGCUCUGAAUUAAAAGAAUGAAAGUAGUUGUCAAUCAAUGAUCAUAAUACUUACCGCGACCCUUUUGCUUUGAUGGCCAUAAAUGGAUCUUCCUCAUCACAAAGCGUUGCCAAUCCAAAGUCAGACAACUUGGCCGUAAGAGAGUUAUCAAGCAAAAUAUUACUAGGCUUUAUGUUUCCAUGAACAAUCUUGAACCUUUUCUCUUCAUGUAAAUACUUCAAACCUCUCGCUAUUCCCAGACAGAUACCAAAUCUAGCUUUCCAAUCAAGUUUUGUCGUGGAAUUUGGUUCUACAAAUCAAGGUUAUUGAUAUUAAGUUAUUGAUAUUUGCAAGUACACUAUCCUUGUACUAACAGAAGAUUCAAAUAUACAAUUAGAAGCUCUCACAAACAUUAAGUAGCGGAAUUCUAUUACUACUGUACGUGUUUUAGUUCUCAACAAUUGUAUGAAUUUCACAAGGCAAUGCAUUAGGUGAAAAUUAAGAUAAAACUUGAGAACCGAAAGAGAUGGCAGUAUUACCAAACAACGCAUGGUGAAGGGAGCCUUUAUGCAUAUAGUCAUAUACUAGCAGAUGCAGGUCUUUAAUAGAAUAGCCAUCCAACAACUGAACAAGAUUCUCAUGAUGCAAAGAUUUCAUGUUGAAGAUUUCCCUUUGUAAUUCAUCUUUUCCUUGUUGCUUUGAUUGAGGAGAAAUCUUCUUCACUGCUAAUUUUAUCUCGUUCGGCAAUUCAGCCUGUAUACACGUGAAAUCAAUUUACCAGAACUCUGAAAGAAAAAAGUGCAUGUUGAGGAACAAAUGUUUCAGAAAAGAAAAUCUGACCUUGUAUACUAUUCCAAAGCGUCCCCUUCCAAUCUCCAUUUUGGGGCUAAAUUUUCGAGUAGCAUCGAUUAUUUGUUUGAGGGUGAAAUAUAUUCCAUCUCUUUUUACCUCAAUAGUUAUUUCUAUUUGAAGAAAACAUCAAAGUAAGAAUUCUUAAGGUAGUGUAUGGUGCAUAAUGAUUUUAAAUUAGCAUGGAGAGGUACCAUCCAACUCGCUUUUCCACAGCCAUUUUAGCAUGAAGGCCAUUUUCCACAUGAAAGCCAGCAGAAGUAGAGAAGCAAAUACUGAACCUGCAGUAAUCCCUGCAAUUUGUGAAGGAGAUAGUUUCUUGCCGCCAACUUUGAAGUCUGAAUACAAAUAGUGGAAGACAACAAGAAAAAAUUAUUUAUCCAGAUAAAGUGUAAUAGAAAUCUUUGCUCAACAAAAUUAAGAGAAUGCAAUUCUUUACUUGCAGUUACGGAAAUGCCUGCCACAAGGGGUCCAUUUAGAGACAGUGCAGCAGGUGGAUAGGAAAAACCUGGCACCCUGAAAGAUCCUUUUCCAGCCCAGAAAAAAUGGAUAGUCAAACGAUGAUCAUCUCCUAUAUAUGCCGUAAAAUUUUGAGUCUUAUUUGUGACACUGGCGUUUUCUUUAAUGUUGAAGUCUUUUAGUUCUCUCUUCCCCUAUAUCAAAAAUGGAUGUGAUGUUGAACGAUGGAAAUUUUUGAAAUAUAGUUGCAGAAAAAUGGAUGUGAUGUUACCUGUAUAUAUACAUCAAAAACACGUUUCCCUAAAUUCGAGUAAUCUUUAUCAUUUUGGUAAACAGUUUCAGCGAAGUAAAGCUUCACGGUGUAAUUUCCUUUAAAUAAACAGAAGCCGUAAUAUGUCAGAGAAAGAGGGCAGAGGCGAGUUGAGUUGUACAACUGUGUCGCAGCAGAAUCACAAAUUACUCCACAAUCCACGUUUUUUAUGUAAUCACGGUUUGAAUCAUAAGUCUCCGAUCCGAAGUCUCCAGAACAAGAAUAAGCCCAAUUUUUACUUGGAGCUGAAUAAUAAUUUGAUGUUGAAGCGUCUGCUUCAAACACUUUCCCAUCAACAACUGUCUCUCCUCCUCCACAAUUUAUAUAUAAGGAAUCGUCUGCAAAAUAUGAUAAUCAGUACAGAAAAUCUGUCCUGCGCAAAAUUAAUUAGAGCUUCUCAAUAGAGCUUACACUUUUGUUUUCGCCGACAUUUAUCUGUCAAAUUACGUAUAGAAAUCCUAGAAAUAGCAAACAAAAUUUGUAAGAAAUAGCUCAGGAUUAUUUGUUCUAAAUUAAUUGCACCAUAUGGAGGAUAUUACCAUACCUGUUUGGUUCACUGCUUGAGUAGGAACACCAUAUAUAUGCAAGCAGUUGGUGCACAUGAUACAAAAUGAUCAGAAGUUGGAAUUUCAUAGACAACAAUAUUCUUGCAAGUGAAAAAAAAGGAGGAAGAAAAUGAAGUUGCCGUUAUUACAUGUUCAGCUUUCCUUCUCCUUUCUUCGGAUCAUCACGUGGAAUUUCAAAAUUAUUAUAUGACAAGUCCCUGCAACAUUAUUGUUUACAUAUCAAGAUUUUAUUGAGGCAAUCUACAAAAGGGAAAACAAACCAUCUGAGCAAAGAGCACAAAGCCAUAACAUACGCCUCGUGCUCAAUGGUAUGAGGAAGCCAGGCAGGUACUGUGCCAUCAAGCAUAUUUCUUGUGAGAAACCUAAACAAAACAAAUCAAUAUGAAAACCAUCACAUGUUUUUUAAUAGAGUGUCAAAACGAACUUAUUAUAAGAUGGAUUGAUCGAGUUCAAGAAAUCUCUUUUGCAUACAUCUUAGUUAAAUUAAGGUUUUUCACGGAAUCUGGUAUUCCACCCGUUAAGCUGUUAAAGCUCAAGUCUCUGCAGGGUCAAAAAAAUGAAAGCAAUCGUUAUCCUACAUAUUUGAUGAUCAUUUGACAUCUUAUUGAUAAUUGAUUCUGUAAAAACAUAAUCAAAAUCAUCAACAUUUCUAUGCAUGGCCUAAUGGCCCUAAACAAUGAGUAUUUAUAGAGCUGAUGAAACAAAAUAGCCCUGACAGAACUACAAAUCUUUUACAAAAGAGGAAAUGAAACUUACAGGUAUGUUAACAAUGACCAAUUACCAAUGUACGAGGGGAUUUCACCACUUAUUGAGCAAUUCCUUAUCACCCUACACAAACCAUUGAAGAAGUUGGUGUUUGGAUUUAUCCAAUGCAUCCAUAUCUUUAAGAGUCACAUACAUAAAUAUUGAGAAUAUCAUAGCAGACAAAAAAAUAAAAAUAUAAAACACAACAUUGUGACUUCAUGAUUCUGUUAUGCCUACAUCCAGGAUAAAUUUACUAUAGUCGUAAUUAAUAUAUAUUUUUUUAAAUUCUCAAACCUGAAUCCCAGAUACAACUAGUCUUCACAGCAUGUAAUAGCUCAUAAAAAAAACUCAAGAUCAUAUAAAGAAAAAUAGGCCUAAAAAAAUAUUUAUGUAAAAGAUCGGUCAUAAUCCAAAUUCUAUAACAAUAACGCUCCUAGACAAAUAUAAUUCUAAGUGUAAAUGGUUUUUAUUAUUCAAUUUGAAUUCAUGCCAUAUCUCAAAACAUUUUGGCUUUGCCAAUUUGAAAUUAGAACAAAGGUAAUGCAUUUGAGUAUGCAAAUUGCGCAAAUACAUUGCACAUUAAAGAAAAGAAAAUUUCAAGUUAGUUAUUAUGUGAUUUUCGAGUGUGAGCUUUAAAGAAAAGCAAAGGAAGGAAAAACUCACAGGUAUUUUAUUUUCGUCAUAUUUGCAUUUUUUGGGAAAGGAAAACCGGAGCUAUUUACAUCACUAACCACCCUGGAAGAAAAACCAUCCAGAAUAAAAACAUGCAUUUAUUUCAACCCGGUUAAAUUAAAUUAUAGAGCACUUACAAGUAUCGAAGAUUUGACAUGUUAAAAAGAAGACCAAGAGGAAGCUCUCCUUCAAAAUCAUUUCCGGAGAGGGACCUGUGUUUAGUACACAAAAACACAAAUUAUUGAAUGAUAUUCAUCGAUCAUCGACAGUUUCUCAAUCAAAUGGUGGGCAUUCAGCAUUGAGAAAUCAGCUCAAUCAAGUAAUAGUGGUUACAUUCAAAUGUUUAUAAUUACAGAAAGUACAAGUAAUUUCUUACAGCCUCUUGAGUUCAGUCCAAUUCGCAAUGAACCUUGGUACUUGACCGGUCAAACGGUUCCCAGCUACGCUACUGCAGCAUGAAAUAAUUAAUUAAGGGACCACUACACUAAACAGAUUGUUGGUUGAAAUAACAUGAUGAGUUGCACUUACAACUGCGUCAAUCCCACAAAGUUGGCGUAAUUUCCCGGCAGUUCUCCACUCAAAUUGUUGGAGCUCAACCCUCUACAACAACAAAUCAAAAGGAUUGUAAUCCACCCUUUUUCUAUUUUAUUUCUCCUCUUACUAUCUUCCGUGGUUUUACAAGGUGGUAUGAUAUUAUUAUUCCCAAUCUUCCAAGUUUUUGAAACUUACAAAUAAUUAAGAGAUUCCAAUCUUCCAAGUUCUGGUGGAAGCUGACCAAUGAGUUCAUUGAAGCCCAAGUCCCUAAUUAAAUAAGAGGAGAAUGAAAGAGUGAGUGAGUGAGUUUCUAUCCAUCUGUAGGAGAUUAGAGAGGUUGCCCAAUUCUUUAGGGAUAAGAGCACAAAACUUGCAUAAGCAAUGGAAAAAGAAUUUAAUUAACAUUAUAUGAUACUGAAAAGACUGUGAUUACAUGAUACUUACAGAAUAUUAAGGAACGACAAAUUCCCUAAAAAUCGAGGUAUGGAGCCAAUGAGGAAGUUACCGGAGAGAUCGCUAUGCAUAUGUAUUACCAUAUUAGUUCAUUAUUGUUAAAAAAUAAAAAUUCACGUUCUAAAAUAAGAAUCAAUAAUUUAAAUUUUAAAAAGACACACUAAGAACUGAAAUUAGUUAUUAAAUAUGAUCCAAAAGCUAGCUCUUUGCUUAUAACCCUGCAGACAACCCAACAAGUAUCAACACAGUUAAGCAAUUAGUGAAACAAGGUUUUUAUCCUAAUUAAAUAAAAAAAGAGAACCAAACAGAACUCAGAAGUCAACUUUUGUGACCAUUAACAUCUUGCCAUGAACAUUUAUAAGUAUCAAGACCCCAAACAGCUUGCCUUUUUUUUCAUUUCUAACAAAGCUGAUUUUACUUGAAAAUGUUUCACCAAAAAUACUAUUAAAAAAUCGUAAUUAUUACACUACAAGUUUAAUCUAUCAAUUGUAUAUUCAGUAACUUCUUCUUAUAAUGAAGCAAAUUUGAGUUCUUAACUCAAAUUUUCACCAUUAUAAGAUAAUUAUAUAGUCCUAAAAUAACUUCUCCGAAUGAAAAUGAAAUUUUAACUAUUGGGUUUUUGGAUCUUAUCGAUGGAAUCUAAGUAUUUAAUGGAAUAUAAUUUAAAAGAAGUGAUUUUAGGGGGGAAAAUGUUAUAUAUAUAUAUAUAUAUUCUGACAACGCAUGCUGAGACUAUAUUUUCACAGAAAAUAUUAAUUGUAUGCUUUUUUUCUUACCAUUAUAUACUAUUUUUUAAAAGAACAGCAAUGGUAUAAAAUCAACCCCAAAUAUCCAAGAUGUUCUCCUAUAAUUCAUAUAAAAAUGGAUGUUCUUCGAUGCCCAAGUCGAACUUUUUGGUUAGUGCCAAUUUUUUAUAAAGAAAUUCUUGAUUAUGGAUAGUUUGCUUUUAACUAUAUUAGAAAUAAUAGAUUUAGUCUUAAUUAAAGCACGAAAUCUAAAUAGAAAAAAACAUAAUAAUCUAUAAAAAUUGGACAUGGGAUGUUUUUGAAAAAAAGUUAAUAUUAAUAAAAUACAUAUAAACACCCACAAGAAUAAGAGCACAAAACUUGUAUCAGCAAUGAAAAAAAUUUAAUUCACAUUAUAUAAUACUGAAAAGACUGUGAUUGGAUGAUACUUACAGAUAUUCGAGGGACGACAAACUCUCCAAAAAUGAAGGAAUGGAGCCAUUGAGGAAGUUAUUGGAGAGAUCGCUAUGCAUAUGUAUUACCAUAUAAGUUUAUUAUUACUCAAAAGAUAAUAUAUAUAUGUAUAUAUAUAUUGAGACUAUAUUUUCAUAGAAGUUAGUAAUCGUAUGCUUUUUUUUCUUACCAUUAUAUAUUAUUUUUUAAAAGAACAGCAAUGGUAUAAAAUCAACCCCAAAUAUCCAAGAUGUUCUCCUACAAUUCAUAUAAAAAUGGAUGUUCUUCGAUGCCCAAGUCGAACUUUUUGGUUAGUGCCAAUUUGUUUUAAAAGAAAUUCUUGAUUAUGGAUAGUUUGCUUUUAACUAUAUUAGAAAUAAUACAUUUAGUCUUAAUUAAAGCAUGACAUCUAAAUAGAAAAAACAUAAUAAUCUAUAAAAAUUGGACAUGGGAUUUUUCUGAAAAAAAGCCAAAAUUAAUAAAAUACCUAUAAACACCCACAAGAAUAAGAGUACAAAACUUGUAUCAGUAAUAAAAAAAAUAAAUUUAAUUCACAUUAUAUGAUACUGAAGAGAUUGUGAUUGGAUGAUACUUACAUGUAUCCAAGAGACGACAAACUUCCCAAAGAUAGAGGUAUGGAGCCACUGAGAAAGUUAUCGGAAAGAUCGCUAUGCAUAUGUAUUACCAUAUAAGUUAUUUAUUACUUGAAAGAUAAAAAUUCAUAUCCUAAAAUAAGAACCAUUAAUUUAAAUUUUAAGAAGACACACUAAGAACUGAAAUUAGUUAUUAUAUAUAAUAAAAAAAGCUAAGCAGUUCUUUGCUCAUAACAAUGUAGUCACCCAAACAAGCCUCAACAUGGUUAAGCAAUUAAAAAAUAAAACUCGGAAGGGGGGAAACAUCCACAAUAAAUUAAUGGAAAAAGAAAAAAAGAUUACAAACAUGAAAUGUUGAAAAUCAAUACAAUUUCUUUACUAGCUCCCUUGUUUUUAGAAGGCACUUAUUUUAUUUUUAUUUUUUACUAUUUCAAACCGACAUCUAAAUUAUACUUGUGAUAUAUCUUUCCUCUUUAAUGAAACAGUUGAAAAAACUUACACUCCUAUUUAAUUUAACAUAUCUACAUUUAUUAAUAUUAAAUAUUAAAUAUUAAAAGACUAUAAAAUUAUUUGAGAUAAUUAUAUUCGUAAAAUUAGCAUUGAUUUUCCUAUAUUCGUGAAUACUUGUCAAUUUACAAAAUAUAAAUUUUAUUUUUUUAAAAAAAUCAACCAUCAUUAAUUUAUAUGUGUGUACUAUAUAUAUGUUACCCAAUAGUAGAUAAUAAAGUAUAAUACAUAGUCUGUUUUAGAAAUUGAUAACUUAUCCAUUUAGUCACUUUAGCACUGGAAAAUAAUAGUAAGAACGUAUUUAACGAACAUUGGCAACAAAAUAAACUGCAGUAGUAGUAUAUGACCAUGGUACUGGAUCACUUACAGAGUGGCGAGUGAAUGCAAGUUCCCCAUGGUGACAGGGAUGCUACCAUAAAGUUGAUUGUUGGACAAAUCACUGUUUUGGUAACAUGAUUGUUAUCAAUUAAUUAGUUGAGCUCAGCAUAAUAUUCGUAAAAUUAACAUUGAUUUUCACUAAAUACUUGUCAAUUUACAAAAUAUAAAUUUUAUUUAAAAAAUAAAUAAAAAUUCAACCAUCAUUAAUUUAUAUGUGUGUAAUAUAUAUAUAUAUAUAUAUAUAUAUAUAUAUGGUUACCCAAGAGUAGAUAAAGUAUAAUACAUAGUCUGUUUUAGAAAUUGAUAACUUAUUCAUUUAAGCCCUAUUUGUUUGCUGGAAAGUAGUUUCUUUUUGAAAAGUGAAUUUCAGGGAAAGUGAAUUCCGAGAAAGUAUUUUUCGAUGUUUGGUAGUGUAAUGAAAAAUAAGUUGGAAAACUCUUUCCAGUGUUUGGUUAUGUCAUGAAAAAUGAGCUGGAAAAUAAGUUAUUAAUAUUUUAUUUUUCUCAAGUUUAUUAAAAUAAUGAGGAACAAAUCUUACAAAUUAAAAAGUUGAAUGAGAAUGAAAUUGAAAAAAAAAUAUAAUUUCAUAAAUUACCUCAAAUAAAAUAAAUAAUAAUCAAAAUAAUAGAGAUCAAAUCUAAAUUUUUUAAAAAAAAAAAAGAUGAAGAAAUUAAAAUAAUAAUAAUCAACAUUUCAUAAAUUAUUUCAAAUAAAACAAUUAACAAUCAAAAGAAUGAGGACCAAAUUUGAUAGAUAAAAAAUUUCAAUAAAAAAAUGAUAAGAAAAAAUCAAAUAGCAAUUAUAAAAAUAAGGACCAAAGAUAAUAUAAAAAUAAAAUUUUAAGAGAUGAAAUUAAAAAAUAAAUAUUUAAAAUAAAAUAUAUAUAGCAAUCAAAAGUUUGAGGAUCAAAUUUGAUAUAAUCAGCAAAUAAUUACAUUUCUAAAUUUUUCACAACUUCCGGAAAGUGUUUUCCCCCCAAAUUUUUCAGGAAAACACUUUCCUGAAAACCAAGCUAAAUUUUUCUUUUACUAAAAAGUAUUUUCCGUUAACCAACUUUUCUAAUGACAAACAAACACUUUCCUGAAAACCAGGUUAAAUUGUUUUUGACCGGAAAGUAUUUUCUGUUAACUAACUUUUCUAAUAACAAAUAAAUAUAAAAAAAUUUAAAAAAUAAUUUGCUGAAAACUACUUUACAGAAAGAAACAUGGCCUUAGUCACUUUGUCACUGAAAAAUAAUAGUAAGAACGUAUUUAACAAACAUUGGCAACAAAAUAAACUGCAGUAGUAGUAUAUGACCAUGGUACUGGAUCACUUACAGAUAGGUGAGUGAAGGCAAGCUCCCCAUGAUGACGUCAGGGAUGCUACCAUCAAGUUCAUUGCUGGACAAAUCACUGUUUUGGUAACAGUAUUGUUAUCAAUUAGUUGAGCUCAGCAUAAUAUUCGUAAAAUUAACAUUGAUUUUUAUAUAUUCAUGAAUACUUGUCAAUUCACAGAAUAUAAAUUAUCUAGUCCUAAACACUUUAUUCUCCGAAUGAAAAUGAGAUCUUAACUAUUAUUUGAUGGAAUACAAUUUAAAAGAAGUGAUUUUAGAGAAAAAAAAUGUUAGAUAUAGUUUCAUAGAACUCUUAAAAACAGAAGUUACUAAUUGUAUGCUUUUUUAUUCUUACCAUUAUAUAUUAUUUUUUAAAAGAACAGCAAUGGUAUAAAAUCAACCCCAAAUAUCCAAGAUGUUCUCCUAUAAUUCAUAUAAAAAUGGAUGUUCUUCGAUACCCAAGUCGAACUUUUUGGUUUGUGCCAAUUUUAAUUAUAAAUGUAAAUAUUUUAAAACAUUAAUAUUAUUUUUUUAAUUAUAAUUAUUAUUUAUUAAUAUUUAUUCAUCAUUUGAGUUUUCUAUGUAUAGUUUGAAUGUGUGUGAAUGAUUGUUUACUUGUUUUAAGAUACAUUUUCUUCAUAUGAUAAAUAAAUUUGGGAUAGAUCUUGAACGUGCUUUUCAAUCAAUAUUAUCAUGAACGUGGGGAUUAGGCCAUUUUCAAGCCCAGGUUUAGAAUCACUCUCUUAGUUUAUAUUAUAAAUUCUCUAACCGUUAAAUUAUGCAGCCGAACUUUUAUCUACGAAAUAAAAUCUUUUUUAAAACUCAAGUAGCUAUGCACAACAAAAUUUCGAGUAUGCAGCUGGGACUCAAUAAUUGCAUCCCCAAAGGCUAUAUAUAUCUAGUCCAAGCUAAAUAACCACAGCCCAAAGACCGAAUAUCCGAUGCAGAAGCUAAAAAUAUCAAUUCUAGGGAUUCCGAAUCGAAUUACAUAGCAAAACUUAAUUUUGUUUUAAAUAUUGUAGUAUAUUUAAAAUAACGAAUAUUUUUGGACAAAUCAGUGCAACAAAAUAAACUGCAGUAGUAGUAUAUGACCUUGGUACUGGAUCACUUACAGAGAGGUGAGUGAAGGCAGGUUCCCCAUGGUGACAGGGAUGCUACCAUCAAGUUCAUUGUUGGACAAAUCACUGUUUUUAAUGUAAUAGGAUUGUUAUCAAUUAGUUGAGCUCAGCAUACUGAUUCGAAUGCAUGAUUAUCAUCACAUUGCAUAUGAUACUCACAUUUCUUCUAGGUGAACGAGACUAGCCAAGGCUUCAGCGUCGAUUCGUCCGUCUAAUUCUUGGUUUGAGAGAUCUCUACCUCCCAAAAAUGGCGUCAACAUAGAAACCAGUGAGUUUUAAAGAGGAUGCAUUGCCUUACAAAGAUAAAAAAAUAAAUUGGAUGAAGUUGAUGAGGAACUUACAGGCCGGUGACGUGACAAACUGAGUUGUUGUGAUAACUGCAAUUGCAAUUGAUGCCUUGAUAAUUAUUGUCACAAGGCGAGCUUAGUAGCAAAUCCCCCCCUAACGUGGUCAUCAAGUCAUCCAAAGCCGUUGCUGCCAAACGUUUUAAACAAAGAAACACAUAUUUUGUUUAGCAAGAUUCAAACAGGCCUAGCUACUUCUAGCUAGCUUCAAAUCCGAACUAAAAGAAGAAAAAAACUAGUGCUAAUUUUAUGGAUGUGUGAAUUGACUCCAUAUAAUUCCAUGUUGAAAAUCUAUCUAGAUUUCCUUACCACCUCCCUUGUUUAUAAAAUCCUCGUAAAAAUCACUUCAUCCUUAACCAAUCACUUCGCUUGAUAGUUAUAGGAAAAGAUGGAGAAGCAGAAAAUAUCUAAGAACUAAAGCACUACGGAACUCUCUGCCAGGCUGUGGAAGCACUAGAGAGUGCAAAUGGAAGAGAGAAAUAGCAGUAAGGUUGGUUAUUUUUUUAUCUGCCACAGCUUCCCAAGUUGAGCAGAGCCUCACACCCAACAUUCCAUCCUUCCUUCCAGAUCAAGUACUGUUCUCUCUUCUUUCUCUCGUUAGCUUGGAUCAGUUUCUUGCAAACAUGAGUGAGUUUAUAUUCUUAAGAAUUUCACAUCGAUCUAUGGUUAGGAUUUACAUUCAUCCAAAGAUGGUUGUUAUUCAAAAUAUGAAAGAGAAGAGGAUCUGCUUGGAUAGGGAUCAGAAGAUAUUGAAGGAAAAGCUCAAAGUUAACAGAUAAACAAAUUUUCUUCCUUCUUUUGUAUAUAGGAGGAAAAGGAUAUAUAUGUAGAUGGAAAAGUAUAUCGUGCGUGUGUACCUUCAUCUUCAGGCAACGUGGCGUUUCUGUCAGAGGGAUUUGUUGAUUGGCAGGCUACAUAGCCAAAUUGACAAAGAAGAAGAACGGCAAGAAAGGAAACAAGCUUAGGAAAGAGCUUAGCCAUUACUCUAGCAUGCAAUGCGCUUCCCACAAGACAUACAUAUUCUUUAUAUAGAUAUUGUUUUACCGUUCAAACAGUUAUUAACUCUGAAUCAAUUACCUCACAUUACCAAAUUGUCCCUGUCCAAACAUCAAAAUACCCGAGAAAAGUAACUUGCAAUAUUAUGCAUGGAGGCUUAACAAUUUUGGUUCAAGUAAAUUGCAAAAUGAUUCCAAAGCAGCAUCUUUUUAAAUUGAUUAUCUCGUAGUUUUUAAAACGGUGUAAAAUUUGCAUAUUUGAAUUCAAUUCAAUGUCUGAGAUUUGUUUUCAUUCAUGCAUAAUUAAUGGGUGGUAAUUAUUCAAAUAUAUAAUAUAUAAUAUAUAAUUAUGAGUUAUUAUGCAUUAUUAAUCCAACACUAUUUUUGUAUCUAGUAUUCUCUCCCGAGUAAUGUGAGCUUGUGUUUUAUGUCUUUUAUCUCGCAAUUCAUAGAAAAAUAUCCAUCACACUUGAUAUAUAUAUAUAUAUAUAUAUAUAUAUAUAUAUAUAAUGGAGAUAAUUAUAUAUAAAGCAGCCCAUCAAUUUAGUGGAGCUGAAAGAUAAGACAGAAUACAAAGAAUCUGAAAAGAAGAAAAACAAACUAUUCAUGUGCCUCACAACUAACCACCAGUCUUCAAUCAUGAUACCAAAGUUGUCAAUUUCAUUUCGGUAAAUAUUUUGUUUUUUCAAUUGAAAUUGAAUGUUUUAGUUUCGGAGUGCCGUUUCAAGGUUGUACUAUUCAUAUAUAUAUAUAUAUAUAUAUAUAUAUAUAUAUAUAUAUAUUCAACCAACAUAAUUAAAAUUCAAGAUAAAUUAAUUAUAGGUUAUGCAAUACAAACACAAUACCAAACAAAUAUAAUUUCAAAAUUUAAAAUAUUUCUAAAUAGUCAAGAUUAAAUAGAUCUUUAACUUAAAGUAAUUCAACUUAAACAAAAUAUCAAAAUAUUAUGAAAGUAAAAUGUUUUAACAAAAAAUAUUUUAAAUAAAAAGUUAGGUCAAUGUUAUCAAGUGGCUAAUGGAAUCUAAAGCAUCCCUUGUUUUGCUCAAAUUCCUACAAAGUAUAAACAUGAAAAAAAACAACAUGAAUAUAAACCAUAUAUAUUAGUGAUAAAUUUAAUUUUAAAAAAUUAAUAUCAUUGUUAAUGAAAAUAAUAAUAAUAAUUUUUAAUAUUAUUAUUAAUAUCAUUGCUAUUGAAAAUAGUAAUGAAAAAUAACUUUUUAUAAUCGGGUGGUUUAAUUAAUGAAAUUGAGUAAGGUUCAAUUUGAUUCAAUGGCUUUUCAAGAGCGGCACAGAUCAUGUGGAAUGAAACUAGAACGUUUCGGGCGAAAUUUAGCCAAAAAAUCCAGAACAAAUAGAAAUUUAAAAUGAGAUAAAAUUUAUUUUAUUUUUUAAAUUAAUAUAGAAUAUUUUGACCAUUCCAUACACAACGAAAUAAAAUUGACAACCUUGCAUGAUACAAUAAGCACGCACUUCUUCUACUUUGGACCACAAGUUGUCACUGAGGCUGUACAGAAGCCCACAAAAUUGUGGUAAAAAAAAAGGCGAUUCUUCGAAGUGGAAGAAGUCCUAAAUACAAGAGAGCCAUGGAUUUAUUUCUGAAAAUUCAGCAGAUUCCAGCAGCUUUCUGAAAAUACAGCAGAUUCCAGAGGUGUAAAGAUCACAACCAUGCAACGAAAUCACCACUCCCAGCUAUACUUGGUUUGCUUCGCACAAAAUAUGAGAGAAAAUCACAGGACACAGCUUGCUUUUCUGAGAUUUACUUUAAUUAUAGCAAUUAAAAGUACCGCAGAUAUAGUGGUGUAGCCAUAAUAUUUUAAAUGAGGGAUAAAUUACUUAUAAAUAUUCAAUAUUAUAUAUUAUAUAGAUAUGUGUUAUAUAAAGAAAUGCAACUUGUAGGCUACAUAGCCUUCAUCUGCAUGCAACUUUGCUUUACAGGCUACAUAGCCAAAUUGACGAAGAAGAAAAAGAACGGCAAGAGAGGAAAGAGCUUAGCCAUUACUACUUUAGCUUGCAAUGCGCUUCCCUUGAGAUGACAUACAUUCUUUAUAUAGAUAUUGUUUUACCGUUCAAACAGUUAUUAACUCUGAAUCAAUUACCUCACAUUACCAAAUUGUCCCUAUCCAAAUAUCAAAAUACCCGAGAAAAGUAACUUGCAAUAUUAUGCAUGGAGGCCUAACAAUUUUGGUUCAAGUAAAUUGCAAAAUGAUUCCAAAGCAGCAUCUUUUUAAAUUGAUUAUCUCGUAGUUUUUAAAACGGUGUAAAAUUUGCAUAUUUGAAUUCAAUUCAAUGUCUGAGAUUUGAAUUCAUUCAUGCAUAAUUAAUGGGUAGUAAUUAUUCAAAUAUAUAAUAUAUAUAAUUAUGAGUUAUUAUGCAUCAUUAAUCCAACACUAUUUUUGUAUCUAUUAUCCUCUCCCGAGUAAUGUGAGCUUGUGUUUUAUGUCUUUUAUCUCGCAAUUCAUAGAAAAAUAUCCAUCACACUUUUUUUUUAAUAUAUAUAUAUAUAAUGGAGAGAAUUAUAUAUAAAGCAGCCCAUCAAUUAAGUGGAGCUGAAAGAUAAGACAGAAUACAAAGAAUCUGAAAAGAAGAAAAACAAACUAUUUAUGUGCCUCACAACUAACCCCCAGUCUUCACUCAUCAUACAAUAAGCACACUUUGGACCACAAGUUGUCACUGAGGCUGUACAGAAGCCCUCAAAAUUGUUUGACUUUGUAUGGAUCAUGGAUCAGUGGUCAACGACGGAACGAAGAAGUCAAGAAGGUUCCUCGAAGCUAUUCUUCUCCCUCCCGCCAGGGCCUAUCCUAGUAGGGCCCCCUUUCGUGGAAUAGCAGCUACCACUACCAAUCAACCAGAAGAAAAUUCAGCAGAUUCCAGCAGCUUUCUGAAAAUACAGAGUUCCUGCCCAUGAGUUGCAACGAAAUCACCACUCCCAGCUAUACUUGGUUUGCUUCACUCAAAAUAUGAGAGAAAAUCACAGGACACAGCUUGCUUUUCUGAGAUUUACUUUAAAUAUAGCAAUUAAAAGUACCGUAGAUAUUUGUUUAAGGAAUAUUGUGCUCCAAUCUUAGUUUAUGAAAGCUACAAACAAUAAUGAAUGGGUAUCAGCAUACAAAACCUUUUAUCUUAUUUAAUUUAUCCCUGUAUAUAUAUACCCGAUUUGUACAAACUCAAGCAUAUAAACCAUAAAAUAAAAUAAAAACAUAUCCAAAAUAAGUUCACAUCUUAAAUAGGUUUAAUUUAGAAGGACUAAAUUAAGUAAAUUAUGGUUCAUAAAUCCUAUUUUGACGCAAACCAAUCUUAAUUCCAAUAAAGCCCAUUUAAAUGGUAGAGUUUUCACAUAAUUUUACUAAGAUCUCUACUAUUAAUCCCUACCAUUUCUAAAUCAAAGAUGGAAUACAAAGAGUCAUAUGCUGCGAAAAGAAAAGAAAAAAAAAAUCAAGAAAAGAGAGCUUGUCUUGAUAAUUAUUGUCGCACCCCAAAACAAUCCUCGCGCGGCAUCGACUGGCGAUUUUUCAUUCUGUUUAACUGAUUUGGUUCUUUGGAGUCGCCACCUAGUAAUUCAUUGGGGGCUACUAGGAAACCUAAUGUACUGGUCUUGUCAGAGAUCGCGGGUAAGGGACUGGUUGUGGUUAGGAAAGGUAUUAGCAUCCCUAACGCACCCUACCUGAGGUAAGCUGCUUUGUGGACUUGAUGUGCUAAAGAAGUUUUAAAAAAUUUUGUUCUCUCAUCGAAUUUUAGAAAAUACAACUUACAUGUAAGUUCUUGAUUCUUUAUCCGUGAUUAAAUCGAAAUAUUAAAUUCUUCUUUAUUCUGGCAAUUUUAUCAUAAAAAAAAAACAUACACACUACAUUCACUUUCAAGCUUCGUGGACUUGAUGUGAUAUUAAAAAUAAAAUUUUAGCCCAAUUCUAAGGCUUUGAUAAAUCAGUUAUUACUUUUCCAGAAUAUAUGUAGAUACAUGUUCUACAUUUCCAUGGAAAAUUCAACAUGAUUUUUAUCUGUCCUUUAGAUAUUUGUGCUAUAAAUUAAAUUCCUUUUUUUUUUUUAUUCAAUAACAUAAAAAAAAAUACAAACACAACACAUUUUUUUUUUUAUUCAUCACUUUUUCUUUUCUUUUCUUUUUCUUUUACAUCACAUUUACAUAAUGCAAAUAAAAAAUCCAAACCAAAUAAAAAAAAUACAUCAAAUAAAUUUUAAAUUACAAAAAAAAAGCCCCUAAACAAUCUAGAAAUAACAGGGAUAGCCUUCAGCAGCCGGAACAGUGUUCAACAAAUUUUCUGGGUGCAGGAACAGUGAUGGCGCGUGGAUCCCACGCACCACCGCCACUGGCGGCGCGUGGGACCACGCGCCACCGUGAAAAACAACCCGAAACAGGGGGGGUCUGCAACGACCUCCUCCCCCUUUCUUUCCUCGCCGGCGCCGACCUGCAAUUACAACAAAAAACCCAACAAAGCAGUCGAUUUUAAAUUUUUCUUAGUUUUUUUCAGAUCUGUUUUUUCUUCUUCUUCUCCAUAUCUGCUUCGGAUUUUUGCUUCUUCUUGUCCGAUCUGGCUUCUCCUUCUCUGUUUCAGGCGACGGACGGCGCUGCUGGAGGCCGAUCUGGUUUGUGGCGGCGUUGAUGAUCACGAGUCUGCGGGGAGAAGCAACUGCUGGGAUGGGUCGGCCAGGAGGGGGUCGGUUCGGUUUCUGUGGACGGUCUGGCCCCUCGUCUGGUCCCUGUCCGGCGUGAGGCUGAGCUCGGGCUGUUGAAGCUACGGUGGAGCUGGCCUGGCCGCUGGUCUGCGGGGAGAAGAUCAGGAAGAAGACAGCGGGGAUGGAGAGGGACGGCGCCGCUGGGUUCUUCGGGUGGCUGAGGAUGAAAGGAAAAAAAAAAAGGGUUCUCUGGGGGGAGGGACUGUCGGCAGGUUGAGGGAAAAAAAAAUCAAAAGGGGAAGGGCUGCUGUUUGGUUUCAAUUGGGAGGCAGAUGGGAGAAGAGAAAAAAUGUUAUCGAGUGUGUGGGUUUGUGGAGACCGAAAAUCAACACCCCGGGGGGGGGGAAGAAUAAAUCAAAGAUGGGGGACCGUGAGGGUGAGAAGGGAGUCUCUGUGUUUUGUUUUCAAGCGGUUGUGAGGAGAAGAUCAAAAUCCCCGGGGGGUGGCCGGCGGCUAAAAAAAAAAAUCAAAACCCAGCAGGGGCUGGCGGCUGGUCCUUCAUGAGGAAAGGAAGAUGGUUCGUUUUUUUUUUUUUUUUUUUUAGGGUUUUCCCCCUUGUGUUGCCUCCCAAAAUUACCAAAUGAACCCCCCUUUUGAGUUUUGAACCAGUAUUUAUAGAAAUUUUGUAGGUUUUUCAAACUUGGUCCCUCAACUUCUUUUUUUUGUAAAUUUUGAUUUUUUUUUUUUUUUGUAUUUUUUAAAAACGAGCAAAUCAACGUCGAUUCUAUGAGAAAAAUUGAUUUUAAAAUGACGCGUGAAAAGUCGAACGCGUUCGAAAACUUGAAAAUUAAAAUUCUUUUAAAAAUUAAUUUUUAAGACGCUGAAAAUGCUAAAAUGACAAGAAUAUAUUAAAAAAAUAUAUUUUUUGGAUUUUGAUUGUUUUUCUCUAUUUUUGGAUUUUUUCGAAAAUAUAUCAAAACAUGGGUCAAAAAUUGGGUAGCAACAAUUAUAAUACAUAGUUAGGUUUAAAGUUGAUGAGAUAUCUAUUGUUAACUAAUAUUUUUUGAGUUUUAAAAUAAUUAGGUUUUAAUUUGAUAAGAUAUCUAUUGUUAACUAAUUUCUUCUUUAUACAUUGUUAUUAUCAAAGAAUCAUUAUAAACUUAAAAGCUUAAAGUUUUAAUUAUAAUUUUAUAUUAUUACUAGAACAUCUUUUCAAGUGAAAAAGACUUGACAUGGUUUUCUAUAAUAGGUUAAGCCUUCUAAUUAUUUUUAAUCUUUUUAUGCCCAUCCAACGGCUCUGCUGAAUUGCUUGAUACAUCAUAAAAUGACUUGAUUUUGUAAUGUAUAUGAUUGAACCCAUGCAAUCUGAACAUUGAAAAGUAAAAAAGAAUCUUUAAAAUUUGGUCCAGAAAAUGACUUGAUUUUUCAUGCCCAUCCAACGGCUCUGCUAAAUUGCUUGAUACAUCAUAAAAUGACUUGAUUUUGUAAUGUAUAUGAUUGAACCCAUGCAAUCUGAAGAUUGAAAAGUAAAAAAGAAUCUUUAAAAUUUGGUCCAGAAAAUGACUUGAUUUUUUAUGCCCAUCCAACAGCUCUGCUAAAUUGCUUGAUAUAUCAUAAAAUGACUUGAUUUUGUAAUGUAUAUGAUUGAACCCAUGCAAUCUGAACAUUGAAAAGUAAAAAAGAAUCUUUUAAAACUGAACAUUGAAACCUUCAAUUAAACUUCUUGUAAGAGCAUGUGAUAGCUAGAGUUUUAUUUACUUAACUGGAUUCACAAAAUACACUUUUCAAAAAAUAAGAUUUUCUCAUAUCCAAAAAUAAAAAAAAGUGUUCAGCAUCAAUGGUUGGACCCACGGAAUGUGAGGCUUGAGAAGUAAUAAAGACUUGGCAUGGUUUUCUGUCUUUUCUAUGCCCCGCUAACGGCUCCGCUAGAUGAAUUGAUUUUUUGACGUUAUUAGAAAAUUAAUAAUCAACAUGAUCGAACCCAUGGAAUCUGAACAUUGAGAAGUAAUAAAUAAUGCAUCUUUAAGAUUUAUGGUCAAGUCUUUGUUCAUGUAAUUCAGCAUCUUUUGUUUUCCAUAUCAUGUCGAUCAAAAUUGCAUUGUCAAGCAGAGAACAAAAUAAUAAAGCUAAAGCACCACCACAAGUUGAUAUAUUACUUUAUAUAUAUAUAUAUAGGUACUCUACCGAGGUAUUGUUUAAACUAUAUUUUAUUUCAACAAAAAAAUAACAUAGCCUUCUACGCUUGUAAUUGCUAAACCAUUUUGUAUUCAGAAUAUAUUAUUUAUACUAUUCUCCCAUGAAAAUUCUUGGCUGUGAUAUUCAUACACCAAUUGCUGGCUCUAUUUCAUACACCAUGGAAGACUUGGUUGAUUUGGUCGAUGACGUGGACACCUAUGGUGAUGGGGAAGAAGACGUUGCGGAUGAUGAGGACUUUUGGGGACAGCAGCAACGGGUUGGAAAAAUCAGAUCUGGCGAAGGAUGGAGACAAUUAUCAUGUAUUGAUAUUCAAAUACUCGAAAAACAAAUUAGGUGGUGUGCUGCCUCAAUCAGAAGAUUUGAAUAACUUUCAUAAUAAUUUUUUAAUAUCAUGAAUUAAUUAUUUGAAUUUGAUUAGUUACUAAGUGGUGCAUAAAUAAUGUUUUUAAAAUGCUAAAAUCAUAUUUAGAUUAGUCCAACGAUUUAGAAAGGUUUAUUCACCUUAAUUUACAUUAAAUUAAUCUUCAUUUUUAUUAUUAUUUUAAAGUUUUAUAAGUUUUAUCAAUUUUAAUUCACAUCGAGAAAAUAUAAUUUUUAAUUAAAAAAAGAUUCUAAUAAUAUUUUAUUAAUUAAACAUGAUUUGUUUUUAUAUAUUAAUUUUCGAUAUUAACCUUUAGGCUAUGCGUGUUUGUAUAACAUCAUAAUUUAAAUAAUCUUUAAAAAUUAAAUAAGUGAAUAAGCUUUCAUGCAUGCGCGCGCGCAGAUGCUUCCUCACCAUCACUAUUUAUAAACAAGGAAUUAUCUGCAAGAAAACUUAUUCUCAGUGCAAACAUGAUUAUUUACCAUGAGAAACUCAGCCAGUAUAAUUAAUUAGAAGAGAUAAAUUCUCCAUCUAAUAAAAAGAAUGAACCUUGCAGAAAUUUGUUAGACAUGCUUCAAGAAUAUCUCUCUUAUUGCAGAAAAUUAUGGUGCCACAUACCUAGUCGGGUGUCUGAAAAGCACCAAGAUCAUGAAAUUAAACCAAGAAAAUAUAUAAAUAUCAAUGAGAAAUAUUCAGGAGUGAUUUAUGAAAGUCAAUAAAUUUGACAAAAAGAAAGCAAAAUGGAUAGGAGUUUGGUCCGUCCCUUGCAUGUUUAGAUACUGCAUUACCAAGAAUGUUAUAUUUUCACAUGUCACGUUGAAGUUAUUGUAUGAAAGAUCCCUGCAAGUUAACAAUUCAUAAAAUCGAUUUGAAAUUGAUCUUUAUGAAUUGGCAAGUUAACAAUUCAUAUAUUACACUAAAUUGGCAUAAAUUAAUUAAAUUGAUUGGUCUUUUUAAUAAAAUUCUCUUAAUCUUUCUCAUCUCUCAGAGUUCACUAAAUAUACUGAAAUUGCAAGUGCACUUUUUACAAAAGCAGUGUUUUUUUUUAAUGAGUCUUUCACCUUCUCUUACAUGCUUUUCCAAAAUAUAUUUUUAUAACAUGUCAUUUUAUUAAUAAAUAAAUAAAACUAUUAUCAUGACUAGAUUCCAUAAAUUGCUAAAUAAAUAAAGAUUGAAUCUUAUAAUAUAGUUAUUAAAUAUAAAUUGAUAAAUUGAUCUAGAAAAACUUAUAAUCUAAAACCUUACCCGAGCUGAAAUUCAUGUUAAACUAAAAAGAAAUAUUGAUUAGGUGAAGUCCAAUUGAUUCACCUCUAUUUUUAAUAAUUAUAUUAACUUAAUUAAACUAAAUCUAGUUAAUUUAAAGAAUUUUCUUUAAUAAAAUAAAACAAUAUUGUUUUACUUAAAAAUAACUUAAAUUAACUGGGAUAUCUCUCAAAUUAAUUUGAUAAUUUAAACCAUUUUUCGAGUUAGUUUCCGAUUGCGAAUCGAUAACUACAAUCAUUCUACACCUAUAUACACUCUCGGAAAAAGAUAAUGAUAUUCAUUUUUCUCAAAGGAAACUGUUGGUCCACCCAUGUUCACCCUAUGAACAGUCUCCCCACUGGAUUAAAAGUUUCAGCAUCAUCUGUAAUGAGCUCAUCGGGAACUGAAACGACUUCCAAAGGCAUUUAAGAGGCAAAUGAAUUGCCUGAAGAGUGAUGGUGAUAACAGGUCUUGAGUUACAUAACUGAAAAUUCUUUAACAACAGAAGCCUUCAACUGAAAUUGCUGAGGAAACACCAAAACUCGCAUUGCUCAUGUUGUAAGUACCACUAACAAAUGGAUAGAAAUAUAACGAAUCCAUUGCCUCCCGGUUGGUUAAUCAAAAGUGUACUUGAGGUUCCAUCAAAGAUUCUUGCUGUUGAUAGAGUGGUGAAUCAUCCCCAGAAGUGACAGAUAUUGAAGCAUUUGCAAAAGUGUUUUUCGGGGUUGAAAGAAAGUUGGGAGGCAGAGCUAUCAGCAACAAAAACACGGUUACCCACUGUAGUAUUGGUGAGUGAUCCGCAGUCUAUAAGAUAAUUGUCUAUGUUGUAACCUAUUUUUGGAUUCUCAUAGAAAAUAAUAAUAAUAAUAAUAAUAAAUAAAUAAAUAAAUAGCUAGAAGAAAUUAAAAAAAAUAACAAGUGGCGGGAGCAAUCAGAAAAUUAUCAGAAAAAUGAAUUAAGGAGGAUAAAAAUACAAAGAUUAAAAUUUUGACAGUAUAUCCUUAAAUGAUGAGAGCCAUGUUAGAAAAGAAAAUUCAAUUUGAAGAGAAAAGUCCAAAAUUGGAUGUUUAUAGAAUCAAUUGGAUUUUAUUGAAGGUUUAAUUGAAUUUAUAAAGGGUUUGAUUGCAAAACAAAUUUAUUUUUAAGUCAUUUUGGGCUUUAAUUGGAAGAAAUUAAAGUUCUUAGGUCAAAUUAUAAUUUUUUAGAGUUGAUUUGGUCAAAUCAGGGGCUUAAUUGCAUAAAUAUUGAAGUUUAAUGACCAAUUAGGGAUUUAAUUGAGAAAAUCUGAAACCAAGGACCAAAUUGGAAAAGGCGCGUAAAUAGAGGGGCUGUAAUCAACCAAAUCAGGGGUCAAAUUAAAGAAAUUGGAAGGUUAUUAAUCAAUUGAGGGUCCAAAUGCACAAAUUCAAAACCAAGGACUAAAGUGAAAAAAGGCGGACAAUUAUAGGGGCGGCGAUUGAAAUUGGCAGGGAUGCAAUUGAAUUAAUUCUUAAAAUCAAGAUUACAUUGUGAGGACUUAAAAGAACAAAAGAUAAAUUAAGGAUUGAUUUGGAAAUGAAUAUGCUAGCGCCACCUUUAAAUGAAAUGACACGUUUUGUAUAAAGCGACGUCGUUUCAUGUUUAAAAAAAAAAAAACAAAGAGCAAAACGAUGUCGUUUUGAGCGACAUCGUUCCUCUUUCUCCUUCCCCUGGACGUGCAGCAAGGGAAGGCAUACGGUUUUCUUCUUCUUUCUUCAUUGAUUCCUGCGAGCCGCGUGCCCUACGAAAGACCCGAAGCCCCACGCACCUUGAUGAUGAGAAAUCGGGGGCGCCAUGCCUUGCUAGCCGUGCCCACCAACCAACCCAGCGCUGCCCUGCUCCCCAUGCACAUCAAUAAAGAGGCCUCGCUCCCUUGCCCCUACAAAUGGAGACUGAACGCCAGCACGCGAGGGGGACAAAAAAGAGAGAAGGAGGACGAACUGAAAAAGAAAGAAAACGAACCAAAACGGAGAGAACGAACAGGAGAGAGAGAGAAAGAGAGAGAGAACAAACCGGAGGGAGAGAGAACGAACCAACGAAAGGGAAAAACAAAUCGAAAGAGUAGGAAAGGAAACGGAGGAGAAGGGAAGAGCAAUAACCCCUCUCUCCACCGCUUGAAGCAGUAACACCACUUCUUAGAGCCGCCAUCCAUGAGCCGCGACACUGCCACCGGCCUCCACCGCAGCACCGCCAGCAAAGCAGUCAGAACAGUAAGGCAUCGCCUCCACCGCACCAGGUAAACCCCCCCCACCUUCAUUUGUUUUGUUGGCUACAUUUCCUCCUGCAUGUAGAACAAAUAUCGUUCUGCAUGCAAGAGAAGAGGAGGGGGAAAAUAAUUCCCCCCAUCCGUGGGUUUUUUGUUGCUGGCCCAACACUGAUGGGUUCUCCUUUUUCUAGGCCAAACGGGUUUUUGUGGGCCAGGUUGAUUCUGGCCCAGCCUUCAUGUCUGGGCCAGGUCUGGCCUAGACCCAAAGAGGCAGAGUGAACUAGUAGACCGAGAUCGGCCCAACCCUUUUGGGGUUGAGUUCGGCCCAGUUAGUUGGGCUGGCCCAACCCAACCCACCUAAUAUUAUAUAUUAUAUAUUAUAAUGUUUUUAUAUUAUUUAUAAAUAUAGAUAUAAAAAAAAUCUGAAAAAUCUUUAAAAAAAUUGUUGAUUUUCCUGCGUAUUUUUAUCAAAAUUGCUUAAUAUUGGUUUGUAUUUUUAUACUGUAAAGAUACAAAUCUAGUAUUAAAAUACCCGGUUUUUGUCAAGACAUAAAAAAAAUGUUUUGUUUUCAAAAUUCUGAAAAAUUCUUAAAAAAAAUUAUAGAUUUUCAUGCAUAUUUUUAUUGCUUAAUAUUGAUUUGUAUUUUUAUACCGUAAAGAUACUAAUCCAAUAUUAAAAUUUCCGGUUUUCGUCAAGACAUAUAUAUAUAUAUAUAUAUAUAUAGGUUUUGUUUUCAUGCAUACGGUCUAGUUUCUCCAAAAAAAUAUCAUAUUUUUAUACAAUAAAGAAAAUUUCAAAAAAUAUACGUAUUAGCAUGCACUUUGGCUUUAACAACAAGUUUGUUAGAGCCAUGAAAACAAGGCCAAUAUUUCAAAAAUUCUAAAAAAUCUUUUUGUCUUCUUUUAGUAUCUGGGAUUAUGAAUUUAUACGUAAAACAUAUUCCUGAUAUUAAAAAUAUAGUUUUCAAAUAGACGUUAGAACAAUUAGGUUUUUACCCGAUACAAUAAGGACCUCCUUACUAAGGAGAAUUUUUCUUGAACCAUAGACAGACCAACAAUUAGAAAUAUAAUAACACCUUAGCUUUUUAUCAGACAAUUAAACAAUACAGCUUAACUUAGGUAAGACGUAUUUGGGAUACUAAUACCUUUCCUUUACGCAAUCAGUCCCCGUAUCUGAUCUCUGAGACCAGUUAAGGUUACUAGUGACCAAAAUAUUAGGUGGUGACUCACAUUCCAUUUUCCACCGAUAAACGACAAGAGUUUUUUAUCUUCCUAUAUUUGCCAUAUAGAUAGAUAUUAUAUUUAGAUUUGAAGUGGAACAAUUUUUACCGCGACGCCGCACACGUGCGACAGUCUACAUGAGUGAAUCCACUAGAUAAACAUACCAAACUUAAGAUUGACAAAAGUACACAAAUGAAACGUCUAGAUCCUACACUGCCCAUCAUUUCGAAAUCUGGAACUUUACUGGGGAAAUAUGGAAAUCUAUUGAGCUUUAAGAUAUAUAGAAACUAAGGACUCUUAUCAAGGCAGAGCACUAGGGUGCCCCUAGUAAUCAAUAGCAGAACAAUAGAAACCAAAAUCCAUGAAGAGGGAUGAAUAAGGAAGUGAAAUCAAAAUCCAAGAUUGCAUAAUAUAGCAAGAGCAAGCAAAGAAGUUGGCGCUUUUCAGUUACAGAUACGGAAGAAAUCUAAAUCCUAAAUAGCAAUGUAUAGAAUUGAACAAGAAAGACAAAUCUAAAGUAGCCAAAAGCAAUACAAGGAAAGGAGCUUGUAGUUGUUGUUACUCACAAAUAAAUGAAGAAAAGAUGGCACACCUUGAACAAAAUUUGAGGUCAAAAGGGGGGGACCAGAUGGGAAAUACUUGUGAGGAGGACAAGGUAAAUAUGGUAUAUUUUGAAAUGCUAAAAGGGCUUUCAGUUCAAAUAAAAAGAAGUCAAAAUACAAGCUGGUGCGAACUAGAACUUUACUGGGGAAAUAUUGAAAUAUAUUUUAAUCAUGAAAAAAAUAUAUUUUAAUCAUCUAAUUAAAUAUUUUUUUUAUAGUUUAUUUUAUUCUAUUUUUUUUAUGUUUCUUGUUAUAUGAUUAUAUAAAUCUUGCUUGAGUUGAGUAUAACAUAUAUUUCAAAUUAUUAAAUAAUAAUAUCCUUUUCUAUUAUAAAUUUCGUUAAUUAGCAUUUAAUGUUCGCAGAACAUGUUUGGUUUGAUAAUAACAUAAAAAAAAAAAAAAUUAUUCAUUUACUUACUUUAUUCAAAAGAAACUUAACUUCUUGGUUUUGAUGCGUAUUUAAUAGUUUUUUAAUUUUAUUAAAAUUGUUUUUUCUAAUAUAUAAAUAGCAUAUAAUAGUUGUGAUACUUUUUAUUGGAAAAAUAUUGAGUAAUAAAAAUUAGAAUUAAAAUUAAUUGAAACUUUUUCUGCAAAAUACUGUAUUUCUGUGUGUUGUCUUUCUUGUUUCUUGUUUCCGCCUGCAUCAUGAACCUUUAAAAUAAUUCAUAAAUUCAAUCAAGAAUUCCCUGUCUGCAUUUUGCUGCAGUCAGCUGUGGUCACUUUUUUGCCAAUUCUGGCUGCAGAGAACUUUGCAGCUACGACGAAAGAUGCAAAAUUCUUUUUGGAAUUCAGUUCUGUUUAGAGAAGAAUCAAGCUAAUAGGUUCAGGUACCACUGGGAGAGACAGAAAGAAGCAGCUAUGGUUCAACAAGGCAUGAUCCUUGCUCAAUGAGAAGUGUAGAAAAACUGGUAUAUAAACCACACAAUCUGUGUAACAUGGUGGUCUGCAUGAUCAACAAUGGUAGUUGUCUUCUCAAUUAGAGUAUACAUAUAAGUAGGCAUUGUUUAAAAACCACAACAAAUUGGAAGACUCAUUAUUGAUGCUGCCACUCUCUCAGUUAAAGAUGUUUCUUUAAGCCUUAACGACGAUAUCGACUGAGCUCAUCUGAUUGCUAUAAGAACAAAGGAUAUUGAAUUGUCUCAUUCUGAUUGCUGCAAAACCUCAACAAAUGCUUCCUUCAAAAGCGGGUUUGAAGCUGCGACUCUUUGAGUAGUGAUGUCAAAAUCUUUACCAGAUCUGUAGCCGAAAGAGCAACCAUCAAAAUAUCAGAACACGCAUUAUAUUCUGGACAAAAUGUGAGCAUAUGCUUAUGUUCUUAAUAUCUUUGACCUAUUGCUUGCCCGGAUGACAGAGUUGAGGAUGUCACAAGACGACGAUUAAAUCAUGUUGACAUUCGAUAAACACUGUUCUUUCAUGUCCAUGCAUGGGACUAUCCUCUCUAUAUCCCACACUACCCCCACCUAAGUUGUGGAAGGGAUGAAAUAUAAAUAGCAUCACUUACGGGUCAUAAACGAUUCCUCCAGCUUCUUUGACAAUCACAGCACCACCUGCCACAUCCCUGAGUUCAAGAGUAGAUUAUAUCAAUCAUGCGUCCAGAUGAACUUUUCUUGCGUCAAUCACAAAUACGUACCACGGGCCUCCAUAUCCGGUUUCAUAAAACAAAUCAAUCCUUCCACAUGCAACUCCGCAAAGAUUCAAUGCACAGGAGCCAGUCAUCCUAAGGGAUCUCACCUGAUAACAAGAUAAUCAGAUAUGAAUUUUAAGAAAACCAACACAUUUUACCAAAGCACAUAGCUUCCACAGCAUGUUCUGGUCUCACCUUGAAAAGUAAGGUGUUAAUUCUGUUCGUUGUGGCAUCCACAGUAGACUUGUCACGUUUUGUUCCAGCCUGCUCUUAGAAGAAUUUAGUUUGGUCAGUUCCUAACAUGAUUCCUUAUGAAACAUAAAGGAGUGGACUUGAAGUAGAAAGGAGUUUUAACCAGAUUCCACACAGAGCAUAACAGGGGUGAACUUAAAGCACUCCUUUUGCAGGGUAUUUGCAAGUGCAACAUGGUAAAAACUAAAUACAUUCACAACGCAUAGAUCUGCAUUUCAAAUACAGGGAGUUGGAUUUCUAGAGUCUACGAACAAUAUUUUAAUAUAAACGAGAAGGGUUAGCAUGCCAGAAAAAUCAAUCCAGGGUUAAAACAAGCUACCCUUACUCAGCACUUAACAUUUCUGACACUAUCUGGAGUUAAGACUGAAAUUGAUUGUGCCCAAGGCAAUUUUAACACCCUUCAAACCGAUCCAAUAAGAAACCAAUUGGAGAUGUACAGUUAGAAGGAUAGAAUUGUACCAAAAAAAUAUGAGACAGUAGGGCACCAAUUCAUCUCAGGUUUCAAAACUGAUUCCCGGUUAUAUUUCAGUUUAAGCUAUCUAAACUGAAAAGCAUCUCAGUUUGCAAGUUUGGGCAGACAAAAAUGAUGCUGAAAAGCAUACCUCUGUUGCAAGAAGAGAUUUCACAAGCUCACUUUGAGAUGAUACUGCAAUCGAAACACAAGUACAUAGCUGCUUAAGUUUCAUGGAAAGAUUAGCAUGCAAAAGUAUCAAAAUAUGGAAACUGACAAUAGUCAACUCAGAGACACCUUUUAUGGGUUUUCCAUUCAGAAAUGCACCUUUUCCAUGGACGCCUGUAAAAAGCUGCAUUUAUAAAUCCAAAAUCUUUUAGCAAAUUACUGGAUCACAUUUCAAAUUCUAUAAAAUUUUGACAGAACAUUAACUUCGAUGUUAAAUGGGACAAUAUACGACCACAUAUCUGAAGUGAAAGCAAGAAGUGUUCAAGAAGGCAGACAAAAGUUUGAUGGACUAACUGCUUAGAUAUAGCUAGAUACUCGUUUUCCCGAUAUUUAAAUACUGGCAGACUCAACAUCAUAAAGCAGACAUUUAUCUGAGUAGAGGACCAUGCAGCUGAAAACUAGUGGUCACUGGUCAGUGUUCAUUUUGUGAGGAAAGAUGCACUAACAUCCAGCAUACAUGUAGAAGAUCACCAGGCUAUAUGAAAGGAGGUAAACUCUGCAUGUUCUACAUAAAAUUUUAAUCAUUUAAAGUUCAAAGUAAUAUCUGGCCACCUAAAACUAACAUGCAAUAUAUAAAAUCUCACCUCUUCCAUUAUUGGGUUGUAAACAACACCUACUGUAGGAACUUUUCCAAUUGUAAGACCAAUAGAAAUGCACACAAAGGGGAACCUACAUCCAAACAUGUUGCGACAAAUUAAAGUGAUGUUACAUGUAUAAAAACAAGAGGAAAUUGCCUUCACUAAACAAUGUUAAAAAAAAAAAUUGCAUUUACCCAUGGACAAAGUUGGUUGUUCCAUCAAGAGGAUCAACUAUCCAUGUCGGUUCAUCAGUCAGUUCCGUAAUACCACAGGCAGCAGUAGUUUCUUCCCCAAUGAACUAAGAAAACCAGCAAAAGAGAACUUUCAAGAGAAAAACAGAGGCACUUUUUAGGAGACAAUAUUCCCCGUACAGAUCAAUAAUGCUCAAAUUCAUCACCUACAAAGUAGAAAAUACUAAAGUAAGUUGUUAACCUUAUGUGAGGGGUGCUGCUGUUUGAGAUAAUUAAAAAUAAGAUCCUCACAAGCCUUGUCAGUCUCAGUAACUAAAUCCACCUGCAAUUGAGAAAUAAAAUAAACAAUUGUCAGUAAUUACACGCAUAUAGUGAAGUAUGUUUAGCCACAGCACUUUUAUCCGGGCUAAAUUAACACAAAUGGGUUGGCAACUUCUAAUUUUUUAAUUUCCUCCUCUGCUCCACAGUUAUGAUGAUACAGUCCAAUUAACAAAGGAAAUAUGCUAGCAUUACAAAAUAGCAAAAGCACUUUCAAUUUUUUUACAAACUCGAUGACCUCAGCGUGAAGAUCAAAACUUUGUUUCCCAGCAGCUUUACAAACAAGGAUUUUAGCACCUCAUGCACGAUGAAUUCAAUUACCGUUAGCUUUACAGACGUUGAUGCUAAAUUCAAUUGCCAUUUUAAAGCUCCCCCGGCAUGUUAAAUUCAAUUCCCAGUUUUGUUACAAAACAAGAUCACCUCAAUGCCAAGAUUAAAACUUUAUUUCCAUUAGCUUUACAAACUGGGAUCUUAAAGUCCCCCCUUGCAUUCUAAAUUCAAUUUGCAAGCAGAUAUAAUCAAUCACUGAUCUGAAUUCAAGAUUAUUUAGCAGCAUUUGAUCAACAAUUCUCCUUUCUUUAGGGGAAAAAAAUUGCUAAGCACUACACAGACUCUACAUUCAAGAUCACAUGAUGCAACAAGAAUGUCCAAGAUAAGACUACCUUGAUUAACGACCAACAAGAAAAAGAGAUACAAAAGAACCCAAGAAAAGCAAAGAUGGGUACCAGGCCUUUAUGCUCCACAUGCUUGGUCUGGUAGAAUCCUUCACGGAUUAUCUACAAGGCACACAAGAAAUGGAAAAUGAGACUAAAUUUGAGACCCCUAAAAAAGGAAAAACAAAAUCUAAAAUUUAUAUCUCACCUCUCCAGCUCUCUUUGCUGCCUCAACAGCAGUCUGCAAGAACUCUGAAAGAGAAUCUAAAACAUCCCAAAUAAAAAACAAAAUGCAAAAAUCAUCAAGAUCCCAUACUGAAAAUGAACCAAGAAAUCAAAAACAAAACGAGAAAGAAUGCAAUAAAAAAAACUUGAUGGGGUCCUACCAUUCUGUGCCAUGUUUUAAAAUUUGUAUGUAGAAAGAAGAGAGUGACAGAGGGAAGUAGAUUGUGGUGGAGGUGAUGGUGAUGAAAGGCUCUGUGUCUUGAGUUUUUUUACGUCUAAAAGGAAGCAGCAGGCAAACCACAAAAUGGACCGUUUGAUUUCUGUUUUUUUCUCUCUUUAUACAUAUAUAUGCUGAAGAAUCUGCCUUUUCACCCAGUCUGUGUACUUUUUGCAUCAAAUUCCUGGUGAAAAAGGAAGUCCUUUAAUGGUGCCUUUUGAGUCCUUUUAACCCUUUUUUAUGGCUAUUCUUCCCCUACGUCAUAUUGUUACUCUUGAGUUUUCCUAUGAAAUUAAGAAAAUAUUAACAUCCAAAUGAUGGGGAAAGAGAUUUGCUCAAUUUUGAAUGAUGGAGGGCAUCAUUGGUGAGCCUAGGAAGAUAGGGACCAAAUUGAAACCUCCCUAAUAACUUGGGGUAUAUUUGUAGUUUUCCUAGAACAAAAAAUACCUAAAAUCUUACAUUUUUUUUUAAAAAAUAAAUAAAUAAAACCCAGCAUCAAACUCAGUGAUUGCUGAUGAAAGCAUUAAAAUCAGAUACCGUGAGAAUACGAAAUGAAUAUGGUGGAAAGUCAAUUCGGAUGAUAAAGGCAUCUCUUUUUUAUGGCAAUAAAAACAUAGUUACAGUAACCAAUCGAGGAUCAACUUACUUAAAGGUUAAUGUUAUGGAGUAAUCUAUAUUAAUAAAUAAAGUUUGAAAUAACAUUAUUUUUUUAUCAAAAAAAAAAAAAGGGUUGUUCCAUUCCACCUAUUUAACUCGGAUGACGAGGUUAGCCUAUGUACUGAACCGGGUCUUAGAAGUAGGAUAAAAAGUGAAAGCAGCAGAGAACAUUCUGGUUUUGGAAUUGAAGUAGAUGCUUGGAAUAUGCUGGAGAUGUUCACUCGUGAGUCGUGACUCACACAUGGAAGCCUCAUCUUUAAUAAUAAAGAAAAUGACUCCUUUCCUAGCAAGAAGAAAAGAAUUUUGGUGUGAAUUCUCUACCCUGUGGCCCACCAAACGAAGCUUCCUAUCAUAUCAUCCUCAGUAGGUUCUGCUGAGGAAUGUCCUUUGAUACUCUGUAUACGGUCAAAUGGCGUCACGGAGGACCCCUAAUGGCGGUGGGAAUCUAGUAACAUGCGACUGCUGCCUACUCUCCUCACUUGAGACUUGGUUCAGACUCCUACCAUCGACAAGAGUUAUAGCUACUUUACGUCCGCACUCCCUCGAACAAGGAAUCGUAACUUGUACACAAGUCUGUGUACAUAUGGAGAGGGAGACCUAUAUGGCUUCAAGUAGGUUACCAUGGGGAAUGAACAUACGGUGAAGCUGAAUAAUGACGGCUUCCAAUAGAGGACAUGGUUCACAAAAACAUGAACAUGCUCUCUAACAGGGUUCCUAAAAGCCGAGUAUUGGAUUGAACUCGAUUCAUGUCUCUUUAUUUCUCUCUUCCUUUCAAUACAUGUAAUUUUACCACAGAUCGCUAUGAGAGCUACAAUUUAUGUAAAAUAAUUACAAUAAACAACCAAGCUCUUUCGUGACUACUCUCUAGGCUCACAUAUCGUGUCAUCACAACUGCAUUAGAACGAUCCAAUAAUAUAUCUCCCAACAGCUGUCACAAUUAAAGAAGCCUUUUUAAUAAAUAGUACAAUUAUCAAUGACAAUAACAAAGCACAUUUUAAUGAAAGCAUUUUCCUAGGUUCAGAUGCCUAGAGAAUUGCUUCAUUGAAUGUUCUAAUGAUAUAUGAGCGGGAUAUAAUUAAGUUUCCCUACCUUGACAGCUUGUCGUCUUGUAAUGUAAUUGGUGGAUUCUAGCAGCUUCGAAUUAAAUUCAGCAAAAAACUGAAGUCCAUACAAAGUUAGACAAUGUCAAGCUCUGACCAACAUUUAGCAAGCAUGGCCGCAACAGGAAAUAAAGACACAUUUAGAAUGUUGCAAUUCAUGUUUUUGUCAUAGAUAUGUAGCUACCAACAUGCAGUUUAAAAAAGCAAAGAAGAAUGCUAUAAAAUUGAGGAGAUAAAGCUGCUCAAUUCAUCAGAGAGUCAAGUAAUAGCUUCUACUUUAUAUGCCCCAUCAUUGCAGAGCCACAAUAUCUUGAUAUUAAUGCAUUACCAGAAAAAUAAAUUUGCAAACCGUCUUUCUCUAAUCUCACCAAAGGUUUUCCGGCUAACACUUUUGUUGGCCUUCAAAUUCUUUGAAAAAUCUAUAGAGGAUCAGGUAUGCCCCAUUAUACAGUGUCAGUGCGUGCAUAACUGAGGCAAUAUAUGCGCACAUAUGUAUCUACAGGAAUAUAGGAUUUGAAUUUAGGUGUUAAAAAAAAACCUUUAGAGCUUAAAACCUUUACAUUGCUUUUAUAGGAUUUUGGUUUAGAUUCUGCUUUAUGUCUCCAUCAUUGCACAGUCACGAUAUCGUGUUAUUAAUGCAUCACCAGAUAAUUAAAUCUGCACAUCAUCUUUCUCCAAUCUCAGCCACAAGUUUUCUCACCAAAAUACUCGUCUGCCUACAAAUUCUUUAGAAAACAAGAGGAUUGGGCAUGCCUAUCAACCACCUUGUGUGUGUGGGAUGACCUAAGGCAUACAUAGCAGAAACAAGUAUAAACCUGUACAAGUAUGCAUCUAAACAUAAGUGACAGCAGAACUCACCCAAUCAUAGUUCUUAGAAAGAAAUUCAGCUACUGUAGAUUUAUGGCUUGUCAAUAGUUCCUGCAACAAAACAAUAUAAAAGUCUCAGAUUCACACUUCAACUAAUAGCAAAUACAAGGCCGAAACAUAAAAACUUCAUAAACAUGCAAUAAAGACAAAUAAUACAAUUGUCAAAUUCGAAUUCCACAAAUAAAAUGCUUGACAGAAGCUUCAAAACCCUAAUGCAUGUUCAUCGCAAUCUUACAUCUACACUCACCAAAAUUCAACAACACUAAUCUAAUUCUUUUAUUGUGAACAAACUAGUUGAAACAAAUCAAUGACACAUAUAGCGCCACAGAUCACACCAAAUUCACAAACCUACAAUCAAAGUUUCCACUUUUAAUCACUCCCUUGACUACUAAAGCUACUAAAAAGCUAAAACCUUUACACCCAACCAACUGCCAGUAAUAUCAGAUUCCUCUCACAGCACACCCAACCACAUUCAAGUUAAACUUGGCCAGCAAACUAACCUCUUUGCAAUCACAUUAGCACUCAGCAAAUUAACUAUUUCUUCCUAUCUAUGUAAAUAUCACAGCAUAUUAUAGCAUACUCUAAUCCAAACCUCAAUCAGACAUCAAGAAUCACCCUAAAAAACGCAAUUUUUUCAUAAAGAUUGAACCUUUCUCAUCCAAAGCAAAAAAAGAAAAGCAACCCAGACCCCAAACAAUCUCAAAUCAAUCAAAAUCCACCUAAUUAAAAGAAAAUAACAGAAAAAGAACACAUAAAAUAUAUAGAAAUGAUAAGAAAGAGACUGCCAACCUUCUCUUCUCGUUUUGAAUCUGAUAAAGAAGCUGAACUCUGAUCGGCAUAGAUUAAAAGAUCGCGAGUCUGUCUAACUAUAUCGACAGGAGUCCUCCGCACUGGAUGUCCCGAUUUCGAAUUACUCAACAGCCCAUAAUAUCCCUUUGUCGCUACUGCCGCUGCCGCUGCCGGCGCCGGUGAUUGUGGCGGUGGCGAUACUCUCCUCACCACUACCUCCUCCCGGGCUGCUGCUGCUGCGGCAGCUGGUUUUGACACGCAGAUUCCUAUCUUUCCUCCCUUUAUAAACCCCACAAAAACACAAGAAAGCGAUUUUGCCUUCUAUCUACGAAAAGGGUUCACGGUUUACUUGAUUUCAGCCACCAAUUUUGCUUUUGGAUUAUUGGGUUUUUAUGGGAUCUUGGUCAAAAUGUGUGCUUGAUUCGACGGUUAUGGUUUUUUGGGCUCUGCAUAAACAGAUUGCCAGUCGUUACCGUGUCACUAACCGCUAAAUACUUACAGUACAGUGCUAUUUUUUCUUACGUCUUCAUUUUCUCUAUUAUUAUUAUUAUUAUAAAAAAAAUUACAAAUUCACUAUGACCGUCUCACAAAAGCACUGUUUAUUAUAGUUUUAAAAAUAAUAUUUUAAUAAAAAAUCCAAAAAAUUAAAAUUCAUCAACGGUGUGAUAGUUAGUUAAACAGGUCAGCUGAUUUUUUUUUUCCAACUCGAAUGGCUCCAUUCAUAGAUUAGAUUAACUGGGUCUAAGCUGAUUUAUCGGGUAGUCUAGGUUGUAAAACAAUUUUGAUCAUAGUUCUAGAUCAUGAAUUUAAUAAAUUAAUUUAAUUAUAUAUAUUAUUAUUUCAAUUUUAAAAAAAAAUUGUCAUUUUAAAAAAGAUUUUCAAAGUCAGUUUUUAUCUGGCAUUUAGGUUAAUAUUUGACCUGUCAAAUUCAUUAUAUUAUAUUAAAUUAACUCUAACAUGAUUUUGAUUUUAAAUUUGAAUUAAAUAAAAAGAAUUCAAAACUAAAUUAUUUCUCUAAAUUUAAUAAUAUUAUCAGAAUAUUACUCGUUGCCUAAUUUUUAUACAUUUUGUUUUUGUUCGGCUAGUAGCAUAACGUAAUUAUCCAGUAAUCGAUCUAAUCCAUUUUAAAAAUUUUUAAUAUUAACAGCUAUAUGUGCAGGGAAUAUCAAGGGGUAAGUUCAGAUUGUAAUAAAAGGGACUUAUUCCAUUCAAACUUCUUAGGUUUGGAAACAAUCAUUGGCAAAUUUAUUUUUAAUUAGUCUUAUUCAUAAAAGUAUCCUAAGACAAUCAUUUAGCUUCGACAUUGAUGCAAUAUUUAUAUCAAAAAAGUCUCUUUAGAUGUUUAAUUUUUAUGUAUCGUAAUUUUAUUUGUAUUUAUUUUAGUUAUACAAAAAAAUAAAGUAUACCUUUUAGAUCUACCUAUGUAUCUAACUGGUCCAAGUUUAAGAGUUUUUCAUAAAUAGACAGUACAAUGCUACUACUUGGAUUACCCUAUAGGUUAAUCUGAAAUCUAAUUAAUUCAGAAUUUGGAGCGGUUUAAAUUAAAUAAAUAAAUAAUUCAGUUGAUUUGAUAAAAAAAAAAUUUUAAGUUAACUUAUUGAUCGGUCAACACCCGGCCCUCAAUUUUUUAAAAAAAAAUUAUAAAAGAAAAAUAUUAUUUUUAUCAUAUUAAAAAAAAAGAUUUGAGAAUUGAUUCAGGAUGAUCUUUUUAACUCAUAACCUCCUGUAUCUUAUCCCGGUCAACUCUAUAUCAAGUUUUACAAUUAUGUUAGAUUUAUUGAUCCUAACAGAAUUAUUUUAGAUCAAUAUCCAAAAUAAAAUUAUGAUACUAUAUUUAAUAUUAAAAUUGUAGUUGCGUAAAUUUAAUGAGUUUGUAAAGUAGAUAAUACCAUAAAAUUAUCCUUUAUAUAGGCUAUAUAUAAAAGAUACCAAAUAAUAAUAUUAUUCAAUUCACGAAAUUACCAGCAGCCAUAACAACACAAAUAAAUCAUAGCAAACAAAGCAAACACACAUAUUUUUUCAUGGAGUCUCUCACGCACACAUCACUGUUCUCUUGUCACCACCACAUAAUUAGACCAAAGUAAUUACAAAAUAAAGAAGAGAAGGCAAAAGGUUUCAUCAUCAAACUUAACAUUACCAAUUAUCUAAGAAAAUAGAUCCAUUUCCAACUGCCUGGAAAUCGUUCUGUACAGUCCUCCAAUAUUUACUGAUCGAGUAGCAUUGCCUUCAGAAAUCUGUUGAGGGCUUUUCUCACUUUCAAGUACACUGACGACUUCGGACAUUUUAGGCCUGAGAGUAGGAGAUGGAUUAACGCACUUCAUUGCCACGUGCAAAACAAUGAGAGCCUGCCUUUUGUCGUAAUUGGAUUCUAAUUUCUGGUCCACCAAUUCAAUGAUUUUUCCCUUAUCGUUCAAAACAGCAGCCUGCAAUUGAAAAGCAAGAUUAGCUUAGCUCCCAGUAUUAAUGAAAUAAUCAAGUAAUUAUUACUUAUUAUUUUCUAAUCAAUUAAAAAAAUCAAGGAAUUAAAUAACUCUAAGCAAUCAAGAAAUUAUUUCUAUCAUCCAGUUAAAGGAGAUGAUCAAGCAUAUUUUUUAUAAUUUAUUUUAUUCUAUUUACUUAUAGGUAUUGUUAUAUGACUAUAUAAACUCCAUAUGAGUUGAAUGUAACAUAUAUAUUAAAUUAUCGAAUAAUAAUAUAUAUCCUCUCAUAUUCUAUUUUUUUUUUUGGUAUCACAGCAGGUUGAUUAUAUACUACUCUAAAUAUUAGCUUUUGUUUUUUUGAUGGACAAUUUUAUGCCAUCAAUCCAAUAAUUUUAAAACACUUUGUUUUCAAACUCUUCAUUAUCUAUCAAAUAUUUAAUUUACUAUUCCUUUUCAAUGAUAAAUCAACUCAUAUAAGGAAAAAUUAUCACAAGUCAUCUAAUGUUGGCAGAACAUGUUUGGUUUGAAAAAAAAAAAAAACUAAGAGGGUUUAUCCUGUCAAAUACACUUACUUUAUCCAGAAGAAACUUAGCUUCUUGAUUGGGUGUAUAUUCUGCACUAACUGUCCCGCUAACUAUUUCGAGUAGGACAACUCCGAAACUGUAAACAUCAGCUUUAACAGUAUCUAUUGCUUUUCCCAUUGAAUACUCAGGUGCCAUGUAAACUCUGCAAUAGAAGAUUAAUUAUUGGUUAAUUAGCUCUUAAUUAAAAGAAUGAAAGUAGUUGUCGAUCAAUGAUCAUAAUACUUACCGCGACUCUUUUGCUUCGAUGGUCAUAAAUGGAUCUUCCUCACCACAAAGCGUUGCCAAUCCAAAGGCAGACAACUUGGCCGUAAGAGAGUUAUCAAGCAUAAUAUUACUAGGCUCCAUGUUUCCAUGAACAAUCUCUUUCUCUUCAUGUAAAUACUUCAAACCUCUUGCUAUUCCCAGACAGAUACCAAAUCUAGCUUUCCAAUCAAGUUUUGUCGUGGAAUUUGGUUCUACAAAUCAAGGUUAUUGAUAUUAAGUUAUUGAUAUUUGCAAGUACACAAUCCUUGUACUAACAGAAGAUUUAAAUAUACAAUUAGAAGCUCUCACAAACAUUAAGUGACGGAAUUCUAUUUACUCCUAUGUUAUAGUUCUCAACAAUUAUAUGAAUUUCGCAAGGCAAUGCAUUAGGUGAAAAUUAAGAUAAAACUUGAGAAUCGAAAGAGCAGGAUGAAAAUUGGUUGAUGGCAGUAUUACCGAACAACGCACGUUGAAGGGAGCCUUUCUCCAUAAUAUAUUUGAAUAGCCACCCCAUAAUUGAACAAGAUUCUCAUGUUUCAAAGAUUUCAGUUUGGGGAUUAUUUCCCCUUGUAAUUCAUCUUUUCCUUGUUGCUUUGAAUUACGAGGAGAAAUCUUCAUCACUGCUAAUUUUCUCUUGUUCGGCAAUUCAGCCUGCAUACACGUGAAAUCAAUUUACCAGAACUCUGAAAGAAAAAAGUGCAUGUUGAGGAACAAAUGUUUCAAAAAAGAAAAUCUGACCUCGUAUACUAUUCCAAAGCGUCCCCCGCCAAUCUUCAUUUUGGGGCUAAAUUUUCGAGUAGCAUCGAUUAUUUCUUUGGGGGUGAAACGUUCUCCAUCUCCUUUAUCUCUUUUAUCUCCUUUAUCUCUUUUAUCUCCUUGAUCUCCUUGAUCUCUUUUAUCUCCUUGAUCUCUUUGAUCUCUUUUAUCUCCUUGAUCUCGUUGAUCUCUUUUAUCUCCUUCAUCUCCUUCAUCUCCUUCAUCUCCUUGAUCUGCUUGAUCUGCUUCAUCUGCUUGAUCUGCUUGAUCUGCUUCAUCUGCUAGUUCGAACGGUAUAGUUUUAUCUAUUUGAAGAAAACAUCAAAGUAAGAAUUCUUAAGGUUGUAUGGUGCAUAAUGAUUUUAGAUUAGCAUAGAGAGGUACCAUUCAAAUCGCUUUGCUGCAGCCAGCCCAUUUUCCACAUGUAAGCCGACAGAAGUAGAGAAGCAAAUACUGAACCUGCAAUAAUCCCUGCAAUUUGUGAAGGAGAUAGUUUCUUGCCGCCAACUUUGAAGUCUGUACACAAAUAGUGGAAGACAGAAAGAAUAAAUUAUUUAUCCAGAUAAAGUGUACCAGAAAUCUUCGCGCAACAAAAUUAAGAGAAUGCAACUCUUUACUUGCAGUUACGGAAAUGCCUGACACAAGGGGUCCAUUUAGAGACAGUGCAGCAGGUGAAUUGAAAAAUCUUGGCUCCAGGAAAGUUCCUUUGCCAGCCCGGAAAAAAUGGAUAGUCAAUAGAUGAUCAUCUCCUACAUAUGCUGAGAAAUCUUUGCUCCAUGUCUUAUUGGUGCCGCUGGCCAUUUCUUUUAUGUUGAAGUCUUUUAGUGUUCUGUUCCCCUAUAUCAAACAGUGGAGGUUUAACGAUGGAAAUUUUUUAAAGAAGCUGCAGAAAAAUAUAGCGGUUACCUGUAUAUAUACAUCAAAAACACGUUUCCCUAAAUUCGAAUAAUCUUCAUCACUUUGGUAAACAGUUUCAGCGAAGUAAAGUUUCACAGUGUAAUUUCCUUUAAAUAAACAGAAGCCGUAAUAUGUCAGAGAAAGAGGGCAGAGGCGAGUUGAGCUGUAUAACGGUGUCGCAGCAGAAUCACAAACUCCACAAUCCACGUUUUUUAUGUAAUCACUGGAAUCGUAAGUUUUCGAUCCGAAGUCUCCAGAACAAGAAUAAGCCCAAUUUUUUCUUGGAGCUGAAUAAUAAUUUGAUGUUGCACUAUCUGCUUCAAACUCUUUCCUAUCAAAAACUGUGCCUUCUCCUCCACAAUUUAUAUAUAAGGAAUCGUCUGCAAAAAAUGAUAAUCAGUACAGAAAAUCUGUCCUGCGCUAAAUUAAGAGCUUCUCAAUAGAACUUACACUUUGGUUUUCCCCGACAUUUAUCUGUCAAAUCACGUAUAGAAUUCCUAGAAAUAGCAAACAACAUUUGUAAGAAAUAGCUCAGGAUUAUUUGCUCUAAAUUAAUUGCACCAUAUGGAGGAUAUUACCAUACCUGUUUGGUUCACUGCUUGAGUAGGAACAAAAUGCAAGCAGUUGGUGCACAUGAUACAAAAUGAUCAGAAGUUGGAAUUUCAUAGACAACAAUAUUCUUGCAAGUGAAAAAAAAGGAGGAAGAAAAUGAAGUAGCCGUUAUUACAUGUUUAGCUUUCCUUCUCCUUUCUUCGGACCAUCACGUGGAAUUUCAAAAUUAUUAUAUGACAAGUCCCUGCAACAUUAUUGUUUACAUAUCAAGAUUUUAUUGAGGAAACCUACAAAAGGGAAAACAACCCAUCUGAGCAAAGAGCACAAAGCCAUAACAUACGCCUUGUCUUCAAUGUUAUCAGUAACCCAGGAAGGUACGGUGCCAUUAAGCAUAUUUCCUGUGAGAAACCUAAACAAAACAAACCAGUAUGAAAACCAUCCCAUGUACUUUUUAACAGAGUGGCAGAACGAUCUUAUUAUAAGACAUCGAGUUCAAGGAAUCUCUUUUUCAUACAUCUUACUUAAAUUCAGCUUUUCCAUGGAAUCUGGUAUUCCACCCGUUAAGUUGUUAAAGCUCAAGUCUCUGCAGGAUCAAUAAAAUGAAAGCAAACGUUAUCCUACAUAUUUGAUAUAUAGUUGUGCUAUGGUCAAUUAUUGCAUAGUUGAUUCUGUAAACACAUAGUCAAAAUCAUCAACACUUCCUAUGCAUGGCCUAAAGGCCUAAUCAAAAUCAAAAUAGAGCGGAUGAAACAAAGUAGCCAUGAGAGAACUACAAAUCUUUUACAAAAGAGGAAAUGAAACUUACAGGUAUUUUAACCUUGACCAAUCACCAAUGUACGGGGGGAUUUCACCACUUAUUGAGCAAUUCCUUAUCACCCUACACAAACCAUUGAAGAAGUUGGUGUUUGGAUUUAUCCAAUGCAUCCAUAUCAUUAAGAGUCACGUACAUAAAUAUUGACAAAACAAUAUAAAACACAACAUUGUGACAUCCAGGAUAAAUUUACCAUAGUCGUUAAUUAAUAUAUAUAUUUUAAAUUCUCAAACCUGAAUCCCAGAUACAACUAGUCUUCACAGCAUGUAAUAGCUCAUACAAAAAACUCAAGAUAAUAUAAAGAAAAAUAGGCCUAAAAAAAAUAUAAUCCAAAUUCUACAACAAUAACGCUCCCAGACAAAUAUAAUUCCAAGUGUGCAUGGUUUUUAUUAUUCAAUGUGAAAUUAAUCUUUAUACCAUAUCCACAAUUCUACAACGACUAUAGUAAAUUCCAGAAAAACUCACAGGUAUCUUAUUCCCGUCAUAUUUGCAUAUUUUGGGAAAGGGAAACCGGCCGAGCUUCUUACAUCACUAACAAACCUGGAAGAAAAACCAGCCAGAAUAAAACAUGCAUUUAUUUCAACCAUCCAGGUUAAAAUUAUAGAACACUUACAAGUAUUGGAGAUUUGGCAUGUUAAAAAGAAGUUCAAGAGGCAGCUGUCCUUCAAAAUCAUUCCCGGAGAGGGACCUGAAAUCAGUACACACAAAGACAAAUUAUUGAAUGAUAUUCAUCGACAGUUUCUCUGCUCAAAUGGUUGGAGGUAGACAUUCAGCAUUGAGAAAUCAGCUCAAUCAACUAAUAUUGUAUGAUUACAGAAAGUACAAGUAAUUUCUUACAGGUAAGAGAGUCCAUUCCAAUUCGCAAUGAAGUUUGGAACUUGACCGGUCAAACGGUUCCCAGCUACGCUACUGCAGCCAUAGUUAGUUACUUUUCCUUGGAACAAUAAUUAAACAGAUUGUUGGUUGAAAGAACAUGAUUAGUUGCACUUACAACCACCGCAAUUGAUCCCAAGUACUAAAGUUGGCGUAAUUUCCCGGCAGUUCUCCACUCAAAUUGUUGGAGCCCACAUCUCUACAACAACAAAUCAAAAGGAUUGUAAUCCACCUUUUUUCUGUUUUAUUUCUCCUCUUUCUAUCUUCCGUGGUUUUACAAGGUGGUAUGAUAUUAUUAUUCUUCUUCUUGAAACUUACAAAUGAUUUAGAUAUUUCAAUUCUCCAAGUUGUGGUGGAAGCUGACCAGUGAGUUCAUUGAAGCCCAAGUCCCUAAUUAAAUAAGAGAUAUGAACCAAACCAAACUAAAUAAGUAAAAGGAAAUUCAAGGAGAAUGAAAGAGCGAGCGAGCGAGUUUCUAUACAUAUAUCGGAGACUAGAGAGGUUGCCCAAUUCUUCAGGGAUUUGAUCUGAUAACUUAUUACUUGACAAACUCCUGAAAACACCCACAAGAAUAAGAGCACAAAACUUGCAUCAGCAAUGGAAAAAAAAUUUAAUUAACAUUAUAUGAUACUGAAGAAAUUGUGAUUGGAUGACACGUACAUAUGUUUAAGUUUCGUCAAAUUCCCCAUAGAUAAAGGUAUGGAGCCACUGAGGAAGUUUCUCGAGAGACGGCUAUGCAAAUAAGUUCAUUAUUACUCAAAUAAGAACCAAUAAUAUAAAUUUUAUGAAGACAAACUAAGAACUGAAAUUAGUUAUUAUAAAUUAUCCUAAAGCUAAGCAGCUCUUUGCUCAUAACCAUGCAUAUAUCCAAACAAGCAUUAACACAAUUAAGCAAUUAGCCAAACAAGGCUACUAUCCUAAUUACAUAAGAGAAGAGAACCAAACAGAACUAAGAAGUUAAUUUUUGUGACCAUUAACCAUAGUUAUAAAACCUGACCCGGGGGUUGACCCAGCCAAAAAGUCGAGUCUCGGGUUACACGGGUUGACCCGGGUCAACCCGAAAAAACAAUAUUUAAAAUUUUCAUAUUUCAUUUGAAAUUUUUUAAAAACAAUCAAUUUGAAUAUAAGUUAUACAUGUUAUAAAUAAUAAAAUUUAAAAUAUUAUUUCAAAAUAUUUUUUAUCCUACAUUGAAAAAACAUGACUUAAUUUUUUCUUAUAAACAUAUAGUAUAUUUACUAAAAGACUUCAAAUCCGACAUUAAAAUAAUAAAGUAUUUUUUUAGUAUUUAUAUACUAAAAUUUGAAAAUGGUUAAUAACCAACUAAAAAAAUAAAAUAAAAAAAGAGGAGUCUCUAACUAGGAGAAAAAACACAUUUGAAAAAAAAAAAAAAAAAGGAUCUCAACUGGGUUUUGUCGAGUUUUUGCUCAUUCCGGUCUUUUAUCUUACCCGGACCGGUUUAACAACCGAGUCAAUCAGGUCCCGGAUCGACUAGCAAGUCUAGUCCGGUUUUAAUAACUAUACCAUUAACACCUUGCCAUGAACAUUUAUAAGUAUCAAGACCCCAUACGGCUUGCCCUUAUUUUAAUUUCUAACAAAGCUAAUUUUACUGAAAAUGUUUCCCCAAAAAUUCUAUUAAAAAAUCUUUACAUUUACAAGUACAAGUAUAAUCUAUCAAUUGUCUAUUCAGUAACUUCUUCUUUAAUUUAAUGAAGCAAAUUUGAGUUCUUAACUCAAAUUUUCACCAUUAUAAUAUAAUUAUGUAGUCCUAAACACUAUAUUCUCCGAAUAAAAAUGAGAUCUUAACUAUUAUUUAAUGGAAUAUAAUUUAAAAGAAGUGAUUUUAGAAAACAAAAAUUAAUGUUAGAUUUGUAUAUAUAUACUCUGAAAAUGCAUGCUGAGACUAUAAUUUCAUAGAAUAACAGAAGUUACAAAUUGUAUGCUCUUUUCUUACCAUUAUAUAUUAUUUUUUAAGAGAACAGCAAUGGUAUAAAAUCAAACCCAAAUAUCCAAGAUGUUCUCCUAUAAUUCAUAUAAAAAUGGAUGUUCUUCGAUACCCAAGUCAAACGUUUUGGUUAGUGCCAUUUUUUUAAAAAAAAAAAAAAAUUAUGAUGGAUAGUUUGCUUUUAACUAUAUUAGAAAUAAUAAUUUAGUUUUGAAGCAUGAAAUCUAAAUCCUUAAUUAGGAAAAAAGUGAGGAUCUUUAAAAAUUGGACAUGGAAUGUUUCUGGAAAAAAAAUCAAUAUUAAUAAAAUACAUAUAAACACAUACAAGAAUAAGAGCACAAAACUUGCAUCAACAAUGAAAAAGGAAUUUAUUUGACACUGAAGAUGAUACUUACAUUAACUAUAUGAUACUGAAGAGAGUGAUUGCAUGAUACUUACAGAUAUUGGAGGGACGACGUCAAAUUCCCCAAGGAUGGAGGUAUGGAGCCACUGAGGAAGUUUGUGGAGAGAUCGCUAUGCAUAUGUGUUACCAUAUAAGUUUAUUAUUACUCAAAUAAGAACCAAUAAUUUAACUUUUAUGAACACGCACUAAGAACUGAAAUUAGUUAUUGUAUAUGAUCCAAAAGCUAAGCUGCUCUUUUGCACAUAAUUAUGCAGACAGCCAUUAAGAAAUUUUUGGAGAGAUCGCUAUGCAUAUGGGAAGUGGGAAGACAUUCACCGUACAUUAAUGGAAAUAUAACGAAAGAUUACAAACAUCGAAUCAAUGCAAAUUUCUUUGCUAGUAUUUUUGGGAGGGCACUUAUUUUCUAUUAUUUUUUUUACCUUUUCAAACACCCAUCUAAAUUAUACUUGUAAUAUAUUUUUCCUCUUUAAUGAAACAAUAUAAAAAAAAUUAUACUCGUAUUUAAUUUAACAUAUCUACAUAUAUUACUAUUAAAUAUUAAAAGAUUAUAAAAUUAUUUGGGAUAAUUAUAUAUAUAUAUAUGCCUUUUGAAUUAACUAUUGAAAUUAAUUAUUUUAAAUAAAGACUUUAAUUUAAUAAUUAAUGAUCAACAUCUGUUGUAUUCUAUCCGACCUUGGAUUGCAUCUGAUGCAGCCAUUGAUAGGUUGUGAUGGAUCAUAAUUUCGAGAUUGCCUUUACGGGCUUGAUCCGAACAAUGCUUUGAUUUCUUUGCUGGUAUUUUUGGGAGUAUGGUUGGAAUUCAUCUACACGCUGACCAGUUUAAUUGUUUAUUUAUAUGUAAAUUGACCCAGGAUAAAAAAGAUUCAUUAUCGGGUCUUCUCCUUUGAAUGUUGCCUCUGGAAUAACAAAAUUAGUUAACACACGACUAUGUCUUUUGUGAUGUGCAAUUUUUAUGUUCGUCGUUUGUUAUGUUAUGUAUAAAUUGUUUUUUGUUUUUCAAAAAUCAAUUCAGGAUAAAAAGAUUUUUUGUUGGGUCUUAUUCUUUUGUCUAUCACGUAAUAAAAUCAAUUAAUAAAAGACUUAAUUUGUCAUGUUUCUACAGUUUAAUUUUGAUGGCAUCAUUUCUCCAAGAACAGGAUUUAUUUUUAAUCAUGUCUUGAAGUUUUUUGUCGUUUAUACAAAAUCAACCCAAUUAAUAAAAGACUUUAAUUGUGUGGUUUUCCUGGGAUGUUGCAUUAACAAUAGGCGAGUAUUGAUUAAUGCACAAUGCCUAUUUAAUUUCUAUAAACAAAAUGUUAUAAUUUGGAUUCUAUGUGUCCUUGACAAUACCCUUCCAAUAUACUAUUCCGAUUAUUUAGUCAAACAGUUGUCUAGUCAAACAUAAUCUAAGCAUAGGAGUUGAUCGCCCAUAGUGACAAUAUUAUUUUUAAUUGUAAAUAUAAAUAUUUUAAGACAUUAAUAUUAUUUUUUAAUUAUAAAUAUUAAUUUAUCAUUUGAAUUUUCUCGUCUAGUUUGAAUGUGUGUUAAUAAUUAUUUAUUGUUUUAUUAUAUAUUUUUUGGAUCCAAUAAAUAAAUUUGGGCCGUAUCCAUGCAAUCCCACACAGGUCUGUUAAAAAUAAAUAGUGUUUUUCGUAACUAUUUCAAUAAAUGUUAUCUUUUAAUUAUAAAAGUAAAUAUUUUAUGAUAUUAAUAUUAUUUUUUAAUUAUAAAUAUUAAUUUAUCAUUUUUAAUUAUAAACAUUCAUCAAAGUGGAGAUUAGGUCAUAUUAAUACUCCUUUCAUUAUAGAAUUCUCUAACCAUUAAAUUAUCUACCCGAACUUUUAUAUCGAUUCUUUUAUUCACGAAAUAACACCUUUUUUAAAACAUCUCGCCAGGGCCUAGACUUCUAGCUAGACAAUAGCUUCCUCAUAUGUCAGACUUCUAGCUAGACAAUAGCUUCCUCAUAUGUCAUGUACUUCUAAACUUAAAUAUGUCUUCCUGCAAUAAAACUAGUUUAAGAGACACUUAACACUAUUAAGCAUAUAUUUAGGCUCUAAUUAUAAUUUAAAGUCUAAGAGUUAAAUUUCAAUAUUUAAAAAGUUAAUUUGAUCAAAUUAGGAGGUUAAGUGAAAAAAUAAGGGUUAAAUUGAAGUUUUUCAAAUUCUAAAUUAAAAAUUCUAAUUUGUAGGGUUUAGCUUAAAUGAUAUGUGGUUCAACUACUAUGCAUCCUUUUCUUUAAUAAUUUUUGUUGAUCUAAUAAAUACUUUUAAAUAAAUGAAUAUAGUGGCAGAAACUAUAUUCUUCUAUAGGCACUUUUGUUGUCCAAACUGCUGUAGUGGCAGUAUAUGAUCAUGGUACUGGAUCACUUACAGACGGUUGAGUGAACUCAAGUUCCCCAAGAUGGGAGGGAUGCUACCAUGAAGUUGAUUCUUGGACAAAUCACUGUUAUGGUAAUAGGAUAAUUAUCAAUGAAUUGAAGUCAGCAUAACUACUUCGAAUUAUUAUCAUCAUAUGUCAUAUGAUACUCACAUUGCAUUUAGGUGAACGAGACGAGCCAAGGCUUCAGCAUUUAUUUCUCCAGUUAAGUCCUGGUCUGGGAGCGUUCUACCACCCAAAAAUGGCGUCAACAUAGAAACCAGUGAGUUUUAAAGAGGAUGUAUUGCCUUACAAAAAUGAAAGAAAAUUGGAUGAAGUUGAUGAGGAACUUACAGGCCGGUGACGUGACAAACUGUGCUGUUCUCGUCAGUGCAAUCGCAUUUGAUGUAUUCAAAAUUAGAGGAACAAGCCGAGCGUGAGAUAUUUGGAUGAAAACCCCACUCUAACUUUAUCAGCAAGUCUUCCAAAGCCUUUUCUGCCAAACGUUUUCAACAAUGAAACAUCAUUUUUUUUAGCAAAAUUCAAACAGGUAGUAUGCAUUAAUUAGGUUGUUAUUAAAAAUCUCAUUAAUGAUGUAAAUUGAACUAAUGCAAAUUGAACUGUCAACAACAAGCAUGAAAUCGUGUGUACCUUCAUCUUCAGGCAAUUAAGGCAUGUCAUAUAAAUUUGUUGCUUUACAGACUACAUAGCCAAAUUGACAAAGAAGAAGAACGGCAAGAGAGGAAACAAGCUUAGGAAAGAGCUUAAGAUAAAGCUUAGCCAUUACUAUAGUUUGCAAUGCGACAUGCAUGGAAUCUACACAAAAAAAGCCCUCUUUGUUCAUAACUUAUUAUUAAUUGGGUCAUCUGAAAGAGAAGAUAUUGAAGGAAAAGCUCAUAUUUAACAGAUAAACAAAUUUUCUUCCUUCUUUUGUAUAUAGGAGGAAAAAGGAUAUAUAUGUAGAUGGAAAAGUAUAUCGUGCGUGUGUACCUUCAUCUGCAGGCAACGUGGCGUUUCUGUCAGAGGAAUUUGUUGAUUGACAGGCUACAUAGCCAAAUUGACAAAGAAGAAGAACGGCAAGAAAGCAAACAAGCUUAGGAAAGAGCUUAGCCAUUACUACUUUAGCUUGCAAUGCGCUUCCCUUGAGACGACAUACAUUCUUUAUAAAGAUAUUGUUUUACCGUUCAAACAGUUAUUAACUCUGAAUCAAUUACCUCACAUUACCAAAUUGUCCCUGUCCAAAUAUCAAAAUACCCGAGAAAAGUAACUUGCAAUACAUUCUUUUUACAUUGAUUUUUGGAACCAAGAUUGAUACAUAAUUAAUUCUAGUGGUUGCCGGAAAUAAUUUUGGUUGUUUUGUCUUAAUUAUGUGCUAUAAAAGAAUGAAAAAAACCUGAUAUUUUUUGCUUAAAAAAUCAGAUGUUUUUUAAUUAAAAUAAACAAUUUAUAAAGUGAAAGGUAAUUAUUCAGAUUGUUUAUUCAUAAACUGGAUAAAUAAAGUGGAUUGAUGAAAAAAUAUUUUGUUUAUCAAAAUAAAAACAAUGUUAUUUUAACUAAAAUAACUUGAAUUAACUGAGUUAUCUCAGAAAUUAAUUUCUUAAUUUAAAGUAUUUUUCGAGUUAGUUUUUUUUAUUUUGAAUCAAUAACAACAAUCAUUCUACACCUACACACUCGGAAAAAAUAAAUUUUUAACUGAUGACUCAACUUUUAAGUAGUAAAAUAAAAGAAUUAUCACUUAAAUUUGAAUGAGAAUUUUAUAUAAAAAAACUCUUCUAUGCCCAGCUAAAGGCUCUGCUGAAUGAUUGAACCCGUGGAAUCUAAACAUUGAGAAGUAAUAAUGCAUCUUUAAAAUUUAUGGUCAAGUCUUUGUUUAUGUUCAGCAUCUUUCGUCAAUCUUUUCCAUUUAAAAAAUCCAAAAGCUGAUAGCUUACCCUUCAUUUCUUGGGUCCAAUCGGAAAGUGAACAUUGACAAGUAAUAAUGCAUCUUUAAGAUUUAUGGUCAAGUCUUUGUUUAUGUUAAGCAUCUUUUGUUACCAUUGUCAAGUAAUAAUAAUAACCACCGUCAGUCCAGGUAAAGAGCAUUCUGUAAUGCUGCUUUGAAAACCAAAAAUUGAAUGUUAUUUUCAAGAUAUAAAUUUCAUUGGAUCUACUUUCGUAUAAAAAACAAACAAACAAGGACUUUAUUUCAUGUGGAUAUAAAUUUCAGCUCAAAUAUUAUAGCUCAACCAUUUUGUAUUCAGAAUAUAUUAUUUAUGCUAUUCUCACAUGAAAAGUCUUGGCUGUAAAAUUCUUGAAAGGAGAACAAUACACAGUUAUCUUCUAAGAAAUACUUUUUAUCAAAGUAGAAAACGUGCAAUAAACACGUUUUAUUUUCAACAAUAUAAAAGUGAUCUCAAAUUACAUUACGUAGGUCACACAAGAUAAAUCGGAAUUUCUUUGUAAGUUCCUGCUGCCCCUACUGCCCCAAAGUCCUCACCGGAUUCACUGAAACCAUCACGUGAUGGCCUGCCCACGUCAAAAAGAUUAUAAUUAUUGAUAUAUAUUCAGGUUUGUUAUCCUGAAAAAAUCAAGAAAAUUAGGAGACAAAGAUUCCUUAAUUUUUAUCAGGGCAUAGGGUAUAGAUGAAAUGGAAGUCAUCACCUAAUAUUUUAAUCACUAGAAACUCUAACUAGUCUCGGAAAUUAAGUACGAGAACUAAUUACGUAAAUGAAAGAUAUUAGCAUCUCAAUUACGCCCUAUUUAAAGUAACCUGCAUUGUUUGAUUAUUUGAUAAAAUCUAUGGUAUUAUCGUGUUUUUUAUUUAUUGAUUUGUCUAAGGUUUUAGAGAAAAGUCUUCAUAGAUAAGGAGGUUCUUAUCUUAUCAGAUAAAACCUAACUGUUAUAACGUCAAUAAAAAAAGCUACUUUUUUAAUAUCGAAAAGAUAGUUUACGUAUAAAUUCGUAAUCCCGAAUGCUAAAAAAACAAAAUAUGUUUUUGGGUAUUUUUGAAAUAUUGGCAAAUCCUACUAAUUUUGGUGUGAUAAUCUAGGCGCUACUUACUUAAUUAUAUGCAAAUCCUAUGUUUCAUGCUUGCUCUAAACAUGUUAAGGUUAACUAUCGUUUUGUCUGAGAUAAGGUUGCGAAGAAAGAGAUUCAAAUUCGUUUUAUCCCCUCUUACGAUCAACUUGCAGAUGUUCUUACUAAGUUGCUUCUUACUGCUCCAUUUAGUACCUUUCGAUUCAAGUUUCAGUCGAUCCUCCACUCUUAGCUUGAGGGGGUAUAUUAUAGAAUGUACCUAUAUAGAAAAUAUUAUAGUCAUAUUCUUGUGUUGUAAUCACCACCAUUAUUAUUGUAUAUUGCCCUACACAUAUAAAUAAAAAAGGUUCGUCAACCAAUAGAUUAAGCCUCCUAAUUAUUCUUAAUUAUAAACAUCUUUUGUUAUGUAUAAUUUUUAUAUUUGUGGUUUGUUAUGUUGUUAUAAAUUGUCUUUUUAUUCAUAAAUCAACCUAGGAUAAGAAGAUCAUUUGUUGGGUUUUAUUAAUUGGAUGUUGCGAAUCACGUAAACUUAAUUUUGCAUAUUCAUGCAAUUUAAUUUUGAUGGCACCAGAUUUACUUUUAAUUGUGUCUGGUAUUUUUUGGUUGUUUAUACAAAAUUGACCUAAGGAUUGGAAGACUUUAAUUUUGUGCUAUCCCUCGAAUGUUGCAUUAAGGAUAGUCGAGUCAAUUAAUGCUUAUUUUCUAUAUACAAAAUUUCAUUUUCAUAUUGUGCUAUAAUCUGGAUUUGUGAGCUUGGGAAUUCCCUCAGCAAUACCCUUUCAAAAUACUAUUCUAGUUAUCAAGUCAAUCAUAUUCUAACUAGGAAAAUCACGACAACAUUGUUUUUAAUUAUAAAUGUAAAUAUUUUAAAACAUUAAUAUUAUUUUUUUAAUUAUAAUUAUUAUUUAUAAAUAUUUAUUCAUCAUUUGAAUUUUCUACGUCUGGUUUGAAUGUGUGUGAAUGAUUGUUUACUUGUUUUAAGAUAUAUUUUCUUGAUACAGGAAGUGAAUUUGGGAUAAACCCUAUGUAGACCUAUUUUUCAUAUUCAUUUCAAUCUAUAUUAUCUAGAGCGUGCUCAAGCCCUUCAGUUGCUCACAAUUCUGCAAGUCCAAUGUACAUCUUUAGUCAAUCUCUUAGCAUAACAAAUGUUUUUAAUUUUUAAAACAAGUAACAAAGCAAUUUACAUUAAAGUAGGAAGUAUAUAGUAAUUUUUAUUUUUUUAUUAUAUAAUACCCUUAAUAAUAAUCUCUGGAAAACUAAUUAGGAUUUCCUUAAUUGACAGAAAGCUAAAUGACAUAUCACUGAGAUGUCAUUUUUAAUAGAGGUAAACUAUUUGCAAGACAUCAGCAUGCUUAGGUAAGCUAAGUGACCCUUUAUUGUCGAAUAUUGAAAGAAUCCUUAGGUGGUUUGAUUUGUGCUCCUGUCAGAAAGUUUGCUUCACAGAAGACCCCUAGCUGAUCUGGAAUUCAGUAAAGGAAUGGCUGCUGUUCUGAGAUGUCAAUCCUACCUAUGAAAUAUCCAGGCCUACCAGUAGGGGCCACUUCAAGACUCCUUACGACAUGGAAACCAGCGCUGGAUAAAACCAAAAAUGAUGUGAUUUUAGGAAAACAAAAUGUUAGAUUUGUAAAUAUAUAUUCUGACGAUGCACGCUAGCUGACAACUCAAGUAGCUAUGCAUCUGGGACUCAAUAAUUGCAUCCCCAAAGAUAUAUAUAUAUAUAUAGUCGAAGCUAAAUAACUACAGCCCAAAGACCGAAUAUCCGAGGCAGAAGCUAAAUGUAUCAAUUACAGGGAUUCUUGAAUCGAGUUACAUAGAAUAUCUUAUUUUUGUUAGUUUUAUUUUAAAAAUUGUAGUAUAUUUAAAAUAAAGAAUAUGUUUGGACAAAUGACUGCAACAAAAUAAACAGCAGCAGCAGUAAAUAAGCAUGGUACUGGAUCACUUACAGAGAGUAGAGUGAAGGCAAGCUCCCCAUGGUGACGUCAGGGGAUGCUUCCAUAAAGUUGAUUGUUAUCCAUCAGUUGAGGUCAGCAUGAUUGCUUCGAAUUGUCAUCAUCACAUGUCAUAUGGCUUCAGCGUGGAUUUGUCCGUCCAAUUCGCGGUUUGAGAGUUCUCCACCACCCAAAAAAGGCAUUAACAUAGAAACCAGUGAGUUUUAGAGAGGACGCAUUCCCUUGCAAAAAUAAAAGAAAAUUGGAUGAAGUUGAUGAGGAACUUACGUGACAAACGUGUUGUUCUCAUAAGUGCAACUGCAUUUGACUUCAUCGGUAGGACGGUAAAAAAAAACAAAAACAAGGUUUUUUAUAUCUAUUUAUCAUUCAUUAUAAUUUAUUUUUUAUUUUCUCAAUUUUCGAUUUUUUUAUUUUUCGAUUUCUCAAUUAUAAUCUAUGGAAGAGAUUAUCACCUAAGAGUGAAAAACAACUUCUUCUGUUUUUACUAGUAUAAAUGGGGGUCACACUAUAAAACAAGGGAGAAAUUAGUUAGAGAGGAUUAGCAUAAAAAAAAUACUAAACAUUCUAUCUUAAAAAACCAAAAAAGAGAGUAAAAAAACCAUGACCCAUCACACCCUCCAGGACACCCACAUUUAAAUAAAACUAACAAGACCAACUCAUCAUCUUCAAGCUCCCACUGUCACCACUAAAGAAAAAAGAAAACUUAAAUUCCCAUAAAAAAAAUUAUGCCUUCCACUGCUGCAAAACAUUCAAAACUCCAUAACUAGCCAUCGAUCCUUUUUUCUCUAUCAAGUAGCAAAAAAACAGAAAGAAAAAGAAACAUGACAGACCCAAUAAGGGGCGGAGCUGGAAUUAUUUAACAAGGAGGGCCAAAACUAAUAUAAUAAGAUAUAAUUUUUUACAUGUAAACCAUACUAACAUAUAAAACAAAAUUAACAUAUUAAAAAAAAAUGAUAUAUAAAAACAAAUCUAACAUAAAAAAUAAAAUUAUUGGUUCCUAAAGAAAAAAACUUAAAUUGAAUUAAAGUUGGGUAUGUUCUCUUUAAAGAAUCUAAUUUGGCUAGAAAGAUCGUGUCAAAUUGUAUAUUGGACCUAGUGAUAGUAAGAUACAUGUGAGAAAAAAUUGAUAAUUUUUGUUGCUACCCAAUUUUUGACCCAUGUUUUUGAUAUAUUUUCAAAAAAAUCCAAAAAUAGAGAAAAACAAUGAAAAUCCAAAAAAAUAUGUUUUUUAAUAUAUUUUCGUCCUUUUAGCAUUUUCAACGUCGUCUAAAAAAAAAAAAAAAAUUUUUCAAGCGCGUUCGACUUUUCACGCGUCAUUUUUAAAAAACAUUGAUUUUCCUCGUUGAGUCGACGUUGAUAUUGCUCGUUUUCAAAAAAUACAAAAAAAAUAAGAAAAAUCAAAAUUUACAAAAAGAAAGAAGUUGAGGGACCAAGUUGAAAAACUUGGCAACAUUUUUGCCUAUAAAUAUUGGUCUUUAACUCACACAAAAGAGGGGUUAAUUUGGGGACAUUGAGAAAAAACACAAAAACCCUAAAGCCCAAACUUUUCUCUCCACUCAAAACAACUGGCCGACGGCGCCUCCCCCCACUGAUUUUGAAUUUUUUUGUUGUUCCCCGGGGUCCUUGGAUUUUGCUCUCCCAAAACCAGAAAGCCAAGGACCCCCCACCAUCGGAGCCACACAUUUGACCCACACGGUUCACCAUACUCUCGCCUUCUCCUCAGUCGGCCAACAGAACAAACGAAAUCGCCCCACUGAUUUUUUUUUUUUUUUGAUUUUUUCACCAGCCGCCGGCCAAAGCUUCAUCUCCUGAACCCACACAAGACAACCCCGUCUCCAGCUUUUCCCUCUCCGCCGAACACAAACUCUCAGCCCCGCAGACGGUGCCCAGUUCAUCUGCCUCCAGCGAGCUCGACCACUGCCCACCAACCAUCAUCGACUUGGACCGGUCUUCACUGAAACCAACCCGGAGCAGCCCGAACACACCGGCCAACCACAGUCUUUCUUCCUCCAGUAGCGCCGCCCGAAGUAGAGGGGAAGAAGAUGAAGCCCAGCGCCCGCCGCGGCGCAAUCCACUAGUCGCCUCACCAUCUUCACCAUGAGCCGUAGCAGCUCCAUCCACGACAGAUCUUCCUUCCCCUUUGCAACAGAACCGUCGCCGAAGAAGAAGAAAGGAACCACGGACAGCAAAAAAAAAUAAAAUUAAAAGCAGAUCUGAAUAAAAAACUAAAAUCAAUUGCUUGCUGUGUGUUGAGGUUUGCUUUGCAGGUGACUGCCGACGACGAAAGGAUGAGUGGAAAAAGCCGAUCCCCCCUGUUGCUGCGUUUUCUCGUGGAGGCGCGUGAACCCACGCGCCGCUAGUGGCGGUGGCGCGUGGGAAGACGCGCCGCCACUGAUUCUCUGCACCAGAAGCCUCCCAGUACUGUUCCCGUGCACUGUUCCUGCAUGUUCUAGAAGCCUUAGGAUGUUUUAGAGGCUGUUUUGUGAUUUUAAAUUGUUUGAUGUUUUUUUUAUUUAGUUUUUGGAUUUUUAUUUGUAUAUUGUAAAUGUGAAUGUAAUAAGGAAAAGAAAAGAAAGAACAAAAAUAUAGUGAAUGUGUGUGAUUGUAUUUGUUUUAUUUUUUAAAUAUAUUUCUUAUUGAUAAAAUUGCAGAUAUUAAAGAAGAAUUUAAUUUUUUGAUUGGAUCACGGUUAAGAAUUAUUAACUUAUACGUAAGUGAUAUUUCUAAUUUCCGAUGAAAAGACAAUUAUUAAAACUUCUUUAACACAUCAAAAAUCGCGAAGCAGCUUACCUCAGGUAGGGUGCGAUAGGGGUGCUAAUACCUUCCCUAACCGCAACCAGUCCCUUACCCGUGAACCUCUGACGAGACCAGUACAUCUGGUUUCCUAGUAGCCCGCAAUCAAUUACUAGGUGGCAACUCCAACGAACCAAAUUCAAACAUUACGCAACAACGAAAAAUCGCCAGCCGAUGCCGCGCGCUGAUUUUUUUUGGGGUGCGACAAUUUUGACGACUCUGCUAAAAACAAAAUAUAAAAAAAUCCAAGCUUAAUCGAAACAAACCCAUAAAAUAUAUCCAAUUUAUUAGAAAAAACGACAUUCCCUAUAACAAGAAAUAAAAAAAAUGGUAAAAUUAGUAGAUCUAGAAAAAACAAAUAGCAUAUAUAUAUAUAUAUAUAUAAACCUCAUCAAAUUCUUAACAAAUGUCGCACCCAAAAAAAAAAUCGAUGGUCUUGCUGAAGCCGUAGCGGAGAUGGGCUUGCUGUCGAUUGUCAGUUGAAGGAGGAGAUCGGUGGUUGCUUGCUGCUGUGGUCGGGUCUGUUCGUUGACCCGGAGAGGGAGAAAGGGGGAGUGGCCAGCUGCUGUGGUGGCCGUCGCGGCUGUGGAGGGCGAUGGGUCGACUGUUGCCCUGUGGCUGAGGGAAGGGAGGCCUGAUCCGGUGUGAGGCUGAGCUCGGGCUGUUGAAGCUACGGUGGAGCUGGCGGCUGCUGGUCUGUGUUGUCGGCUGAGAAGAAAACCAGUGGUGAUGGAAACCGAAGGAGGAAGAAGAUAGGCCGGCUAUUGAAGGAAAUGAGGGGGCUGGGAGUGUCGCCGCUGGUGAGGGAGAAAGGAAGAAAAAAUCAAACUGGGGGGUUUGGGGGGGGGCUGUUUGGCCGGUGUUCAAAAAAUGCAACAAGGUGGGGGCGGCUGUGUUUUGGCUUCAGGAGAAGAAGGCUCGGGAAAAAAAUUCAAAGGGAGGGGGGCGGCAGGCUUGGUAGAAAUAGGUUUAGGGUUAGGUUGUUUUUUUUUAUAUUUUUUUGUUAUUUCAAAAUUGCCCCCCUUUUUUAAUAUGAGUUGAAGACCAGUAUUUAUAGGCAAAAAAUGUUGCCAAGUUUUUCAACUUGGUCCCUCAACUUCUUUUUUUUUUUAUAAAUUUUGAUUUUUCUUAUUUUUUUGUAUUUUUUGAAAACGAGCAAUAUCAACGUCGACUCAAAUACGGAAAAUCAAUGAUUUUAAAAAUGACGCGUGAAAAGUCGAACGCGUUUGAAAAUCUUUUGAAAAAUUAAAUUCUUUAAAUAAAAAUUAAAUUCUUUUUAGACGACGCUGAAAAUGCUAAAAUGACGAGAAUAUAUUAAAAAAUAUAUUUUUUGGAUUUUCAUUGUUUUUCUCUAUUUUUGGAUUUUUUGAAAAUAUAUUAAAAACAUGGGUCAAAAAUUGGGUAGCAACAGAUGCCCCCUCUUUACAAUGCUUACGAAGCGAAAAUCCUCAAAAUUUUGCAUAGUAAGCUUUGUAUGGGUGACGAACCCAAGAAAAUGAUGGUCUCAUUGUAUGGGUGACGAACCCAAGAAAAAUGAUGGUCUCAUUGUAUGGGUGACGAACCCAAGAAAAAAUGAUGGUCUCAUUGUAUGGGUGACGAACCCCAGAAAAAUGAUGGUCUCAUUGUAUGGGUGACGAACCCAAGAAAAUGAUGGUCUCAUUGUAUGGGUGACGAACCCAGAAAAAUGAUGGUCUCAUUGUAUGGGUGACGAACCCAGAAAAAUGAUGGUCUCAUUGUAUGGGUGACGAACCCAGAAAAAUGAUGGUCUCAUUGUAUGGGUGACGAACCCAAGAAAAAUGAUGGUCUCAUUGUAUGGGUGACCUACCCAAGAAAAAAUGAUGGUCUCAUUGUAAUGGGUGACCGAACCCAUAAAAAUGAAUGGUCUCAUUGUAAUGGGUGACACCCAGAAAAAAUGAAGUGGUCUCAUUGUAUGGGUGACCUACCCAAUGGAAAAAAUAUGAAACGGUCUAUUGAUGGGCGACCUACCCAGAUGGAAAAAAUGUGAUAUGACAAGUGUGAAAAAUAGGACUUACCUGGCGAAGUCUGAAGGGAUGACAGAAGAAAGGGCUGGAAAACUUGGUGCUUCCUGAUAAUUCCCGAUCAUAGGGUUUGAAAACUCGGUGUUUCCUGACUGCAAGGGUUGAAAACUCGAGGCUUCCCGAUUGCAAGGUUGAUCUAUUCAUUUCUUUGGGAUUUUCCUAAUGGUAGGGUUCAUCCCAUCGUCCUUUUAUUCCAUGAUCAAAACCGAUUCUUUAUUAUCAUCACCACAAUGCUUCUUUCUCUUUCCACCAUCUUGCUGGACCUCAUUAAGGAUUUUCCUGUAACAAUUCAAAAAUAUGUGCAAAUGUUUUUUUUUUUUUUUUUUUUUUGAGGUUAGAUGAUAUGCAUGCAUCCUUACCUGAUUUGAAAUAUAGGUCCCCCCUCUUUGAUGCUCCAUCGUCAUAGGGUGCCCUUGUUUGUAUCCCAAAGCUUUCUUUGUUCUUCCGAUGCAUUGGCUCAUUCAUGUGUUAGCCAUCCACUCAGCUGUAAAUGCAGUGCCCAUCCCGGGCUGUCUUCGACAAUUACUGCUUGCAUCGUUCAUCAAGCUUGACCCUGCCCCCAAGUGUGGUACUGCUUGAUUCAUCAUGAAGGAUUUUCUCUCCUGGCUUCUUCUGAGAAUUAUCCUCUGAUUGAUUGUGUGCAUCAUGCCAACACCCAUCACGUUUGUUAAUCAGUCAUGAACUUGCCUUCGGUUGAAACACCAUUCAAGUAUGUAUGGUCACCAGCCUUCAUGGAACUGCCAAGUCAUCCAGACAUGUAUCUCAUGCUUUGCAGUAAACAGCUCAUCAUUGUAAGCGCGAUGUAUUUCUCUAUGGAUUCCUCUUAGCUUGUCAAAUCAGAUCGUGAAAAUACCUGCUUUGGCAUCAUCAAUGAUGUUCAUGUUAUCACCCAUAUUCAUGCGGUGAAGUGCGCAUUUGAGCUUCAGAAUAGAUGGUCCCAUCGUAAAUCUUGGUGGUAUGCAUAUGUUCGAUGUUCAUCCAAAUGCACUCACCCGAUAACAUCUGUCCGGAGUCAUAUCCAUGUUUUACAAAGUAACCUAAGAUGAAGAUAUGAAAAUAUCUUUCUAGUGCAGCGUUGCUCAUCAAUUGCUGCUGAAGUGCACUAGAUCAUGGAUUGUCUUUGAACAACAUUGGCCCCAGUAUGAUCUGAAGGUUUGUUCAUCGGUUUAUACUCAAGAAAGUUUUUCUUUGUCAUUGUCAUAACACAAUUUUGGGUUAUUCCCCAAAUUUCACUUUUUUUCAAAAUAAAAAUAAAAAAAUAGAAUAAAUGCUGGCACUGUGGAGGAAGAAGAUAAAAAAAGACUGCAAAAAUAGGCAAAAAUCGAAGGUCAAAUUAAAUGCAAAUUCGAAGGUCAAAUUAAAUGAUUAUUGGAUGAAUUUGCAUAAAAAUUAAGUCCAAUGACAUAAUUAAAUUUUUAAUGGGCCAAUUUGAUUUAAUCAUGGGCCAAAUUAAAUUUUAAUUAUGUUUAAGAAUUAAUUUAGGUCAAAUUGAAGGAUUUAAUUAAGUGCAAGGACUUAAUUAUACUUUAAAUGGGUCAAAUUAAUUUGGGGACUUAAUUGGUGAAAAAUUAAGUUUGGGAGUCUAAUUUGGACUUAAUUGAAAAGAUUAAAAUUUUAAGAGACCAAAUUUAAUUUUUCACCAAGUGAAUUGAUUGAAAAAUUGAGGGACCAAUUUUGAGACCCGAAAAGAAUGGCUUGCCUAUAAAUAGCAGCUUACAAAAUUUGGUAGAGGGGGGGUUCAUUUUGUAAUUUUGGGAAGAAAGAGAGAACCCUAAAAAACUAAAAUUUGAAAGCAGCCGCCAGGGAGACCCCCCCCGUUUUGGGAAAUUUUUUCCUUCUCCGAUCACAGCUGCCAGCUCCCCUUUUGAUUUAUUUUUCCUUCUCCCUCAGUCGGCCACCACCCUUCUUUCAAAAACUACCCGAAGCCAUCACCAUUUUUUUUUCCUUGCCAAAAAUCUCAUCCCCUGUGCACCAGCCUCAUUUUACUCCUCUCAACUCAGCCCUCAUUUUUCUAUGGCGUAGGGACCACAACAACCUCUUCUCCUUCUCAGUUACAGGAACAAAAGGCAAACCGGAGCAGCUCUUGACAACCAUUCACCCCACUCUCUGAAAAUCAGCCGGACAGUCAGCCACAACUCCUCUCUCUCUCCCCGGACGAUCUGACUUCCAGCACCUUCUCCGGCAACCGACACUCCCUUCUUCAUCCUCGGCGACCAGCCACAACAGUGUUGCCAUCACUGGAGACCCAGCAGCACAGACCUCGGCUGUUCCCUCAACAGGCGGCCAACAGCAACGACGAAGCAGCACCGAGAACCAGCCGCCGGAAGAAAUAGCUCCACCGUAGCUUCAACAGACCCAGCUACAACAGUGCCCGCAGGCCGGCCACUGAAUGGAGUCCUGCACAGAAGCAAGUCGUCGUCUUCCUCCAGCGCUCCUUCCACGACAAACUGACCACCUGAAGAAGGAGAAAAUGGCAAACCGAGAGAGAACAUAAGGAUUUGAACAGAUCUGAAAAAUAAUCAAAUAAAAUCGACUGUUUGUGUUCCUUUCUUUGAUUGCAGGUGACGGGCAGCAGGAGAUUGAAGAGGGGAGGAAGCCAUUACAGCCCCCUCACGCCGCCUGAAUUUCUGGGCGGCGCGUGAACCCAAGCGCCGCCAGUGACGGUGGCGCGUGGGAAGACGCGCCACCAGUGUACAACGACCACAGAAGAUGCCCAGAAUUCCCCAGCACUGUUCCCGAAGCUAUUUUGGAAUUUUCAAAUGUUGUUGUGUAUAUUUGGGCACUGUUGUGUUUUGAUUUAUUUGAUUAUUUUUUCUUUGUUAUGUUGUAAACAUGUAAUUGUGGGUGAGUCAGCAUAAUAAAAGGAGAUGUGUGUGUGUGUGUUUUUAUUAUUAUUAUUAUUAUUUAUUAUAUUGAAUUAUAAAAAUAAUAAUAAAGAAAAAACAAAAAAGAAUUAAUUGUUUAAUUUGAACAUGCACAAAUUCUAAGGAUGGAUAAAAUCAUGUUGUAUUUUCCAUGAAAAUGUAAGAACAUGUUUCUACAUAUAUUCUGGAAAUUAAUAACUGAUGUAUCGUAGCCUUAGAAGUGGGCUAAAAUUCUAUUUUUAAAAUUACAUCAAGCUCACGAAGCUUGAAUGUGGUGUGUGUAUUUUGUUUGCAAAUUUUUUAUGAUAAAAUUGCAGGAAUUAAGAAGGAUUUAAUAUUUUGAUUGGAUCACGGUGUAGAAGUACAAACUUGUACGGAAGUUGUAUUUCUAAAAUCCGAUGAAAAGACAAUUUUUAAAACUUGUUUUAACACAUCAAGUCCACGGAGCAGCUUACCUCAGGUAGGGUGUGUUAGGGGUGCUAACACCUUCCCUAACCACAAUCAGUCCCUUACCCACGAGUCUCUGACCAUGACCAGUCUAUCAGGGUUUCCUAGUAACCUCAAUUAAAUACUAGGUGGCGACUCCUAAAGAACCAAUUCAAGCGAUACAACGAGAGACAUAAAUCGGCAGCCGAUGCCGCGCGUGGCAUUUUUCGACGUGCGACAGAAUGGCGACUCCACUGGGGAGGUAUUGACAAUUUGGACUAAGCUUUGUGUACUUGAUGUGUUUAAUUUUUGCCAUUUUUGUCUUGCUUUAUUUUAUGCAUGCAUUUUUAGAAUUGUUUCAUGCAUCACUUGUAUUUAUUUUUGAAAGCACACACAAGCUUCUAAGUUAGGUGGGGAGUAGCAGUCUACCUCAUGACUUUCAGUCGGAGUUCAGAUUUGUGAAACAUCCAACUAUGAGCUGAGUGUUUACUCGGUAAUGGCGGUCACAUGGUGCCCCAACCAUUCCUUGUAAACCCCUAUACUGCCUUCACGUGAGGUCGUCACUGGGCAGUUCAUAGACCCUUUUGAGACCAGGUAGAAAACCUACCCAUGUUCACACAAUGAAUAGAACCUGUCCUUAGGUUGUAUGUGCUAUCAUUUAUUUGUAUCGGGAUGAACCCUUCUUGAAGCAUCUUGAACUCAAGAUUUGUGGGUGACACAUUGGUCGUCACUCGGAAAAUUUUCAUUGUAGAGUUCGGGCAAAAAUCAUGAUUUUUGUUCCAUCAUACAAGAGUACCAUGUUGUCACCCCUCGAAGGGCGAGUUCAUCAUAUAGACUUCAUGUUCAUACAUUUGUCAUGCAUGCACCAGAAUAAAAAGUAGGUCCCCUCUGAGUCUACAACACCUGAUUUUAAGAGAAAAAACAUUGGAGACAAAGAGCGUGCUCACCGCAGCAUCCAUUUCCAAGAAGAGUUAGAGUCUCUGAAAUCAAGUGUGGCUCGCCUCACUAGCUUACUUAAGCAUAUACUGAGAAAUGCCUCUGGUGAAGGUCCUUCCAAUCGGCCAAUUAUUUUUGUUCAGCCCCAACUCAACCCGAAGAAAUUAGGGGCCAACAUGAUCAAGAGCCUCAACACAAUCUGAAGGGGAAUUGCAUCACCGUUGCAAAAUAGAGCCUGUUCUUGCUCUGCCAAAAUCACUACCUCUGUUUGAUCAUGCCUCCAAAAACUUGAUUUUUUGUUUCAACCUAUUCUAGUUUUUGUUGGUAAUUUGGCUCAAAUUUCCACAAGACUUUCUCUGCCAAAUGAGCCUUUCCUGUUAAUAAAAUCGUGUUUUCUUUUUUUGUGUUCAUGCAAAUAACAUACUGAGCACACCUUUGUACUUACAAAACCAUUGCGCCAAGAAUCUUUGGGCGUGUUUCCCCUUUCUUCCAAAACUAUGCAUGUUUUCACAAGGAUUUUUGGGAAAUUAAAGUUUAGUACAAAAACAAAAAUCAUUUUGGUGUUUGUUCGAAACAAACAAGUUCUGGAAAUUAAGGUGAUUCCUUAGAGAGGUAAUCAUACACCUAGAAAACCAAAAAAAAACACCAUGAAGUGACUACAAAAGCUAAGUUUUGAUUGCAUGAAUAAUGAGAAAUCACUCUGCAUACUCGCAUGAAAGCAAGGCUUAUCGAUCCUAAAUGCAUGCAUUUGAGAUGAAGAAAGGCCAUCUUUGAUAAUCUUUUCACAAUGCUGAAAUAUAUCCUUUGCAAUCCCCUUUGGAGCCUAAUAAAUUUUUCUUGAAAAAUAACCUUGGCUAGGAUCACACCCUACACUAGGGGGCAAGUGCAAAAAAAAUCCAUAAUGAUUGAAAGUGCCCAAAUAACUCUUGGGGGCAUGAAAAAGUCUUCAACAAUGAAAGUGCCCAAACAAUACUGGGGGGCAUAAAAGAAAAUCUCAAUCAUCAAAGGUGCCCAUACAAAGCUAGGGGGCAUGAAAAAAAAUCCAAAGGAUCCAAAAUUUUGAGCAAAAAACAAGGCCAAUGCAAUGAUGCUCAAAAUCAAAUGAAGAAAAGAAAAACAAAGAGAAAGAGCCCAAGCCCAACAUUGGGGGGCACCGUGGACCAUUUUACAAAUAAAUUCCAAGGUCCAGAAAUGUAUGAACAAAAGAGUUUGGGAUAUAAGCACUAGUGAUCCUUAGUCUUAAAGUCCCAUAAACAAUUUUUAAGCCUACAUAUAUCCUUUUCUUCAUAGCCAAUAGCCCAAGCCUACAUUACGUGCCUAAUCAAGCCCUUUCUGAUCAAAGGCAAGCAAUCUGGAUCGAUAGGCAAUGCUUUCUCAUGCGAGAUAAAGUCAUUAUUCAUGCAAAUAAAAUGAAUGCUUUGACAACGGUUCUAAAUAACCCUCAAAUUGAAAUUUCAACCUUUUGUGACCAACCAAAUGUCACUUCAUAUUUUUCACCAAAAUCAAAACAAAAAGUUUUCAUCACUUCUGAAAACCUCUCCAUAGGAAUCACUUGAAUUUCUUCAGAAUGAGUUCGCUUUGAAUCGAUGUUAAAAUGAUUUCUGUGUCUGGAAUAGCUUUGAAAUUCCAAAAAUUCUGCAUGAAAACAACUCCUUGUCAAACCUUCCUUCACAUAGCCUCAUCCCGAAACCCGAAUUGAAUACUUGGGGGCAUGAUCAAGCUAGGGGGCAAUCAAAAACAUUUGGUAGAGCUGGCUCCAUGAUUCCCUUUCGAAGAAACUAUUGGGCAAAAUUGGCAACCCUUGAGAUAAAAGGGGCGGAGAACAAAGAAGUGAUGACAUCAACUUUCCUAGAGGCCAAGAUUGUAAGAUAUUUCUCGAGUAAGCAAGGGGACAAAAGCCAUCAAAGCUUACUAUCAGAGACUCAAACUUUUGAGAAAAGGAGAACUCCAUGAAGAAAAGGGGACCUAUACUUCUUAGGUAAGUAUACAUGCAUAUAUUGAUCAUGAUGCAUUUCUUUCAUCCUUAACAGAUCGAUGUCUCACCAUCACCUCUUUUUGAGCGGGUUGCUGAAGCCUUAACCCUCUUAGGUAGUGUGUUUUCCAACCCUGCCUCUUUUGGAGAGCUCCUUCGAGCACUCACUUCUUAGGUAGUGUGUUUUCUAACCCUACCUCCUUUUUUAGUGUGCCUUGGAGCCCUAACCUUCUUAGGUAGUGUGUUUUCCAACCCUACCUCCUUUUGAGAGCUCCUUCGAGCACUCAUUUCUUAGGUAGUGUGUUUUCUAACACUACCUCCUUUGUUAGUGUGCCUUUGAGCCCUAACCCCUUUUAGGUAGUGUGUUUUCCAACCCUACCUCCUUUUGAGAGCUCCUUCGAGCACUCAUUUCUUAGGUAGUGUGUUUUCUAACCUUACCUCCUUUUUUAGUGUACCUUUGAGCCCUCGAUCACCUUUAGGUAGUGUGUUUUCCAACCCUACCUCUUUUUGAGUGUCCCUUCGAGCACUCAUUUCUUAGGUAGUGUGUUUUCUAACCCUACCUCCUUUUUUAGUGUGCCUUUGAGCCCUAACCCCCUUUAGGUAGUGUGUUUUCCAACCCUACCUCUUUUUGAGUGCCCCUUCGAGCACUCACCCCUUAGGUAGUGUGUUUUCUAACCCUACCUCCUUUUUUAGUGUGACUUCGAGCCCUAACCCUCUUAGGUAGUGUGUUUUCUAACCCUACCUCCUUUUUUAGUGUGCCUUCGAGCCCUAACCCUCUUAGGUAGUGUGUUUUCCAACCCUACCUCUUUUUGAGUGCCCCUUGGAGCACUCACCUCUUUGAUAAUGUGUUUUCUAACCAUACCUCCUUUUGAAUGCUCAUUUGAGACCCCAAACAUCUUAGGUAGUGUGUUUUCUGACCCUACCUCCCCUUUUGAGUGCGCCUUAGAGCCUUCAACCCUUAGGUAGUGCGUUUUUCAACCCUAUCUCAUUUUAAGUGCGCCUUAGAGCCAUCAACCCUUUAGGUAGUGCGUUUUCCAACCCUAUCUCUUUUUAAGUGCGCCUUAGGGCCAUUAACCACCUUAGGUAGGGCAUUUUCCAACCUUACCUCCUUACCUCUUUUCGAGUGCACCUUUGAGCCCUCGAUCACCUUUAGGUAGUGUGUUUUCCAACCCUGCCUCCUUUUUUGGUACGCCUUCGAGCCUUAACCCUUUAGGUAGUGCGUUUUCCAACCCUGCCUCUUUUUUAGCGCGCCUUCGAGCUAACAACCCCUUUAGGUAGUGUGUUUUCUGACCCUACCUCCCCUUUUGAGUGCGCCUUAGAGCCUUCAACCACUUUAGGUAGUGCGUUUCCCAACCUUACCUCCUUUCGUAUGCUCCUUCGAGCCCUCACCACUUUAGGUAGUGAGUUUUCCAACCCUACCUCCUUUUGAAUGCUCCUUUGAACCCUUACCCCUUCGGUAGUGCGUUUUCCAACCUUGCCUCCUUUUUAGAGCUCCUUCGAGCCCUCACCUCUUGUGUAGUGUGCUUUCUAGCCCUAUUUGCCUCCUUUUGAGUGCGCCUUGGAGCACUCACCUCUUAGGUAGUGCGUUUUUCUAACCCUACCUCCUUUCGAGUGCGCUAACCUCCUUUAGAGUGCGCUCUUCAUCCCUCGUUCCCCAUCGAGUCCUAUCAUGUCAUCCCUUUCAGACAUUUUGCCUUUUCGCCCGGGUAGGUCACCCAUUAUAAUCAGACCUCUUUCAAGACUCUUUUCAUUUUCCAUUUGGGCCGGUUGCCCAUAACAAUAAAACCAUUUUGAGAAGUCCUUGCAUUUCUCCCCAUUUUCAAACUUCUUCCAUUUUGGGCCGGUUGCCUAUAACAAUGAAACCAUUUUGAGAAAUCCUUGCAUUUCUCCCUAUCUUCAAACUUCUUCCAUUUGGGCCGGUCGCCCAUAACAAUAAAACCAUUUUGAGAAAUCCUUGCAUUUCUCCUCAUCUUCAAACUUCUUCCAUUUGGGCCAGUCGCCCAUAACAAUGAAAUCAUUUUGAGAAAUCCUUGCAUUUCUCCCCAUCUUCAAACUUCUUCCAUUUGGGUCGGUCGCCCAUAACAAUGAAAUCAUUUUGAGAAAUCCUUGCAUUUCUCCCCAUCUUCAAACUUCUUCCAUUUGGGGCGGUCGCCCAUAACAAUGAAACCAUUUUGAGAAAUCUUCGCAUUUCUCAACCACUUUGAAAAAUCUUUGCAUUUUUCAUCACUUUUCAUCUGGGCCGGUUGCCCAUUACAACAAAACCAUUUUGAAAAAUCUUUGCAUUUUUCAUCAUUUUGAGAAAUCUUCGCAUUUCUCAUCACUUUGAAAAAUCUCUGCAUUUUUCACCUCUUUGAAAAAAAUCUUUGUAUUUUUCAAAAAUUUUCAUCUGGGCCGGUUGCCCAUUACAACAAAACCACUUUGAAAAAUCUUUGCAUUUCUCACCACCUUGAAAACUCUUUUUGUUUUCCAUCUUGGGCCGGUUGCCCAUUACAACAAAACCACUUUGAAAAAUCUUUGCAUUUUUCACUACUUUGAAAAAUCUCUGUAUUUUUCACGUCUUUGAAAAAUCUCUGUAUUUUUUACCACUUUAAAACAUCUUCGUGUUUUUCACCCGGGUAGGUCACCCAUGACAAUUCGACCAUUUCAAAAUCUUUGAAUUUUUUUUUAAAAAAAAUCUUCCUUUUUUUCUUCUUUACAACGCUUACUAUCUAAAGUCUCCUACGAGACUUUCUAUCAUAAGCAUUGUAAAGAGGGGGGCAACUGUCAUAACACAAUUUGGGUCAUUCCCCAAAAAUUUCUUUUUUUCAAAAUAAAAAUAAAAAAAUAAAAUAAAGGCUGCAACGUGGAGAAGGUAAAAAAAGCUGCAAAAAUGCAAAUCGAAGAAUACAAUGCAAAUUCAAGGUCAUAUUAAAUGAUUAUUGGACGAAUUCGCAUGAAAAUUAAGUCCAAGGACAUAAUUAAAUUUUUAAUAGGCCAAUUUGAUUUAAUCAUGGGCCAAAUUGAAUUUUAAUUAUGUUUAAGAAUUAAUUUGGGUCCAAUUGAAGGAUUUAAUUAAGUGCAAUGACUUAAUUAUACUUUAAAUGGGUCAAAUCAAUUUUAUUUGGGGCUUAAUUGGUGAAAAAUUAAGUUUGGGAGCUUAAUUGAGAAGAUUGGAAUUUUAAGAGACCAAAUUUAAUUUUUACCAAGUUGAUUGUUUGAAAUCAGGGAUCAAAUUGCAAGAAAAUUGAAGUUUUGGGGUCAAUUAGGGGUAAAAUUGACAAAAUCCAAAGACAAGGACCAACUUGCAAAAGGCGCCAAACUAUAGGGGUCUAAUUGACUGGAGGGCUAAAUUGCAAAUUGAAAGACAUUGAACGCUAGAGGGCUAAAUUGAAAAUCAGCAAAAAGCCCUAAUUUUUAUCCCAAACGGCGCCGUUUUUGUGUUGAGGGAAGGGACCAGGCGACGCGUCGCCCGGUUACUGUUCAUCGUCUUCCUCACAAAGCUGCCCGAGUGGCUGCUUUCCAGGCGCGUUUUCUCACUCGUUGGCCCCCAAAUCCGACAAGGCGUGCACCAACAUGUUCCCCUGAAACAUCUUUAUCUCGUAGAGUGGUCGGUCGGGUAACAACUUGGACAGCUCCGUUUAUUGGCCCAAAGUGGCACCCUCGGGCAGUCUGCAGCCUUGGAUUGCCAAAUUUGGCAGUUCGAGGUGCACACUUUGAACCAACGGCUUGGAUUCCUCGAGUCGAAUCAAGGCUGAGACUUUUUCCCCGUUGAACACAGAUUACCCUCUUUCCAUCCCUAUAAAUAGGAGCCAAUUUAAUGCUCAGAGGAGGAGAAACCUGAGCUCAAAGUUGGGAAAAAUCAGUUUUUCCUGCCCGGUUUUCCUGCAACCAGUCCUCUCUUUUUUUUUCUCUCCGCCGUGGCCUCUAGUUGCCACCACUGACCUCGCCACCAUCCUCUCCCUGAAACACCACAUCCAUCCAUCACCCAGCAACCUCACCGAAGCCUGCAACCUCCUCUCUCUCCUCUCUUUCUGCAAAACGUUUCUCUCUCUCACCACCGCAAUCCCAGCAGCAGCAGCGUAACCACCCUUUCCAGCGGCUUGCACUUCUAUCAGCAGCAUCUUGGGAAGCAUCUCCUCCUCAGCCACACCAACAACUCCAGCCGUGAGCUUUCCCUCUCCUCUGCAGGGCUUGUUUCCUUCUUCUUCCAGCCGGGACCAGUGCACGCUGCCGGCCUCGCCGCCUCCAGCUUCACCGCGCGCCACCAGUCGGGCCACCAACUCUCUCCACGCCAGGUAAUUCUCUCCUCCCUGCUCCACCAUUUUCGUUUUCGUUUCUGCAUGCAGUGGCUAAUUAAUUAGACACUUGUUUGGGCCGGGCCGGUUCUGGCCCAGCCCGGCCCAAAAAAAAAAAAAAAAAAUUUCAAAAAUAUUCAAAAAAAUCAUGUAAAAAUUUGUGGUUUUCUUAAAUAUUUUUCCACCAAGUUUUGCAUAAUAUCGGGUUGUAUAUUUACAUUGUAAAAUACAAAUUCGGUAUUAAAAUACCUGGUUUUCUCCAAAAUAUUUCAAAAAAAAAAAUCAAAACAUUUCCAAAAAGAAAAAAAAUAUUUCAUUGCAUACAGAAAAAAUCCAAAAACUUUUCCAAGCAUAUUCUUUGUAAAAACAAAAAUUGCAUCUUUUUCAUGUUUUUUAAAUGGAUAUCGUAACCAGAUUAUGAUUGUCCAUUAGGAUUUGGCCAAAAUGUCAAAAACCUUUUUUCAAUCUUUUUUCCUGGGAUCCGGAUGUAGACUUUAAUAUUGGUGGGGUGUAAAAUUACGCGAUAAUGUACAUCCUCGGGUAUUAAAGAUACAAGGUGUAAAUAAAAGCAAUUUUAAAAUUAAGACUUUAGAAUGGUUAGGAUUUAACCGAAUAAGGUAGAGACUUCCUCACGAGGGGAGAUCUGCCUUGAACCUUAGAAAAGACCAGCGAAUAGAAACCCGACCUAGAAAAACAAUCAAACAAUAAUGCAGUUUGCCUUAGGUAGGGUGCACUGGGGGUGAUGCGUCUUCCCCUUGCACAACCAGUCCUUACUCAGACUCUCGCAGACCUUAGGUUCGUAGUGACCAUAACACUAGGUGGCGACUCCCAACAAAACAAAUCAACACAACAACAAUGAGAGACAAAUCGCCAGCGGAUGUCGUGCGGAAUUUUUUGACGUGCGACAGUCAUUGUCAGAUGCUAAACAUAACUUUGAUGAACUUUGACAACUCAUCAUCGGAUCCUUUCUUUGACCCCAGCUGAUCAGAAUGUUGUUUGUUUUUCUUCUAAGGGUCCACUGUAUUGCCCCCAGGUGGUUAACAUUUCAAGGAGUGUCGGGAAAUUGAUGUCAUUUUUGUCAAGGAUUUUGCAAACUCAAUUGAUGUUCUUGUUUGAAAAUCUUUCUUGUUCUAGAAUCAAAUCUCAUAUUUCAAAGAUCAUGUUUAUUCAAAGUCUAGUUGUUGAGAUGAAAUCAGAGAGAUAUCAGUUUUUUUUGUUUUUUUAAAGUAUUUUUGAAAUUCAAGCUUCUUUGAUCAAAGACCCAACACACGUCAUUCAAUGUAGUCCUUCGAUUGUCUUGUAUUUUGAAAACAGAAAUCGACCCGUUGUAAGAUUAAAAAUGGUCUUUUCCAUGGUUCUUUGUGUCCACUUUAAACUCUGAUUUUGGGUAUAUCUUUUGAUGGUCUGCGAUGAGGUGACCUUCUGUGAAUUUCAAGGAAAACAACAGGCUCAAGUCAAAACUUGAGGAUUCAUGAAGGAAAAAUGUUUUGUUUUUUAGCAAUAAUUUUAUCAACAUGCAUAACGACCGGUAACUUAAUUCAUGAAGCCACGACUCUUAUGGAAAAACUCUUCAAGUUUUGAGAGCGCCAUUUAUCGGUUCAAGUUGCUUGCUUGAUUAAAAAGGGCUUUUAAAAAGCAUGUAAUGCAGGCUAUGGUUCAUGGCUAUGAAAGAAAGGAAUUUCAAAGGCUCAAAAGGUGUUUGAGGGUUUUAAAAACCUAGGAUCAACAUCAAUUAUUCAUCAACUCAUUUUCUAUUGUUGUCUUUGUAGAGGAAACGACAUAGAACCUUGUUAACCUCAAAGAUCAGACUUCUAUUAACAUAAGUCAUAAUGCAAAUCCAACUUUCUUUGAGGAAUAACCAACCUUAAUCAUCUGAUAACAUCGUAGGCUUUAUAAUGGAUACCAAAAGUCAACGCUUAUAGCUUAGUCUUUUUCCGGUAUUGACUUUUGUUGUACCUUUCCUUGAUUGAAAUUUCUUUGCUCUUUCUAGACUUGAUAGGCAUUUUCCUUCCUUUAUCUUUGACUUGUAUUUAAGUGAAGACAAUUUCAACUUCUUUUUUUUUUUUUUGUUUUCAUAGCCUUCCUCAAAACUUUCUUAUAUGCCCCUGUUGCUACCCAAUUUUUGACCCAUGUUUUUGAUAUAUUUUCAAAAAACAUCCAAAAAUUGAGAAAAACAAAGAAAGUCCAAAAAAAUAUGUUUUUAAUAUAUUUUCGUCAUUUUAGCAUUUUCAACGUCGUUUAAAAUUUUUUUUUUAAGGGUCUUUCGAACGCGUUCGACUUUUCACGCGUCAUUUUUAAAAUAAUUGAUUUUCCGUAUUUGAGUCGACGUUGAUAUUGCUCGUUUUCAAAAAAAUACAAAAAAACAAGAAAAAUCAAAUUUUACAAAAAAAUAAAAAUAAAAAUUAAGGGACCAAUUUUGAGGCCGAAACAAUAUUUUUGCCUAAGGGAAUUUUGAAUUUUGGAAGGAGGGGCAACCUAUCUGUAGAGGAGCCGAGCCGAAACGGAGAAAAAGAGAAACCGAAGCAGAUCUCAAAAAAACAAAGGAAAUAAAAUCUAAAAUCAACUGUUUGUGGCCUUUUGUUUGCGUUUCUUGUGGCAGGUGAAGUUAGCAGUCACCGCGGGCGAGGAAGAAGGGAGUAUCUCCCCUGUUGCUGUUCUUUUUUUUCGGCGGCGCGUGAACCCACGCGCCGCCAGUGACGGUGGGCGCGUGGGAAGACGCGCCGCCCGUGUUAGCUGCCCAGAAUAUGUUUCCAACACUGUUCCGGUGGUGCCCCAUAAAUUCCAGAUUGUGUUGGGGCUGUUUUUUUUUGUAAAUUUUAAAUAAUUAAUGUAAUUUUUUAUUUUGAUGUUUUGAAUUUGUAUUGUAUAAAUGUGAUGGAAAAGAAAAGAAAAAUAAAUAAUAAAAAAUUGUGCUGUGUGUUUGUAUUUUUUUCUUAUGACAUUGAAUUAUAAAAAAUAAAAAAAAGACAAAAAUAAUUAAUUGUUAAUUUAAAUAUGGUUAAAUAUCUUAAGGACCAAAAUAAAAUCAAGUUGUAUUUUCCACGAAAAUGUAAGAACAAGUUUUUUUUAACAUAUAUUCGGGGAUUUAAUAACUGAUUUAUUCAAGCCUUAGAAUUUAAUUAAUAUUUUAAAUUUUCUUAAGUAUGGUUAAAUAUCUCAAGGACAAAUAAAAUCAAGUUGUAUUUUCCAUGAAAAUGUAAGAACAAGUUUUACAUAUAUUCGGGGAUUUAAUAACUAAUUUAUUCAAGCCUUAGAAUUUAAUUAAUAUUUUUAAAUUUUCAAAUCACAUUAGAACACAAUGCAGCUUACCUCAGGUAGGGUGUGUUAGGGGUGCUAAAUACCUUCCCUAACCACAACCAGUCCCUUACCCGCGAUCUCUGACAAGACCAGUACAUCAGGUUUCCUAGUAGCCCUCAAUGAAUUACUAGGUGGCGACUCCAACGAACAAAUUCAAAGCAAACGCAACAAAACGAUGAAAAAUCGCCAGCCGAUGCCACGCGAUUUAGGAUUUUUUUUGGGGUGCGACAUGCCCCGAGUCUAUGUGUCUUCUUCUAGCUCUCUCAAUCAUUUGACUUUUGUUCUAAGCCUCCCCUUUAUCCAUUAAUUAUAUCGAUGCCUUCAAAAUAUCUCUCAUUUACCCCAAGUGUGGGGUGUGAUCCUAGUCAGGGUUUUUUUUGAAAGAAAAUAUUUUCAGGCUCAAAAUGGGACUGCAAGGGAUAUAAUUUUAGAAAGUGAAGGGAUAUCAAAGAUGGCCUUUUCUCAUUUCAAGCAAGGUCGGUUAGAACCGAUAAAUUUUGACCUCAUCCAGUGUAAUGAUUUGGACUUGUAAGAAUCAUGAUUCACGAGUCCAUAACUACCAAUCCACUACAUGUCAUUAUGCAUACUGCUAAAACUUAGCUAUAUGAUGUGUGGUUCAGUUUCAAGGUAUGAGUUCAAAAUUGUUUGUCACCUCAUGUCAUUUUCAAGCAUCGAGUCAUUUCUGUAAUCAAAACACUUUUAAUCUUCCGGAUUGAUUAACCUUUAUCGCAUGUUGGAGUUUGAUCAAAAUAUUUUGUCAGAAUAAAAUGUAAACAUCUGUUGAUUUCAAAACAACAAAAGACAAAAGCAAGGCAUGUUUCGUUGAAGGAUGAGAUGUGAUCCCAAAACAAAAUGCAGAAUUCCAAAACAAUAUGAUUGACUGUUCAUCACCAUUCUUGAAUCAGCUUUUCUGGCAAUAUUGUUUUGCCAAGCACUUUCGAUCAACAUGUCAUUCUGAAGAUGUUCGGGGACAAUAUAGCCAAUGACACCCUCCUUCACGACUCCACUUGUCUCUUGCUCACCAACUUUCAGCAAUUCUUGCAAAUGUUCACUUGAAAUGGUUGAGGACCCCACCAUGACAUCACAUCUCUUAUCUGGAUUAUACCACCUAGAAAUUGGUGGUUGCAUGGGAUUUGUCGGAGUCAAGCAAAAUUCUGGAAUCUGGCAGAUGCUGGUCGACAAACUUAAGGCAGAGGAAUGUCCCAUCUUGGCAAAGACAUUUGAGCAAUUGAUGCUACCGUGAGACCUGGCUAUACCACAUAAUUAAGGGUUCACACCGUCAAAGUCAUCUCCUGAUUCACCUCUCAUCAUUGUUCUAGAAUCCAUGGCAGAUCCUUCAAUCUUUCUCUCUCUUCAUAGCUUGUUCAAUUCUUCGGCAAAUCCUCACAACAUUAUUUCAAUCUUCCAAUGUUGCUAUGGUUGGUUGAGGAUUGUUAGAAAACUUUCUAACAGCUUGGUAAUCUUGGCAGCGCCCAGAAACUUGUAGUAUCGCCACUACCACGUGUGGAAUCACCUUAUCUCUUCUAUGGAGAAAACGAUGAACAUGAAUCUCCUCUUUUCUUCUUUCGAUUCCUGAAGUGCAGCAAACAAACACCUAUAGAGGAAGUUGCUCUGUUGAAGUUUCAGUCUUCUUCAUGUUUUUCAGUCUAGGCAUGUCUCUUCUCUCUACUUUUGCGUUUUAAUACUGACACUGUUGGAGGAAAAUCAUAGAUGAUCUGAAACUACUGUAUUCCUUCUUGGAUUUCCCACUUGCGGAUCCACAAACAGAUUCCUGCCGAGAGAGCUCUGCUACGUUGAAGUUUGAUGUCUGCUCAUAUUUUUCAGACCAGGUCUGGCUCUUCAACCUACUAAGUCUUCGUGCUGAAACUGAUGAGAGAAAUAUUUGUAGCAUAUGCAACUUAUAAAUCCCCUCUUGCACUUCCCAAUUUGCAGAGCCAUAAAUGGAUUUUUGUAGAGAGCUCUGCCACAUUGAAGUUCAGUGUUCAAUCAUGGUUUUUCAGACCAUCUUGUGCUGCUGAACUGGAAUAAUCGGGGUAACUUCAAAGCAGAUAAUGCACCAUGUACAGGAGGCUAGUAGUUGUUUGGUUCCAUUAGAUGAUGUGGAGGCGAUGAACACUUAACAGCAACUGACAGAAUCGAGUUGUCAUUAGUUGAUGACUGAAGGCAUUGUUGUUUGUUCAUGACGGAAAAGGAGAGAUACAACUUCAAUUGGAUGGAACAAGCAGUGUUCCCACAGAAACUGUGCAGACAUCUCUUUCCAUUUGAUGCUCAACACUUGUUCGAGCAGAUCUGAGUCCGCUACUUCACCUUGAUGCUCUCAACCUUAAUCUGAUAAUGAGCCUAUAUGACUCCUUUCUUCACUUCCAUUAUUUUCUUCAAUCACGUGCAGCACAGCUUGUGGGGGACCUACCUUUCACCCGGUACAUGCAUGAUAAAUGUAUGAACAUGUAAUCUAUAUGAUGAACUCACCCUUCGAGAGGUGACAAUAUGGUCGUAACUCUUGUAUGAUGGACAAGAAUCGUGAUUUUUGCCCAAACUCUACAAUGAAAAUUUUCGGAGCAACGGCCAAUGUGUCACCCACAAGUCUUGAGUUCAAGAUGCUUCAAGAAGGGUUUGCCCUUAUGCAAAAAACGAUAGCACAUACAACCUAAGGACAGGUUCUAUUCAUUAUGUGAACAUGGGUAGGUUUUCUAUCUGGUCUCAAAAGGGUCUCAUAUCUGCCCAGUGACGUUCUUCGUAAAGACAGUAUGGGGGCGUUGCAAGGAAUGGUUAAGGCACGUAUACCCACCAUUACCAAGCAGGCACUCAGAUAUGAGUUGGGUGUUUCACGCAUCUGAACCCUGACCAAUAGUCUUAGGGCAGAUCGCUAGUUCCCCACCUAACCUAGAAGCUUGUGUGUGCUUUCAAAAAUAAAUACAGGUGAUGCAUGAGACAAUUCUAUAAAAUGCAUGGAAAUAAAUAUUAACAAAAAAGAUAAAAAUGCAAAAACUUAAACACAUCAAAUACACAAAGCUUAGUCCAAUAAUGUCAGAAACAGUACCUUCCCCAGUGGAGUCUCCAUUUUGUCGCACCCCAAAAAAAAUCAGCGCGCGGCAUCGGCUGGCGAUUUUUCGUUGUUGCGUAAUGUUUGAAUUUGGUUCGUUGGAGUCGCCACCUAGUAAUUGAUUGCGGGCUACUAGGAAACCGGAUGUACUGGUCUCGUCAGAGGUUCGCGGGUAAGGGACUGGUUGCGGUUAGGGAAGGUAUUAGCACUCCUAACGCACCCUACCUGAGGUAAGCUGCUUCGCGAUUUUUGAUGUGUUAAAGAAGUUUUAAUAAUUGUCUUUUAAUCGGAAAUUAGAAAUAUCACUUACGUAUAAGUUAAUAAUUCUUAACCGUGAUCCAAUCAAAAUAUUAAAUUCUUCUUUAAUAUCUGCAAUUUUAUCAAUAAGAAAUAUAUUUAAAAAAUAAAACAAAUACAAUCACACACAUUCACUAUAUUUUUGUUCUUUCUUUUCUUUUCCUUGUUACAUUCACAUUUACAAUAUACAAAUAAAAAUCCAAAAACUAAAUAAAAAAAACAUCAAACAAUUUAAAAUUACAAAACAGCCUCUAAAACAUCCUAAGGCUUCUAGAACAUGCAGGAACAGUGCACGGGAACAGUACUAGGAGGCUUCUGGUGCAGAGAAUCAGUGGCGGCGUGUCUUCCCACGCGCCGCCGCCACUGGCGGCGCGUGGGUUCACGCGCCUCCACGAGAAAACGCAGCAACAAGGGGGAUCGGCUUCUUCCACUCAUCCUUUCGUCGUCGACAGUCACCUGCAAAGCAAACCUCAACACACAGCAAGCAAUUGAUUUUAGUUUUUUAUUCAUAUCUGCUUUUAAUUUUCUUCUGCCCGUUUCGGAUCUGCUCCUCUUUCUCUUCUUCUCCGUUGCAGAUUUGCUUUUAUCUGCAGAUCAGUCCGUGUGUUUCUUCUUCUUCUUCUCCUCUACUUCAGGCGGCCGAUCUGGUGGUUGCAAAGGGGAUCGCGGUUGUGGUCGCUGCUGCUGUCGUCCGUUCGGCGGCUGAAGCCGUAGCGGAGAUGGGCUUGCUGUCGAUGGUCGGUUGAAGGAGGAGAUCGGUGGUUGCUUGCUGCUGUGGUCGGGUCUGUUCGUUGACCCGGAGAGGGAGAAAGGGGGAGUGGCCAGCUGCUGUGGUGGCCGUCGCGGCUGUGGAGGGCGAUGGGUCGACUGUUGCCCGGUGGCUGAGGGAAGGGAGGCCUGAUCCGGUGUGAGGCUGAGCUCGGGCUGUUGAAGCUACGGUGGAGCUGGCGGCUGCUGGUCUGUGUUGUCGGCUGAGAAGAAAACCGGUGGUGAUGGAAACCGAAGGAGGAAGAAGAUAGGCCGGCUGUUGAAGGAAAUGAGGGGGCUGGGAGUGUCGCCGCUAGUGAGGGAGAAAGGAAGAAAAAAUCAAACUGGGGGGUUUGGGGGGGGGGGCUGUUUGGCCGGUGUUCAAAAAAUGCAACAAGGUGGGGGCGGCUGUGUUUUGGCUUCAGGAGAAGAAGGCUCGGAAAAAAAAUUCAAAGGGAGGGGGGGCGGCAGGCUUGGUAGAGAUAGGUUUAGGGUUAGGUUGUUUUUUUUUAUAUUUUUUUGUUAUUUCAAAAUUGCCCCCCUUUUUGAAUAUGAGUUGAAGACCAGUAUUUAUAGGCAAAAAAUGUUGCCAAGUUUUUCAACUUGGUCCCUCAACUUCUUUCUUUUUGUAAAUUUUGAUUUUUCUUAUUUUUUUGUAUUUUUUGAAAACGAGCAAUAUCAACGUCGACUCAAAUACGGAAAAUCAAUUAUUUUAAAAAUGACGCGCGCAAAGUCGAACGCGUUUGAAAAUCUUUUGAAAAAUUAAAUUCUUUUUAGACGACGCUGAAAAUGCUAAAAUGACGAGAAUAUAUUAAAAAAUAUAUUUUUUGGAUUUUCAUUGUUUUUCUCUAUUUUUGGAUUUUUUGAAAAUAUAUCAAAAACAUGGGUCAAAAAUUGGGUAGCAACAACAAAUAUAAAAAAAAACAAAAAAUAUUUAAAUUUGAGUCACUAAUUACCUUAUUUUGAUGAAUAAUGAAUUAAUCGACAGCUAUAUUUUAACCUUUCCGCAUUGCUUUGUAUUAUUUUUUUUUUUUUGUUAGGAUUCUAGAGAAGAAAGAUAAAAAAUUGGUAAAAAAAAUAAUUAAAUUUAACAAGUUAUAUAUUUUUUUUUACAACUUAGACGAAGAGAUAAUUUUAUAUUCAAAGAUAAUUAAUGAAAUAAUAAUUUAUUAUUAGAAAACCCAUUACUUAUUAUAUUUAAAUACUAAUAUAUAUAUAUAUAUAGGGGUGUUUUGCAGGGGCCCGGGCCCCUGCUUGCCACCCCUUUAUUCCGCCUCUGGACCCAAUAGCGGAGGGAGGAGGGGCUGGCAGGGGCCCCGGCCCUUGCAAAAAAAUACCCCUCCCUUAUAAAUAUUUAUAAUUUUAAUAAAAAUAACUGAAAUUUUUUCUAUCGGUAGGACGGUAAAAAAAACAAAAAACAAGGUUUUUAUAUCUAUUUAUCAUUCAUUAUAAUUUAUUUUUUAUUUUUUUAAUUUUCGAUUUUCUUUAUUUUUCGAUUUCUCAAUUAUAAUCUAUGGAAUAGAUUAUCACCCAAGAGUGAAAAACAACUUCUUCUUUUUUUACUAGUAUAAAUGGGGGUCACACUAUAAAACAAGGGAGAAAUUAGUUAGAGAGGAUUAGCAUAAAAAAAAUACUAAACAUUCUAUCUUAAAAAACCAAAAAAGAGAGUAAAAAAUCCAUGACCCAUAACACCCUCCAGUACACCCACAUUUAAAUAAAAAUAACAAGACCAACUCAUCAUCUUCAAGCUCCCACUGUCACCAAUAAAGAAAAAAAAAACCCAAUUUCCCAUAAAAAAAAUUAUGCCCUCCACUGCUGUAAAACAUUCAAAACUCCUUUUCUCUUUAUCAAGCAGCAAAAAAAAAAAAAAAAAAAAAACAUGACAGACCCAGUGGUAUAAGGAGGGGGGCUGGCAGGGGCCCCUGCCCUUGCAAGAAUAUACCCCUCCCUUAUAAAUAUUUAUAAUUUUUAUAAAAGUAACUGAAAUUUUUUCUUAACCUCUCUAAUUUAUAAUUUAGCCCCUCCUAAUUAUUGUUUCGUGCUCCGCCUUUGGACAGACUCCUCCCUUUCAUCUCUCUUUCUCUCACGAAGAAAAAAAGGCCACACCCUCUCUACACUCAAGUGCCUAAAUAGAUUAACUAAAGAAUUCAUGAGCACUUUUGAUAAUUAAAUAUUUUUAAAAUUCUUAAAGAAAUGAUCGUAUCUCUUAUUUAAAUAGAUGAUCUUUUAUUAAGAUUAUUCUAUUAUAUUAUAUUUAGUAUUUCAAUAAAUAAAAAAAGAGAGUAAAAAACCAUGACCCUCAGACCAUCCAGUACACACGCUUUUAAAUAAAAACAACAAGACAAACUCAUAAUCUUCAAGCUCCCACUGUAACCACUAAAGAAAAAAGAAAACCUAAAUUCCCUUAAAAAAAAAAUGCCCUCCACCACUACUGUAAAACAUUCAAACCUCCAUAACUAGCCAUCCUUUUCUCUCUAUCAAGCAACAAAUAAAAAAAACAAAAAAAAAAAACACUAAAAACCCCUCCCUUUUAUCUCUCUAUAUCAACACGCUUAUACACAAAGCUCUCCUCCACUCAAAUAUCCCAACUAAACCAAUAUAAUUUUAUAUUUUUUAAAACUCAUAAAAUCCAUUAGAUUUUAUUAAUUUUAUCAAAUUUCAUCAAGUUUAACUAAUUUUACUAAUUUUUUUAGUUUUUAAUUUUAAUUUUAUUUUAUAUAUUAGAUUCAUAUAAUUUUACUAGCCAACUUAAAAUUUAAAUGAGGAUUUCAUAUUAAAAAUUUUUCUAUGCCCAGCUAAUGGCUCUGCUGAAUGAUUUGACACAUCAUGAAAUGAAUAGAUUUUGUGACGUUGUCAGAAAAAUAAUAAUGUAAAUGAUUGAACCCAUGGAAAAGUAAAAAUGCAUUUGUAAAAUUUAUGGUCAAGUCUUUUGUUUAUCUUUGUCCGUGUUCAGCAUCAAUGAUUGGACCCACGGCAUGUAAACCGUGGGAAGUAAUAAAGGUAAUAUGCCUUCUAUGAUUGAACCUUGGGAUCUUUAAGAUUUAUGGUCAAGUGAUCUUUGUUCAGUAUAUAGCUUACCAAAAAAAAGAUCUUUGUUCAGUAUAUUGUGUUUAUCUUUUGCAUUUAAUAAAGCUAAAGCAUCAGUACGUAUGAUCAAGGCCAAAAGCUGACAGCAUACCCUACAUGUAACAUUGAGAAGCAAUAAUGCAUCUUUAAGAUUUAUGGCAAGUCUUUGUUCAUGUAAUUCAGCAUCUUUUGUUUCAUACACCAUGGAUAAUGAGCAAGACUCGAUUGAUUUGGCCGAUGACGUGGACACCUAUGGUGGUGGGGAAGAAGAAGAAGAAGACGUUGCAGAUGAUAAGGAUAGAGCAGGUGUGUUUCAGUCAGUCACAAGGACUUUUGGGGACGGCAGCAUCGGGUUGGAAAAAUCAGAUCUGGCAAAGGGUGGAGACAAUUAUCAGGUGGUGGGCUGCCUCAAUCAGAAGAUUUUCAUAAUUUUCAUAAUUUUUUAAUAAUUGAUAACGUGUAAGUUUAAGAUUAAUUUCACUAUUGUGUUUUAAUUUUUUUAUAAUCAUGAAUUAAUUAUUUUAAUUUGAUUAGUUACUAGUUAGUGGUGAAUAAAUAAUGUUUUUUUAAAUGCUAAAAUCAUAUUUAGAUUAGUCCAAUGAUUUAGAAAGGUUUAUUUACUUUGAUUUAUAUUAAAAUUUAUUUUCAUUUUUUAUUUUAUUUUAAAGUAUUAUAAAUUUUAUCAUCUUUAAUUUACAUUGAGAAAAUAUAACUUUGUAAUUAAACAAGAUUCUAAUAAUAUUUUAUUAAUUAAACAUGAUUUUUUUAAUAUACAUAUUUUCGAUACUUAACCUUUAGGCUAUGUUUGUAUAACAUCAUAAUUUAAAAAACCUUUACAAAUUAAAUAAGUGACUAAGCUUGCAUACAUACAUGUAUACAUUCCCAAUAAUAGUUUUAUACUAUUUCACUGACAAAAAAACAUAUAAUUAUACCCUAUUUCCGACCUAGGCAAUGGAGUAAUUAAAAAGAAAUUACGUAGACAUUUGCAGAUAAGCUUGCAUUAAUUGGAUGUUAAUCUAGUGUCUUACGCUGUAGGAUAAACAUGUGCCAUCGAGUUAUUGGUCCAGGUAGAAAGCCCAUUAACUCGUAAUAUCACGAAGCCCCAGUAAAAUCCAAUAUUUUAAUUUUUUUAUAUAUAUAUUAUAUAAAAAUUAGAUGAUAAUAAUAUUUUUUUCAUUUAAGGUUGAGUUAAAUUUUUUUAUUAAAACAUUUUUGUUUUUGUGUUUUAAAAAUUUAAUUUUUCAAGAUUCAAUAUUUUAAUCUAUAUUUGUCUAUCAAUUUUUCAAGCUUUACUUUUAGAUGUCAUUAAUAAUUUUUUAUUGAUUUAUUAAUGCACAUAAUUCUUAGUUUAUGUUACUAUAUAUGUGCAUAAACUUUUUGAUUUGUUAUAAUUUUUGAAAAAUUAAAAUGCAUUAAAAAAACAUGCAUAGAUAAGUUUUUAUAAAAAAUAAAAUCUCUCUCUCUCUCUCUCUCUCUCUAUAUAUAUAUAUAUAUAUAUAACAACUAUCAUCAUGACUAGAUUCCAUAAAUUACUAAAUAAACAAACAUUGAAUCUUAUAAUAUAGUUACUAAACUUAAUUUGAUAAUUGAUUUAGGAAAAAAUAUAUAUAAUCUAAAAUUUUACCUGAGCUGAGCUUCGUGUUUAACUAGAAAAAAAUAUUAAUUCAAUGAAGUCUAAUUAAUUUAUUUAGAUUUUUAGUGAUUUUAUUAAUUCAAUUAAACUAAAUCAGGUCAAUUUAAAGAAUUUUCUUUAACAAAAACAAAACUAUAUUAUUUUAACUAAAAGAAUUUAAAUUAAUGGGAUAUCUCGCAAAUUAAUUUGAUAAUUUAAAAUAUUAAUUCAAUGAAGUCUAAUUAAUUUAUUUAGAUUUUUAGUGAUUUUAUUAAUUCAAUUAAACUAAAUCAGGUCAAUUUAAAGAAUUUUCUUUAACAAAAACAAAACUAUAUUAUUUUAACUAAAAGAAUUUAAAUUAAUGGGAUAUCUCGCAAAUUAAUUUGAUAAUUUAAACUAUUUUUCAAAUUAGUUUUUGAUUUUGAAUAGAUAACUUAAAUCAUUCUACACCUACACACUGUCGGAAAAAAAUAAUGAUAUUCAUUUUUCUCUGGAAAAAGUAAUAACAUAUCUCAACCUGUAGAUUACUCCUAUUUGUCUAGCAAAACCAAGUGCAUAGAAAACUAUCAGUAACAAAAAUACAAGGCAUAUUCCUUCUGCUUCUUCUUCUCCUUCUUCUGGUUCGUUGAAUCUAACUUUCUAUCCAGAACAACGAUCACUUUUCUAAAGAGCCAAAUUAAUAUACUAAAUGAAAACAGUCACUUUUUUUAAAGAGCCAAAUUAAUGUAAUUAUUUCUUCUGGAUAAGGAUUAACAACCUAAAAAACGAAAUUUCGACAUGUUUUUGGGGUCCAUACGCCGGGAGCCACGUUCCCCAGGUCUCUUCUUGGGGUCCAUCGGCCGGGGACCAACGCAUCGAUUACCACGACGGUUAUGGCCGUGGAGAGGAGCGAGAGGGUGAGUGCGUGUCGUUUCACGGUAACAGUUUUGCCUGUUUCAGGGGUUCGAGGGAUUGUGGAGAGCGGAUGAGUGAUUUACUGUGGUGUGGUAUUUAUAGGGGGAUUUGAUUUUGACGCAGUGCGAAUUUAUUGUCUGGAGCACCGACAUGGGGGCCAUACUGGUUGAAAAACAAUUUUGGAAAGUAGCAUAAAAGAAUUGUUUUUUGGUUUUUCUUUUUCUAAAAAUAACACAGCAAAAGUGUUUUUGCAAUAGAGGUUUCUCUUAAAAUAAUUUUUUAAUUAAAAAAAAAAAUAAAAACUAAUCGAUGAUUUCAAAUUAAUGUGUAAAAAAAACUUAAGGCGUUAUUAAUAUAGAUGCAUAUUUAAAGCAAUGUGCAAUAAAAAGUAAUAAAAACGGAUUUAAAUAUACAUUCUAUUAUUUAAUUAAAAAUGGCCGAUAUGCUGCAUUAUUUUUUAGUUUGAUGAUGAAUGAUAAAAAUAAGGCCUGAUAUGAGUGUUUAAAUUUUAAUUUAAAAUAUGAUUCAAAUAAAAAUAUUUUAGUUUUUUUAUUACUAAAACAUGAUCCAAAUAUAAAUAUUCUUUAAAAUCAAGAACAAAAUAAAUUUUUAGAUAAAAAUUAAAUAUCCAGAAAACAUAUGGGCUGUAUUACAGGAGAAAGUACAAUCAAGAUAACUAAAAGCACUUUGCAAAUUUAAGACUAAUCAUGAAGUUUCUUUGUUUUUCACAUUUUGUUCCUUUCUCUUUCAAUUUAGAUUUUGAACUUAACAAAAAAUAUUUAGAUAGUAGAUAAUUUAUAUUAUUAUUAAAUCAGGCUAGUAGAUCAAUUUUAAACCCUCUCAAUAAUUUUAAACAGUGUGAGAGUUUUUUCAACAUGACUUAGUCAAUUUAACUGGUUCAAAUAUAAUCUAAUCGUGACUAGUAAAAAAGUUUGAAGAUAAAAUUAAAAAAAAAAAUUGAUAGAAAAAAAAAAGGAUGAAAAUUUUCAUUGUAAGAUUUAUUUAUAAUUUACAUAUCAAAGAUAAUCAAUUCAUACUGGGAUAAGAUAUAUUUUUUAAAAAAUAUAUUGUUGAUAGCUAAAUUUGUCCCUAUAAUGUUUCUCUAAUUUUUCCUUGCAUCUUUAAUUUGAUCAAUCUUAUCUUUAAAUACAUUAUUCAGUUCUAAUAAUUUAUCAUUCGGCAGGAGAUGUUUAGACAAGUCCACUAAAAUUAGUUGUGAAAUUGAUAAUAAAUGUAAUUUUGACAUGUUGAUUUAAAAAUCUCAUAAAUACAAAAUUAACAUAUUUAAAAAAUAAAAUAAAUCUCUAAUUUUAAGAUAAAUCAUCAAAGAAUAGCAAAAACAAAAAUAUAAAUAUAGGAAAAUAGAUACAAUGAUCACUAGAGAGCAUAAAUGAUCGCUAGAGAGCAUAAUUAUGAUGUAAAUGGAACAACACAGCAUUAACAACAAGUAUAAGCAAAAUAAAAUUCUACUAAAUAGGGUUAAUAUACAAAAACUCUCAAUUCAAAAUCUUAUUACUUAAUAUUUUCUUUCUAGUAUUCUCUUGAAAUUCAAGCUAACCAACUUUGUUUUGUCCCUUUCUAUACCUAAGCUCUUCACCGGCUUCGCCGGAUCUUGCUAAGACAAACCUUGGAUGUUGAUGGAGAGAAUCCUGCUUGAAACAGGAAGUUGGCAGAGGCAGAAUCGGCAUCUGUCCUGCCUGCUCGAAAGCCUGUCUUAGCAAUCCUGCUUUAGAUUGCUAAUAAAAAGGACUUAUUCCAUUCAAACUUCUUAGGUUUCGAAACAAUCUUUGGCAAAUUUAUUUUUAAUUAGUCUUAUUCAUAAAAGUAUCCUAAGACAAUAAUUUAGCUUCGACAUUGAUGCAAUAUUUAUAUCAAAAAAGUCUCUUUAGACGUUUAAUGUUUAUGUAUUGUAAAUUUAUUUGUAUUUAUUUUCGUUAUACAAAAAAGUAAGGUAUACCUUUUAUAUCUACCUAUGUAUCUAACUGGUCCAAGUUUAAGAGUUUUUCAUAAAUAGACAUUACAAUACUACUACGUGGAUUGAGCCUAUGGGUUGAUAUGAAAUAUAAUUAAUUUAGAAUCUGGAGCGGUUUAAAUUAAAUAAAUAAAUAAUUUAGUUGAUUUGAUAAAAAAAUUUAAGUUGAUCUACUGAUCAAUCAACAACCGGCUCUCAAUUUCUAGAAUUUUUUUUAUAAAAAAAUAUUGUUUUUAUUGUAUUAAAAAAACAUUUGAAAAUUGAUUCAGGAUGAUCUUUUUAACUCAUAACCUGUAUUUUAUCUUGAUCAACUCUAUAUCAAGUUUUACAAUUAUAUUAGAUUUAUUAAUCCUUACGGAAUUAUUUUGGAUCCAUAUCCAAUAUAAAAAUGUGAUCCAAUAUUUAAUAUUAAAAUUGUAGUUGCAUAAAUCUAAUGAGUUUGUAAAGUAGAUAAUAUCAUAAAAUUAUCCUUUACACAGGCUAUAUAUAAAUGAUGGCAAAUAAUAAUAUUAUUCAAUUCACGAUAUUACCAGCAGCCAUAACAGCACAAAUAAAUCAUUGCAGACAAAGCAAACACACAUAUUUUCUCAUGGAGUCUCUCACGCACACAUCAAUGUUCUCUUGACACCACCACAUAAUUAGACUCAAGCAAUUACAAAAUAAAAAAGAGGCAGAAGGUUUUCAUAACCAAACUUAACAUUACCAAUUAGCUAAGAAAUUGGCUCUAUUUCCAACACCCUGGAACACGCACCGCAUAGUCCUCCAAUACUUGCUGAUGGAGUAUCAUCGCCUUCAGAAAUCUCAUCAAUUCUUUUCUCACCUUCAAGUACACUAACGACUUCAGAUAUUUUAGGCCUGAGAGUAGGAGACAGAUUAACGCACUUCAUUGCUAACAGCAAAACAGUGAGAGCCUGCUUCCUGUUGUAACUGGAUGCUAAUUUCUUGUCCACCAAGUCAAGGAUUCCUCCCUUAUCGUGCAAAACACCAGCCUGCAAUUACAAAGCAAGAUUAGCUUAGCUCCGAGUAUUAAGGAAAUAAUCUAGUAAAUAUUUCUGAUUAUUUUCUAUUCAAUAAAAAACAAAUCAAGGAAUUAAAUAAUUCUAGGUAAUCAAGAAAUUAUUUCAAUCAUCCGAUACAAUCAACUAUAUUUCCUAUAUUUUAUUUUAUUUUAUUUACUUAUGUGUCUUGUUAUAUAAUUAUAUAAACUUCAUAUAGGUUGAAUAUAACACAUAUAUCAAAUUAUUGAAUAAUAAUAUCUUUUUUUAUUUUAAAUUUCUUCCUAGUAUAGCGAUCUCUAAAUAUUAGCUUUUGUAUUUUCAUGAGUUGAAUGUAACACAUAUAUCAAGUUAUUUUAUGUUGAUAGAAUAUGUUUGGUUUGAUAAUAACUAUGAAAAAAAAAAACAAAGGGUUUAUCCUGUAAGAUCCACCUACUUUAUCCAGAAGAAACUCAGCUUCUUGGUUUGGUGUGUAAUCUGCACUAAUUUUCCCGCUAACUAUUUCGAGUAGGACAAUUCCAAAACUAUAAACAUCAGCUUUAACAGUUAUUGCUUUUCCCAUUGAAUACUCAGGUGCCAUGUAAACUCUGCAAGAAGAGAUUAUUUAUUGGUUAGCUCUUAAUUAAAAGAAUGAAAGUAGUUGUCAAUCAAUGAUCAUAAUACUUACCGCGACCCUUUUGCUUUGAUGGCCAUAAAUGGAUCUUCCUCAUCACAAAGCGUUGCCAAUCCAAAGUCAGACAACUUGGCCGUAAGAGAGUUAUCAAGCAAAAUAUUACUAGGUUUUAUGUUUCCAUGAACAAUCUUGAACCUUUUCUCUUCAUGUAAAUACUUCAAACCUCUCGCUAUUCCCAGACAGAUACCAAAUCUAGCUUUCCAAUCAAGUUUUGUCGUGGAAUUUGGUUCUACAAAUCAAGGUUAUUGAUAUUAAGUUAUUGAUAUUUGCAAGUACACUAUCCUUGUACUAACAGAAGAUUUAAAUAUACAAUUACAUGAGUUUCACAAGGCAAUGCAUUAGGUGAAAGAGCAGGAUGAAAAUCGGGUGAUGGCAGUAUUACCGAACAACGCAUGGUGAAGGGAGCCUUUAUGCAUAUAGUCAUAUACUAGCAGAUGCAGGUCUUUAAUAGAAUAGCCAUCCAACAAUUGAACAAGAUUCUCAUGAUGCAAAGAUUUCAGGUUGAAGAUUUCCCUUUGUAAUUCAUCUUUUCCUUGUUGCUUUGAAUGAGGAGAAAUCUUCUUCACUGCUAAUUUUAUCUCGUUCGGCAAUUCAGCCUGUAUACACGUGAAAUCAAUUUACCAGAACUUUGAGAGAAAAAAGUGCAUGUUGAGAACAAAUGUUUCAAAAAGAAAAUCUGACCUUGUAUACUAUUCCAAAGCGUCCCCUGCCAAUCUCCAUUUUGGGGCUGAAUUUUCGAGUAGCAUCGAUUAUUUGUUUGAGGGUGAUUUUCCUUGGACCUCAAUGGUUAUUUCUAUUUGAAGAAAACAUCAAAGUAAGAAUUCUUAAGGUUGUGUGAUGCAUAAUGAUCUUAGAUUAGCAUGGAGAGGUACCAUCCAACUCGCUUUUCCGCAGCCAACCCAUUUUCCACAUGAAAGCCACCAGAAGUAGAGGAGCAAAGACUGAACCUGCAGUAAUCCCUGAAAUUUGUGAAGGAGAUAGUGUCUUGCCGCCAACUUUGAAGUCUGUACACGAAUAGUGGAAGACAGAAAGAAUAAAUUAUUUAUCCAGAUAAAGUGCAACAAAAUUAAGAGAAUGCAACUCUUUACUUGCAGUUACGGAAAUGCCUGCCACAAGGGGUCCAUUCACGCAACAGGUGCAGGUAUAAUGGACCCGGAAAGAUCCUUUGCCAGCCCAGAAAAAAUGGAUAGAAAAUGAUCAUCUCCUACAUAUGCUGGAAACUUGCUCCAUGUCUUAUUGGUGCCGUUGGCCAUUUCUUUUAUGUUGAAGUCUUUUAGUGUUCUCUUCCCCUAUAUCAAAAUGGAUUUGAACGAUGGAAAUUUUUUAAAAAGCUGCAGAAAAAUAUAGCGGUUACCUGUAUAUAUACAUCAAAAACACGUUUCCCUAAAUUCGAAUAAUCUUCAUCACUUUGGUAAACAGUUUCAGCGAAGUAAAGGUUCACAGUGUAAUUUCCUUUAAAUAAACAGAAGCCGUAAUAUGUCAGAGAAAGAGGGCAGAGGCGACUUGUAUUGUAUAACUGUGUCCCAUUAAAAUCACAAACUUCACAUUCCAUGUUUUUUAUGUAAUCACUGGAAUCGUAAGUUUUGAAUCCGAAGUCUCCAGAACAAGAAUAAGCCCAAUUUCCCUUUGGAGCUGAAUAAUAAUUUGAUGUUGCACUAUCUGCUUCAAACUCUUUCCCAUAAAAAACUGUGCCUCCUCCUCCACAAUUUAUAUAUAAGGUAUCGUCUGCAAAAAAUGAUAAUCAGUACAGAAAAUCUGUCCAGCGCUAAAUUCAACAGAUAAUUUUCAGAAGAGUGUCGCAUUGCACAUGUCAUUUCCAAACCUAAGAUUAAACCCAUAAAUAGUUUAAAUGAACGACUCAGGAGUGUAAAUAUACUAUCCAAUAUGAGCUUCUCAAUAGAACUUACACUUUGGUUUUCCCCGACAUUUAUUUUUCAGCUGUGGUAUAGAAUUCCUAGAAAUAGCAAACAACAUUUGUAAGAAAUAGCUCAGGAUCAUUUGUUCUAAAUUAAUUGCACCAUAUGGAGGAUAUUACCAUACCUGUUUGGUUCACUGCUUGAGUAGGAACAACAUGCAAGCAGUUGGUGCACAUGAUACAAAAUGAUCAGAAAUUGGAAUUUCAUAGACACCAAUAUUCUUGCCAGUGAAAAAAAAGGAAGAAGAAAAUGAAGUUGCCGUCAUUACAUUUUCAGCUUUCCUUCUCCUUUCUUCGGAUCAUCACGUGGAAUUUUAAAAUUAUUAUAUGACAAGUUCCUGCAACAUUAUUGUUUACAUAUCAAGAUUUUAUUGAGGAAAUCUACAAAAGGGAAAACAACCCAUCUGAGCAAAGAGCACAAAGCCAUAACAUACGCCUUGUCCUCAAUGUUACGAGGAACCCAGGAAGGUACUGUGCCAUUAAGCAUAUUUCUUGUGAGAAACCUAAACAAAAUAAAUCAAUAUGAAAACCAUUAAGCAUGUUUCUUGUGAGAAGCCAGGGAGGUACUUUUUAAUAGAGUGGCAGAAAGAACUUAUAAUAAGACAUCGAGUUCAAGGAAUCUCUUUUGCAUACAUCUUCCUUAAAGUCUGUUUUUUCAUGGAAUCUGGUAUUCCACCCGUUAAAUUGUUAAAGCUCAAGUCUCUGCAGGAUCAAUAAAAUGAAAUCAAUCGUUAUCCUACAUAUAUAUUUGAUAUAUAGUUGUGCUAUGGUAAAUUAUUGCAUAGUUGAUUCUGUAAACAAAUAAUCAAAAUCAUCAACACUUCCUAUGCAUGGCCUAAAGGCCCUAAACAAAAUAGCAAUGACAGAACUACAAAUCUUUUACAAAAGAGGAAAUGAAACUUACAGGUAUUUUAACAAUGACCAAUUACCAAUGUACGGGGGGAUUUCACCACUUAUUGAGCAAUUCCUUAUCACCCUACACAAAUCAUUGAAGAAGUUGGUGUUUGGAUUUAUCCAAUGCAUCCAUAUCAUUAAGAGUCACGUACAUAAAUAUUGACAAAAAAAUAAAAAAAAUUUUAAAACACAACAUUGUGACUUCACGAUUCUGUUAUGCCUAUAGUCGUAAUUAAUAUAUAUAUAUUUAAAAAAAAUUCUCAAACCUUAAUCCCAUGUAAUAGCUCCUAAAAAAAACUCAAGAUCAAAUAAAGAAAAAUAGGCCUAAAAAAGUAUUUAUGUAAAAGACCGGUCAUAAUCCAAAUUCUACAACAAUAUUAACGCUCCUAGACAAAUAUUAUAAUUCUAAGUGUGUAUGGUUUUUAUUAUCUAAUGUGAAAUUAAUCUUUAUACCACAAUUUGAAUUCAUGCCAUAGCUCAUUGGCUUACUCCUCAUCCAUUGACCGAUUAGGUGGUAAGGAUGCAAAUUAAGUAUUUACAAGUAUCGGAGCUUCUUACAUCAAAUUAGGAAGUUUCAGGCGUUCUUCUUUUCUUUUCUUUUUUCCUUUUUAAUUACAAAUCUCAAGUUAGUUAUGCAUGUGAGCUUGUGCCCUUAGUGUGAGCUUUAAAGAAAAGCAAAGGAAGGAAAAACUCACAGGCAUCUUAUUUUCGUCAUAUUUGCAUUUUUUGGGAAAGGGAAACCGGAGCUAGUUACAUCACUAACAAACCUGGAAGAAAAACCAUCCAGAAUAAAAACAUACAUUUAUUUCAACCUGUGAAAAUUAUAGAACACUUACAAGUAUUCGAGAUUUGACAUGUUAAAAAGAAAAUCAAGAGGCAGAUUUGACAUGCUAAAAUCAUUUCCGGAGAGGGACCUGUGUUCAGUACACAAAAACACAAAUUAUUGAAUGAUAUUCUUCGAUCAUCGACAGUUUCUCAAUCAAAUAAUAUUACAGAAAGUACAAGUAAUUUCUUACAGGUAAUAGAGUCCAGUCCAAUUCUCAAUGAACCUUGGUACUUCACCGGUCAAACGGUUCCCAGCUACGGUACUGCAGCCAUAGUUAGUUGCUUUUCCUUGGAACAAUAAUUAAACAGAUUGUUGGUUGAAAGAAUAUGAUGAGUUGCACUUACAACCACUGCAUUUCCGUAAAGCUGGCAUAAUUUCCCGGCAGUGUUCCAUUCAAAUUGUUGGAGCUCAACACUCUACAACAACAAAUCAAAAGGAUUGUAAUACACCCUUGUUCUGUUUUAUUUCUCCUAUUACAAUCUUCCUUUGUUUUACAAGGUGGUAUGAUAUUAUUAUUCUUGUUUUUUAAACUUACAAAACAUUUAGAUAUCUCAAUCUUCCAAGUUCUGGUGGAAGCGGACCACUGAGUUCAUUGAAGCCCGAGUACCUAAUUAAAUAAAAGAUAAGAACCAAACAAAACUAAAUAAGUUAUAAGGAAAUUCAAGGAGAAUGAAAGAGCGAGCGAGCGAGUAUCAAUACAUCAAUUGGAGAUUAGAGAGGUUGCCCAAUUCUUUAGGGAUUUGACCUGAUAACAUAUUAUACGACAAACCCCUGAAAACACCCACAAAAAUAAGAGCACAAGAAUCAAUAAUUUAAAUAUUUAAUUCACAUUAUAUUAUACUAAAAGACUGUGAUUGGAUAAUACUUACAGAAGUUGAAGGGACGAUAAAUUCCCUACAGAUGGAGGUAUGGAGCCAUUGAGGAAGUUUUGGGUGAGAUCACUAUGCAUAUGUAAUAGAUAAAAUAAGAACCAAUAAUUUAAAUUUUAUGAAGACAGACUAAGAGCUGAAAUUAGUUAUUAAAAUAUGAUCCAAAAGCCAAGAAGCUCUUUGCUCAUAACCAUGCAGACAGCCAAACAAGGCUUUUAUCCUAAUUACAUGAGAGAAAAGAACCAAACAGAACUCAGAAGUUAAUUUUUGUGACCAUUAACAUUUACAAGUAUCGAGUCCCCAAACGGCUUGCCGUUAUUUUCAUUUCUAACAAAGCUAAUUUUACUUGAAAAUGUUUACCCAAAAACUCUAUUAAAAAAUCUUAACUACUACAACUACUAAUCUAUCAAUUGUCUAUUCAGUAACUUCUUCUUUAAUUUAAAGAAGGAAAUUUGAGUUCUUAACUCAAAUUUUCACCAUUAUAAUAAAAUUACAUAGUCCUAAACACUUUAUUCUCCGAAUGAAAAUGAGAUCUUAACUAUUAUUUAAUGGAAUAUAAUUUAAAAGAAGUAAUUUUAGAAAACAAAAAUGUUAGAUUUGUGUAUAUAUAUAUAUAUUCUGACAAUGCAUGCGGAGACUAUAAUUUCAUAGAACUCUUGAUAACAGAAGUUACAAAUUGUAUGCUCUUUUCUUACCAUUAUAUAUUAUUCUUUAAAAGAAUAGCAAUGGUAUAAAAUCAAACCCAAAUAUCCAAGAUGUUCUCCUAUAAUUCAUAUAAAAAUGGAUGUUCUUCGAUACCCAAGUCAAACUUUUUGUUAGUGUCAUUUUGUUUUUGUUUUUUUUAAAAAAAAAAAUUGAUGAUGGAUGGUUUGCUUUUAACUAUAUUAGAAAUAAUAAAUUUAGUUUUGAAGCAUGAAAUCUAAAUACUUGAUUAGGAAAAAAAUUAAAAUCUUUAGAAAUUAGACAUGGAAUGUUUAUGAAUAAAAGUCAAUAUUAAUAAAAUACAUAUAAACACCCACAAGAAUAAGAGCACAAAACUCGCAUCAGCAAUGGAAAAAGAAUUAAAUUGACACUGAAGAUGAUACUUACAACUAUAUGAUACUGAAGAAAUUGUGAUUGCAUGAUACUUACAAAUAUUGGAGGGACGACAAAUUCCCCAAAGAUGCAGGUAUGAAGCCACUGAAGCAGUUUCUCGAGAGAUCACUGUGCAUAUGUAUUACCAUAUAAGGUCAUUAUUACUCAAAUAAGAACCAAUAAUAUAAAUUUUAUAAUCCAAAAGCUGAGCAGCUCUUUGCUCACAGUAAAUUAAUGGAAAUAUAACAAAAGAUUACAAAUAUGAAAUAAUGAAUCAAUACAGAUUUCUUUACCAGCUCCCUUGUUUCUAGAGGGCACUUAUUUUUUUAUUUUUUUUACUUUUUCAAACACACAUCUAAAUUAUACUUGUAAUAUAUUUUUACUCUUAAAUGAAACAAUAGAAAAAAAAUUAUACUCAUAUUUAAUUUAACAUAUCUACAUAUAUUAAUAUUAAAGAUUAAAAUACUAUAACAUUAUUUGGGAUAAUUAAAUUAGAGAUGAAAAGAUAUAUAUAUAUAUAUAUAUAUAUAUAGUCGAAGCUAAAUAACUACAGCCCAAAGACCGAAUAUCCGAGGCAGAAGCUAAAUAUAUCAAUUAUAGGGAUUCUAAAUCAAGUUACAUAGAAAAUCUUAUUUUUGUUAAUUUUAUUUUAAAUAUUGUAGUAUAUUUAAAAUAAAGAAUAUUUUUGAACAAAUCACUGCAACAAAAUAAACUGCAGUAGUAAUAAAUGACUAUGGUACUUACAGAUGGUAGAGUGAAUGCAAGUUCCCCAUGGUGACAGGGAUGCUACCAGAAAGUUGAUUAUUGGACAAAUAACUGUUAUUAAUGUAAUAAGAUUGUUACCAAUUAGUUGAGCUCAGCAUACUGAUUCGAAUGAUUAUCAUCACAUGUCAUAUGAUACUCACAUUUCUUCUAGGUGAUCGAGACUAGUCAAGGCUGCAGCGUUGACUCGUCCUGUUAAUACCCUGCGUGAGAGAUCUCUGCCACCCAAAAAUGGCGUUAACAUAGAAACCUUACAAAAAUAAAAGAAAAUUGGAUGAAGUUGAUGAGGAACUUACAGGCUGGUGACGUGACAUACUGUUCUGCUCUCAUAAUUGCAAUUGCAUUUGAUGCCUCGAUAAUUAUUGUCACAAGACGAGUUUGAGAUUUGUUGAGAACCCCACCCUAACGUGGUCAUCAACUCAUCCAAAGCCUUCGCUGCCAAACAUUUUUCAACAAAGAAACACAUAUUUUGUUUAAUUAGCAAGAUUCAAACAGGUAGCAUACCUGAUACCUUCAUGAUCAAAACCAUAUAUUUUUAGCUUCCACAACCUCAAGCUACCUCUAGCUAGCUUCAAAUCCGAACUAAAAGGAGAAAAAAGAAAAAAAACUAGUGCUAAUUUAUUGUCAAUUGACUAUACAAAUCCAUCUAGAUUUCCUUACUAAAAUCCUCGUAAAAAUCAAUUCAUCCUUAACCAAUCACUUCACUUGAUAGUUAUAGGAAAAGAUGGAGAAGCAGAAAAUAUAUAAGAAAUGCAGUACGUAGGCUAGCAAGAUAAAACUAGAGCACUACGGAACUCUCUGCCAGGCUGUGGAAGCACUAGAGAGUGCAAAUGGAAGAGAGAAAUAGCAGUAUCUUGUGCAUAAGGCUUUUCGUUGUUUGGGUCACAAAGAUAAUUAAGACCCUUCCUUCCAGCUCAAGUGUUCUCUCUUCUUUCUCUUGUUAGCUUGGAUCAGUUUCGUGCAAACAUGAGUGAGUUUAUAGUCUAAGUACAGUUAAUUGAGUUUAUAUUCUUGAAAACAAAUUUUCUUCCUUCUUUUGUAUAUAGUUGGAAAAGGAUAUAUAUGUAGAUGGAAAAGUAUAUCGUGCGUGUGUACCUUCAUCGUCAGGCAACUUUGCUUCACAGGCUACAUAGCGAAAUUGACGAAGAAGAAGAAGAACGGCAAGAGAGGAAACAAGCUUAGGAAAGAGCUUAGCCAUUACUACUUUAGCUUGCAAUGCGCUUCCCAUAAGACAUGCAUUCUUUAUAUAGAUAUUGUUUUACCGUUCAAACUGUUAUUAACUCUGAGCCACUCACAUUACCAAAUUGUCCCUGUCCAAAUAUCAAAAUACCUGAGAAAAGUAACUUGCAAUAUUAUGCAUGGAGGCCUAACAAUUUUGGUUCAUGUAAAUUGCAAAAUGAUUCCAAAGCAGCAUUUUUUAAAUUGAUUAUAUCGUAGUCUUUAAAACGUUGUAAAAUUUGCAUAUUUGAAUUCAAUUCAAUGUCUGAGAUUUGAAUUCAUUCAUGCAUAAUUAAAGGGUAGUAAUUAUUCAAAUAUAUAAUAUAUAAUUAUGAGUUAUUAUGCAUUAUUAAUCCAACACUAUUUUUGUAUCUAUUAUCCUCUCCCGAGUAAUGUGAGCUUGUGUUUUAUGUCUUUUAUCUCACAAUUCAUAGAAAGAUAUCCAUCACUGAUCUAGUUGUGUGCCUCACAACUAACCACCUGUCAUGAUACAAUAAGCACGCACUUCUUCCACUUUGUUGCAUGCACACUUCAACUUUCAGUCUUUCAAGAUUCCACUUUAAAGCUUUAUUGGUCGUUACUUGGAGCGGAGCAAAUAAUUAAAUACUAUUAUCUUGCACUACGUAUCAAUGUCCACAAAUCAGAAAAACAAACUCAAACACUCUCUUUAAAUACUAAACCUAAGAUCUAUAAUGACUAAAUUAAGAAAAACGUACAUAACAAACAAAGCUAGAAAGAAGGUACUUUUACAUUGAUUUUUGAAACCGAAAAACUGAUGCAUAAUUAAUUCUACUGGUUACUAGAAAUAGUCCCGUUGCUUUGCCCUUAAUUACCUGCUAUAUAUAUAUAUAUAAAAGAACCUAACAUUUUUUCCUUAAAAAACAGAUGUUUUUUCAUUAAAAAUAAUUUAUUUAGGAAGUGAAAGGUUAUUGUUCAUAUUCUUCAUUCAUAAACUGGACAAAAAUAUAAUUCAUAAGAAUUACCACUUAAAAAUAAGCUGGACAAGAAUUUAAGAUCUCUAAACAUUUUAAAAAUUACUUUACAAUCCAUUUCACUUAGACUCACUCUUUCUCUGCACUCUCCCACACACUACACUACUACUCUUCUCACAUCCCUAGCUUUUAUACAAAAUUUGAAGUGGCAGGGCAAAUCUUUAGGCAUGUAAGUCUGCAUGUGGUGUCUAUUCUAGAAUUCUUUUUUUUUUUAAGUAGAUAUGUAUGCCGUUAUUGAUCUUCAACCUCAUGUUCACAAGAAUUCAAAGAGGAUCUCUAUUCAUAAGAAGAAGAAUGAUUUUUAAAUAAAUCUUUAACUGAUGACUCAACUUUUAAGUAGUAAAAUAAAAGAAUUAUCACUUAAAUCGGUAUGAGAAUUCUAUAUUAAGAAAUUAUUUGUGUAGCGUUAAUCCGAAGAAUAAUCAAACAUUAUUAAUUUUAAGAUGAAAGCUGUUAUUCUUAGAAUUUUGCAAAACAAGUAUGAUUAUGAUAAGUACUAUCAAGACGUUGUGGGCAAACUGCUCAAAACAGAAAGACAAAGGCAAAUGGAAAGUGAAAAGGAAAAGCGUCAGGACAGAAGAUGUUGGGAAAAAGAAGAAGAAGCAAGCUGUCAACACAUGCUUUGGGAAUCUCAAAUGUGUAUCACAUGAAGUUCUUAAUUCCAUGGAAGAUUUGUAGUGGUGACUAAAUGGUUAGAUAAUUACCCUCUCCAUUUUGUAUAUGUUCUUCACUGUCGCUUAAUUAUGAAUAGGCAGCAGGAAAAUGUAGCAGAUCAAGAUUGAAAACAGAAUCACACUGCCAACACUCAUGCCACUGCUUCUACAUGCAGUGCAAGAAUUACUCUUCGCGCGUGUAUCUGUCCAAGAAUUGCUCUCUGCCCGAGUGAAUAGAAAGAGGUAGUAGGAGCCAAUCUGAGAAAUGAAUGAUUCUUUCUGUCUGUCACGGGGUGCGAGCGCCAACGCAACGUUGUCUGACGACCGCGGAGGCUCUUGUCAUGCCUCCUAUGUGAAGUAUCGUGUGUUGGAAAAAAUUUUGAAUUUAAUUAUAAAAUUAUGAUUAAUGUUUAGGAGUCGUCACCUAGUAUUAUGGUCACUAGAAAUCUAUGAUCUGCGAGAAUUUGAGUAAAGGACUGGUUGUGCAAGGGAAAACGCAUCACCCUCAGUGCACCCUAUCUAAGAUAAACUGCAUUGUCAUUUGAUUGUUUUUUUUUUCUAAAUCGGGUUUCUAUUCGUUGGUCUUUUCUAAGGUUUAAGGCAGAUCUUUCUUCAUGAGAAAGUCUCUACCUUAUUGGGUAAAUCAUAGCCGUUCUAAAUUCUGAAUUUUAGCAUAUUUAUUUACACAUUGUAUCUUUAAUACCUGACGGUGUACUUUAUCGUCUAAUUUUACAUUCCUCAAAUAUUAAAAUCUACAUCUGAAUCCUAAAAAAAGAUUGGAAUUUUUUUUUUGACAUGUUGGUCAAAUUCUAAUGGAUAAUCAUAAACUGGUUACAAUAUUUAUUUUUGAUUUUUUUAAACAUGAAAAAAAUAUAAUUUAUUUUAUUUAAAAAAAAAUUAAUUUUUUUAAAAAUAAUUCAGAAUUGGAUUCUGACUAUGUCUAUAGGGGUCGGUCCUAAAGGCAAGAGCAGUUCCAGGUGAUGCAGUGGAUUAAGCCAUUGAUCGUGUAAACGACGGAAGUCAAGAAGGUUCCUCGAAGCCCGCCACUAAAGCUAUUAAUUCUUCUCUCUCCCGCCAAGGUCCCCUUUCGUGGAAUAGCAGAGACCACUACCAAUCAACCAGAAGAAAAUUCCAGUAGCUUUUGGAAAAUACAGAGUUCCUGCCCAUGAUCACAACCAUGUACGCAAGCCAAUCUUAAUUCCAAUAAAGCCCAUUUAAAUAGUAGAGUUUUCACAUAAUUUUACUAAGAUCUCUACUUUUAAUCCCUACCAUUUCUAAAUCAAAGAUGGAAUACAAAGAUCAGUCAUAUGCUGCGAAAAGAAAAGAAAAAAAAUCAAGAAAAGAGAGCUUGUCUCGAUAAUUAUAAUACAUACUUGUAUCACAGUGAGGUUUAGAAAACAAGCAUGGAUAUAUAUUAUCUCUUAAUUAGCCUCAGUUGAAAGCUUUUGCUUCUAAACUUGUGAAAGGUAGAGUUUCGGCAAAAGGAAAAAGGAAAGAUGAGGGAUGACAGGUGAAAGUGAGUGUUCAAAAAAAUUGAAAAGUGGAAGUGGGGAUAAUUUCGUCAAAUUUUCUUUAAAGAGUAAGAGACAAAUUUAAUUUAGACAAAGAGGUCAAGUAAAAGCAAAAUCUAUUUAUAUUUUUUAAUUUAUUUUUAUCUAACAACAAAGAGGUACUCAGCACUAAAGCAAGUCUAAUUAUAUUUAUCUAAUGGGUAGCUAAGUGUACUAAUUUUCUGGGCGAUUUAUACAUAAAGAUAGUAUGCUAAAAAAUGCUUACACCAUUAUUAAAACCAUCUUAUUUAAUGUACAAGCAUAUUAUGAAAAAUAUGCUAAAAUAAAGUGGGCGAUUUAUACAUAAAAGAUAACUAAUAAUUCAAUAACUUAAGUUCGAGCCAGAGAUGAUGUUCUAUCACGUGGUGGCAAAGCUCUGUCAAGCAAGCAUAUGAAGUGACUUGUAGAUCUCUAAGUAUAAGGCAUCUCUACAAUAUAAGACAAAAUUAGCAUAAUUCUCUUACAAUGGUCCCUUUUUUUCUUUUUAUCAUUUUACAUUGUUUUUACUGUAAAUUUAAAAGUUACUCAGAGGUGUUAUUGUAAUCUAAAUAUAUUAAAUAUUAUUAAAAAAAAACAUGAGACGCUAACAUAAAGAAAACCCUCGCACUAUUCGGGCAGCAUGAAAAGUGUCGUUCAAUUAUCAAAUGCUACCUUCUAUAAUGGUGUUUGAAAGGUCUCCUCGCCGCUCAAGAUGGGGUAGUGUUUGUAUCGAAAAUACCUUUGAUUUGAUACUAGGGACCAUUUGUUUUUUCUUUUUCUUUCUCCCCGCCCCUCGAGAUGGGGCAGCGUUUGUACCAAAAAUACCAUUGGUUCGAUACUAGGGAUCAUUUUUCUCUCUCUCUUUCCUUCUUGAAUUCAAGACGUUAAGGAAAGCAAAAUCCAAAGGCAAUUGAAAAGUGAAUGGAAAAGCGUCAGACAGAAGAUAGUGAAAAACAAAGAAAAAACAAGCCGUCAGCUCAUGCCUUUGGAAUCUCAAAUGUGUAUCACAUGAAGUUCUUAAUUCCAUUGAAGAUUUGUAGUGGUGACUAAAUGGUUAGAUAAUUACCCUCUCCAUUUUGUAUAUGUUCUUCACUACCGCUUAUUAAUAGGCAGCAGGAAAUUGUAACAAAACAAGAUUGAAAACAGAAUCACACUGUCAGCACUCAUGCCCAGCUAAUUAACGGCUCUGCUAAAUGAUUUGAUAUAUCAUAAAUUAAUGAUUGAACCCAUGGAAUCUGAACAUUGAGAAGUAAGUAAUAAUGCAUCUUUAAAAUUCAUGGUCAAGUCUUUGUUCAUGUAAUUCAGCAUCUUUUGUUUAUCUUUUGCAUUUAAUAAAGCUAAAGCACCAGUACGUAUGAAGAACAAAAGCUGAUAGCUUAUCCUUCAUUUCUUGGGUCCAAUCAGAAAGUGAAUAUAUAUUGAGAAGUAAUAAUGCACCUUUACAAGCAGAGAAAGAUUAAUAAAAGCUAAAGCAUCAAUAUGAAGGCCAAAAGUGUGAAGAUAGUUGGCCACUUGCUAACUUGGCCAACUUGGCCACUUGGCCAACUUGGCCACUUGCUCUUUCAUGGAUGCUUGCCUAUAAAUAGGCGAGCAUCCAAGCAUUACAAUCACACAAAAGAAGAGAGAAAGAAGAGAGAGUGAAGAGGGAAAUCCCACUAAAUUGUGAGGUAUUUGUGAGAGAGUAAGUGAGGUGUUUUCUCCUAGUAAUAGAGAGAUUCUUAGUUGUUCUCCUAUUAUCUGAGAGAGGUUGUAAUUCCCACAUUACUAGUAAAAUCCUUCUAUACUUGCCCGUGGACGUAGCCUAAUUGGGUGAACAACGUAAAUUCUUGUGUGUCUCAUUUUUCAUUUAUCUUGUCCCUUACCUUUUGUCUUGUCGAGUUUGCAUGCCAGUAUCCUAACAGUGGUAUCAGAGCCUUCUUGGUUGGUGUUGUUAACACACAAAAGUUAUUCGUGUAUACGGUUACUAUUCACGUCUACGGCACUAUUCAUCCAUACGGUACUGUUCACUAUUGUUGGCGUAUAUAGAAAGUCAGUGCGGUGAUUAAAUACAGUCUAGGAAGUUCUGUCUAAGGAGAUUGUGUUUUAAGCGGGACCGUUUGUGACCCCUCCAAUCUUUCCUGGGAACUUACUUAGUGAAGUAUUAUUCACACGAUACUAUUUCUAUAUACGUUACAGAUCUGUGAAACGGUGAUAGCUGAAUAGAUCUCGGUGAAUACAAUGGCAGCAAAGUACGAGAUUGAGAGGUUCAAGGGGAGCAAUUUCUCACUAUGGAAAAUGAGAAUCAAGGCAAUCUUGAGGAAAGACAAUUGCUUGGCAGCAAUUGGGGAUCGGCCCGCGGAGAUCACUGAUAAUGCAAAAUGGAAUGAGAUGGAUGGCAAUGCUAUUGCUAACAUACAUUUAGCAUUAGCUGAUGAAGUAUUAUCAAGUGUGGCGGAGAAGAAAACAGCUAAGGAGAUAUGGGAGACUCUAACAAAGCUAUACGAGUCCAAGUCUUUGCACAUAAGAUUUUCUUAAAGCGGAGACUUUAUACCCUUCGAAUGGCAGAAACCACGUCGGUGACUGACCACAUCAACACAAUAAGAACUCUAUUUUCACAACUCACUACGGUCAACAAAUAGAGGAAAAUGAACGUGCAGAGCUUCUACUUCAAAGUCUUCCUGAUUCGUAUGAUCAGCUCAUUAUCAACUUGACCAAUAAUAUCCUCUCAGACUAUUUAGUCUUCGAUGAUGUUGCAGCGCUAUCUUGGAAGAAGAAAAUAGGCGCAAAAACAAAGGAGACAGAAACAGUUCAAACCAAGCAGAGGCGUUAUUGGUGUCAAGAGGAAGAUCAACGGAACGUGGCUCAGUGGGAGUCAAAGGCAGGGGAGGUCCAAAUCAAGAAGUAAGAAGAUGGUGAAAUGCUACAACUGUGGCAGAAAAGGGCACUUCAAAAAGGAUUGUUGGUUUAAAAAGGGUAUAGAGAAUACUGCAGAGUCAUCAAACCUCAAGGAUGUGUUGCAAGCACCUCAGAAGAUGGAGAGGUUUAUAUAGUGAAGCAGCAACAAUCUCUACAGAUAGAGAAGAGCUCGCUGAGGUCUGGCUAAUGGAUUCAGGAGCAACAUGGCAUAUGACCCCUAGACGAGAUUGGUUCCAUACAUAUGAACCUAUCUCUGGAGGCACAGUGUUCAUGGGUGAUAAUCAUGCUGUAGAGAUUUCUGGCAUUGGCACCAUCAAAUUGAAGAUGUAUGAUGGCUUAAUUCGUACUAUUUCAGGAGUGCGACAUGUGAAAGACUUAAAGAAGAAUCUUUUGUCCGUAGGACAAUUUGAUAGUCUUGGCUGUAAGAUCCGAACAGACAAUGGAAUCAUGAAAAUUGUCAAAGGCGCGCUGGUGGUUUUAAAGGCAAGAAAGACAGUUGCAAACAUGUUUGUAUUAAUGGGAGAAACACAUCAGGGGCAGAAGCAUCAAUCGCAUCAGCCAGUCCUGCAGAAGAGAAGACGAUGAUGUGGCAUCAAAAACUAGGCCACAUGUCAGAGAAAGGUUUAAAGGUUCUCUCUGAUCAGAAGUUACUCCCUGGGCUUACAAAGGUUACUUUACCUUUUUGUGAGCACUGUGUUACAAGUAAACAACACAGGUUGAAGUUUGGCACGUCAACAACUAAGAGCAAAUGCAUCUUAGACCUGAUUCACUCUGAUGUUUGGCAAGCACCGGUUGUAUCCUUGGGAGGAGCAAGAUACUUUGUAUCAUUCAUAGAUGACUUCUCCAGGAGAUGUUGGGUGUAUCCGAUUAGAAGGAAGGCAGAUGUGUUCGCAGUUUUUAAAACCUUCAAAGCGCGGGUAGAACUUGAAUCUGAAAAGAAGAUCAAGUGUUUGAGGACUGACAAUGGAGGAGAAUAUACCAGUGAUGAAUUUGAUAACUUCUGUCAACAUGAAGGUAUCAAAAGGCAGUUCACAACGGCAUACACUCCACAACAAAAUGGAGUGGCAGAGCGGAUGAACAGAACUCUAUUGGAAAGAACAAGAGCAAUGUUGAAGGCUGCAGGUCUAGAAAAGUCAUUCUGGGCAGAAGCAGUCAAUACCGCCUGUUAUGUAAUAAAUCGAUCUCCGUCUACUGCAAUUGAGUUGAAGACACCGAUGGAGAUGUGGACUGGAAAGCCAGCUGAUUAUUCUCGAUUGCAUAUAUUUGGAAGUCCUGUGUACGUGAUGUACAAUACUCAAGAGGUCAGCAAGCUGGAUUCAAAAUCCAGAAAAUGUGUAUUCUUGGGAUAUGCUGAUGGAGUGAAGGGGUAUCGCUUGUGGGAUCCCACUGCCCACAAGGUAGUCAUCAGCAGAGAUGUCAUAUUUGCAGAAGAUAAAAUGCAAAUGGAAGAAAAUAAUAGCAUUUUAAAGGAGACUACAGAAGUCCAGAUGGAAAAUACUCAGAAUCAUACUUCUUCUGAAGCUGCACCAGAGCAUGAAGAACAAGAACAAAUAGAGUCUGAAACUCCUGAAGUUCGACGGUCAACUCGUGAAAGAAGACCACCGGCUUGGCACUCAGAAUAUGUUACUGAGAGCAACAUUGCAUACUGUCUUCUAACAGAGGAUGGAGAGCCAUCAACUUUCCAUGAGGCUAUCAAAAGCACAGAUGUAUCUAUGUGGAUGACAGCAAUGCAAGAGGAGAUUGAAGCUCUGCACAAGAAUAACACUUGGGAUCUUGUUCCGCUACCACAAGGAAGAAAGGCCAUUGGCAACAAAUGGGUUUACAAGAUAAAGCGUGAUGGCAAUGAUCAAGUGGAGCGGUAUCGUGCAAGAUUGGUGGUGAAAGGAUAUGCUCAGAAAGAAGGAAUAGACUUAAUGAGAUAUUUUCUCCGGUGGUACGACUUACUACAAUCAGAGUAGUCUUGGCGAUGUGUGCUAUAUUUGAUCUUCACUUAGAGCAGUUAGAUGUGAAAACUGCAUUUCUUCAUGGAGAACUUGAAGAAGAAAUUUAUAUGCUCCAACCAGAGGGUUUUGCUGAAACAGGCAAAGAGAACUUGGUUUGCAGGUUGAACAAAUCUCUAUACGGUCUCAAACAGGCGCCGAGGUGUUGGUACAAGAGAUUUGAUUCCUUCAUAAUUAGCCUUGGGUACAACAGACUCAGUUCAGACCAUUGUACGUAUUACAAGAGGUUUGAAGAAAAUGAUGUUUUCAUCAUUCUGUUGUUGUACGUGGAUGACAUGUUGGUAAUAGGCCCCAACAAAGAUCGAGUCCAAGAAUUGAAGGCACAGUUGGCUAGGGAGUUUGAUAUGAAGGACUUGGGACCAGCAAACAAGAUUCUAGGGAUGCAAAUUCACCGAGACAGAAGUAAGAGGAAGAUUUGGCUUUCUCAGAAGAAUUAUUUAAAGAAGAUCUUGCGACGCUUCAACAUGCAAGAUUGUAAGCCAAUUUCCACCCCACUUCCUGUUAACUUCAAAUUAUCCUCAAGUAUGUCUCCUAGCAAUGAAGCAGAGAGGAUGGAGAUGUCUCGAGUACCGUAUGCAUCAGCAGUGGGAAGUUUAAUGUUUGCCAUGAUAUGUACAAGACCAGACAUUGCACAAGCAGUGGGAGCAGCUAGUCGAUACAUGGCAAAUCCUGGUAGAGAGCAUUGGAAUACUAUAAGAGGAUCUUGAGAUACAUCAAGGGUACCUCAGAUGCCGCAUUAUGUUAUGGAGGAUCAGAAUUUACUAUCAGAGGUUAUGUUGACUCAGAUUUUGCUGGUGACCUUGAGAAAAGAAAAUCCACUACAGGCUAUGUGUUCAUAAUUGCAGGAGGAGCUGUGAGCUGGGUCUCUAAACUUCAGACUGUUGUAGCGUUAUCCACAACAGAAGCUGAGUAUAUGGCAGCUACACAGGCUUGUAAAGAAGCAAUAUGGCUGAAGAAACUUAUGGAGGAGCUCAAACAAGAGAAGAUUCUUUUGUAUUGUGAUAGUCAGAGUGCCUUGCAUAUUGCAAGGAAUCCAGCGUUUCAUUCAAGAACAAAACAUAUAGAUGUUCAGUAUCACUUUGUUCGCGAAGUGGUGGAAGAUGGAAGUGUGGAUUUUCAGAAGGUUCACACAAAGGAAAACCCAGCAGAUGCUUUAACCAAACCAGUCAACACUGAUAAGUAUAUAUGGUGCAGAUCCUCUUGUGGCCUAGCAGAAACGUAAGCAGCAUGAAGAUGGCAAGUAUUGAAAGGAUAGAAGAAUCACCAAUGAUCAAGUGUGAAGACUUGAUUAAAUCAUCAAAGUCUUCAAGUGGGAGAAUGUGAAGAUAGUUGGCCACUUGGCCAACUUGGCCACUUGGCCAACUUGGCCACUUGCUCUUUCAUGGAUGCUUGCCUAUAAAUAGGCAAGCAUCCAAGCAUUACAAUCACACAAAAGAAGAGAGAAAGAAGAGAGAGUGAAGAGGGAAAUCCCACUAAAUUGUGAGGUAUUUGUGAGAGAGUAAGUGAGGUGUUUUCUCCUAGUAAUAGAGAGAUUCUUAGUUGUUCUCCUAUUAUCUGAGAGAGGUUGUAAUUCCCACAUUACUAGUAAAAUCCUUCUAUACUUGCCCGUGGACGUAGCCUAAUUGGGUGAACCACGUAAAUUCUUGUGUGUCUCAUUUCUCAUUUAUCAUGUCCCUUACCUUUUGUCUUGUCGAGUUUGCAUGCCAGUAUCCUAACAAAAAGCUGAUAGCUUAACCGCCAUUUCUUGGGUCCAAUCAGAAAGUGAACAUUGAUAAGUAAUAAUGCAUCUUUACAAUUUAUGGUCAAGUCUUUGUUCAUGUAAUUAAUGUCAAAGACCAUCUCAACCUAAAAGCUUAAGCUGUUAGGUGAGGUUCCAAGAUAUGAUUUAUAUUAUUCUCUAACACACCCCCUCAAGUGAAAGCCCUUUGGGCUUGAAACUUGCACAGACCCACAUUACCUUGUGCUUAAUUUUUAUCAAAUAAAUAUGGGUGGUGAGAUUCGAACUCGUGACCGCUUGGUCAUCAAGGCUCUGAUACCAUGUCAAAGAACCAUCUCAACCCAAAAACUUAAGCUGUUAGAUGAGGUCCCAAGAUAUGAUUUAUAUUAUUCUCUAACAAUUCAGCACUAAAACCAUUAAUUAGCAAUGUAAUAAUAAUUUUAUUUUAAUCAUAUAACAAUACAAUACGGAACAGUUGAUUGAUUUUACUUACAAUAUAACACAACAAAUCAUAGUAUUGUCGCACGUGUGCGGCGGCGCGGCGAUCGUCCACCCUCAAGGAAAAAAAAAUCGGAAUAUUUAUUCCCGACAAAAAAAGGAGAGACAAGGAAUUCUUGUCUCUAUAAGUGAAAAUAUGGACUGGGAGUCGCCACCUAGUAUUCUGGUUACUAGGAACCUUAACUGGUAUUUAGAGAUCGGGUACGGAGACUAGUUGCGUAAAGGGAAGGUAUUAGCACCCCAACUACGCCCUACCUAAGGUAGGCUGCAUUGUUUUAAUGUCUGAUAACAUCUAAGGUCGUGUUUUAUUGUUCGGAAUACGCAUUACAUGUAAUGUCAUAUCCCAAGUUCUAUAAAAAAAAUAUAUAUAAAAAUUAAAUAAAUAUCCGGAAUAUGUAUUACGUAUAAUGUCAUACCCCGGAUAUUAAAAGAUAAACAAAAUAAAAUUUUUGUUGUUUUUUUGAAAUUUUGGCCAAUAUUCUCUUGACUUUAAUAAACUGGUUAUUAAAGCCAAAAUGCAUGCUAAAACAUUGAUUUUUUUUUUGUAUGAAAAAUACAAAAUGAUUUUUUUUUUGAGACAUUUGGCCGUAUGCACAAAAAAACAUUUUUUUUUUUAUUUGUUUUUGUAUUCUUGAACGUCGAAAACCGGGUAUUUCAGUACCGGAUUUGUAUUUUACGACAUAGGAAUAUUGUCCCAUAUUACAUAAAAAGUACGGGGAAAAAUUAUAAAUAAAACAAGUAUUUUUUAUUUUUUCCUUUUUUAUGGGCCGGAUGAACAGUACCGUAUGAACAGUAAAAUUAAAAAUGAUAGAAGAAAAUGUGUCUUUUUUAAAAAAAUAAAAAUAAAAAUAAUAACAAACAAAAUAAUAAUAAUAAUAAUAUAAAUAAUAAUAAUAAAUAAAUAAAUAAAAACAUGGGCUGGGCCAACCAAGCCCGUUUACAGGGGCUGGGCUGAACGGCCCAGCCCAGGCCCAAAUGGGCUGGUUACUGUGCAUCAGCACAGUAACCAGCCCACGCUGCAUUUUGCAGCAGAACGUGAAUUAUUCACGUUCUGCAUGCAAGUGCAGGCAGGGACAGCGAGGGCGAGAAGAAAAAAAAAAAAGUGAUGGCGAGGGAGCAGGAGGUUACCUGACGCGGUGGAGCUUCCAACUGGAGCGGUGGCCGGCGGUGCUGCUGGUGAUCGAAGGGUGGCAGAGGCGACGAUUUCUUCUCUCUUCUCCCCUGCUUCUUUCUUUCUUCUUCUGUUUCUGUUUUUUUUUGCUUUUCUUUUCUUUUCCUCUCUUCUUUCUCUUCUCUUCUCUUCUCUUCUCUUCUCUCUUCCCUCUCCCUUCUCUUUUUUUUUUUUCUUUCGGUGCCCCUCCCCUGUUUUUAUAGGCAAAAACAGGGGGGUGGUGACUGUUGGGGCGGCCACUGUUGGCCGCCCCUCCACUAUCCAAGUGGCCGAAAAAGUAUGCAAGUGGCUAUUGUGGGCGUCUUUUUGAAGCCGUCGGUGAAAGAAGUUCGGCGAAAAGUGGAGAAGACAAAAAAAUUCUUCUCCCCUGUUCUCUGCGUGCGCAGGGAAGAAGACAAUGGUGCUGUUUCAAAACGGCACCGUUUUUUUUUUUUUUUUUUUUUUGCAAUAGUACAUGAAACGGCGCCGUUUUGGUCAAAACGCGCCGUUUCAUUUAAAAGGAAAAGGCGCCAAAACUUUUCAGAUUCAAAUUUCAGCCCUCAAUUUGCGCGCGUUUUGCAUUUUAGUCCUUGGUCUCGGAUUGCUUCAAUUAAGUCCCUAAUUGGCCAUUAAACUUCAAUAUUUAUGCAAUUAAGCCCCUGAUUUUACCAAAUUAACUUCCAAAAAUUAUAAUUUGACCCAGAAAAUUAAUUUCUCCUAAUUAAAGCCCAAAUUAACUCCAAAAUCAAUUUUUCUUGCAAUUAAAAUCUUCAUAAAUGCAAUUAAACCUUUAAUAAAAUUUAAUUGAGUCCAUAAACUUCUGAUUUUGCAUUUUUCUUCCACAAAUUGAAUUUUCUUUAUCAUCGGGGCUCUCAUCGGUCAAUGAUAUACUGUCAAAAAUUAAUUUUUGAUUUUUGAACAUCCUCAAAUCAAUUUUUAAGCAUUUUUAGGGCGCUUUGGCAUUUUUUCACUGUUCUAUUUUUUUGAUAAUAUAUUUUUUUGAAUUUUUUUGUAUUUUAUUAUUUUUUAUGUGGGGACCCAGAAAUGGGUUACAACAGUAUAGUGUAGCAAAAACGAGCCCCUGUUUAAAGUGCAGAAGGAUUCUUGUAGUUUCUUGCGUUUUCUCUCUGUUUCUGUUUUUUAGACUAACAUGCGUCAAUUCUUGUACAGACAGAGAAAGGAAAUAAGCAUACCUUGUUCUGAAGAAAGUGGAGCCGAUGGUGGCAGCGGCUUACUCUGUUGUUUCCUUCGUUCUGGAAAAGAAAGAGCAGAUGGUGGCUCCACUCCUCUGUUGGUGUUGAGUUUUCUGCUGGUCCUCUGUUCCUCUGUUGGUUUCGCCUCCUCCCUGUUUUCUCUCUUAUCCUGCUCACUCCCUCUGCCUCUCUCUUCUUUACACUCUAUUCUCUCUGUUCUUUUUUCUGCUGUCCUCCUCCUGUUUUCUCUUCUUCUCCCCUCUCGUUCCCCCAUUUUCUUUCUGCCCUGCUCUCCCUUCUUUGUUCUUCUUUUCUCUCUUUUUUUUUCUGCUGUCUCGUUCUCCUCCCCCCCCCUUUUCCCUCAGGUCCUUCUCCCUUUUAUAGCCAAAUCUAUGGCAUUUGUUACUGAAACGUUUCCUGUUUGCUGAAUUGGUGGAGAAGACACAAGAGAAAGCAAUGUGUGAAUGCUACAUGAUGCAUGCAAGCUCACCAAGGAAUUACAAUCUCUGGAGAAUAAUUGGACCCACGAAGAAAAGUGGAGGAUGAUAAGUCAAAUAUGGGUGGAGAUGUUGACUUAUGCAGCAUCUAAUUGUGGAUGGAAAGAGCAUGCUCAAGCACUUACACGUGGCGGGGAGCUCCUCACUCGUGUGUGCCUUCUCAUGGCCCAUUUGGGUUUAAGCGAGCAGUGGCUAACAACUGCAAGCACCAGUUCCAGGGAAGCUCAUGAUGACAUGAUGCAUAGUUUCAAGUCUUGCUCUUUUUCAGUUGGUUGCUCUUUUUCUAUGUUUGAAAUAUUGUCUUUAUUUCAUUUCAUCAUUAGUAUUGUAGUUUGGUGUGGGAUUUUCUUGUGUGAAAUUUUGUAAUUUUUUUUUAAUAAAACUACUGUCCUUGUCUACAUCAGGCUUAACACUCACUUAAAAAAAAAAAAGUUAUCUUAAUAAUGAAAAGGAAACGUUUAAAAUUACUGAAACGUUUCAGUAACAGGAAUAAAAUUAAAUUAUGUUAUCUUUUUGUUGUUUCCUUAUUAAAAUUAAUUAUUUUAAAAAAAAAUCAAAUGCCAAAUGACACUAUAAAUCUUUAAAAAACAUUAUUGUUAUAUAUAUUGAACUAUAAUAAUUUUUUAAAAUUAAAAUUUUCUUAAUUGGAUAUUUCCACAAAAUUUCAAUAAUGAAAAGGUGACAUUAACUAAUUGAAUAUGAUCUUAAGUUCACAAAUAAAUAAACACAAUAUAUCAUGUAUAAAAUCUUGAAUAAAAUAACAAAACAAAAAAACAUAAAGGUACACGCAAAAAGAAGGAUGACAUAUUUUAUUGUAUUUAUAAUUUAAAUAAAAAAAGCACAGAAAAGAAAUUCAACAAAUUAAAUUAUUAAAAAAUUUAUAAAUAAUAAUAUGAAAGAAAUAAGAGGAGAUGGGCCUAGACUUGAGCACAAAUGCGUCCAGCCUCUGUCUAGCAAGGUGAAUUUGGGCUAGCGUCCAAGUUUAUUUAACUUUUUUAACAAAAAAAGAAAAAACCAAAUUCAUACAUGAACUAUGGAUAAUUCAACGUCCACACAUCAUCUCCGUUCAUUUUCUUGCCGGAAUCUGGGAGUAUUUUGACAAGCCACGAGGCUUAACAUAAAAACUUGCAAAAGUUGAACGUAGAAAAGAUCUACUAAUCAAUCUGUCUCUUUAAAAUUUUUACAUAAACCAAUCUUUACAUAGUAGAAAACUCAAAAUCCUAAAUUAAAUUAAAAAUUAAUUAAUUAAUUAAUUAAAUAUUAAAUUAAACUUAAAAUCUAAAAUAAAACAUUAAAUAAUAAAAUUAGCUUAAAUAAUAUUUUCGAGUUUAUUUGUUAUAUAUAACCGAGAUUAUAAAAGUUUUUGAUCAAAUUUGUGUGAUCAUAUCAAAUGUUAUGGGUUUUUUUUUUUUUACCAAAUUAGUUGUAUAACAUAAAUAGAUUUUUUCUUGAGCUUCACUAUCUCCUGCUAAUUUAUAAAUAAUUUUAUCGAACUUUCUACAAAAAUCUGAUUUAGAAUAUCUAUAAUUGACUGUAAAAAUCUAUCCUCUACAUCACUAUUUUUUUUUAUUUUAAAAAUAUUUUUAAAAAAAAUUAAACAAAAUUUAUUUUAUUUUAUUUUAUUUUAAUUUAAUAAAUUUUUAAUAUUUUAACGUUUGAAAAAAAUAUUAUUUUCACUUGAAUAAUCAUAAACUCUUCUUUACUGCUUAUUGAAUUUUUAAAGGUGGCGAUGUCUGUACGACAAAUACUUCUUAUAAUUAAAAAUUUAUAAAUUUAUUUCACCAAACUAAUUUUAUUGUGCAUACAUGUUUUUUUAAAAAGAUUUUUUAGAAAUAUAAUUGUGAUUGUUUUUAAAAAUAUUUUUUAUUCUAAAAUGUAUUAAAAUGAUAUCUCAAAUUGAAAUUAAUAACAUAAAAACAAACACAUACACAGGCUCACUGAAUGUUUGACCUCAGUUUACUUAUUAUAUAUGUACAAAGGAUUUUGUUCCAGAACGGGAAGUGUUGCCAUGAAAAUCACGAGCUAAGUAGAUGCCUGCAGAAUAAAGUUUUACCUUGCGACAAAGGGAAAGUAAUUUAUUCUGGAAGAACAACAUUUCCUCUCUUUUGUAACUUGUAAGUAAUCAUCGUUCUACAGGAAUUCAUAACAAAGUUCUGUACUUGUGGUAUUAAUUCUUUCGAGCAGUGAUGGCAAAGCGAAAUAUUUGUGGAGCCAGCACCUCUAAAACAACUCGUGAAAAUUAUAGGAUUUUACGUUUCGAUUCUAAAACUUCACUUCUCUUGCGUAUGAAUCACUGAAUGAUGAGAGAAGAGAGAUUAAGUCACUAGAGAAGGGAGAGAAGGGAAAAGGAUUUUGGCCGGAUACACUUCUAAAACGAACUCAAGUUGACGGAAUAUUCUACAUACUUAAACCAGUUGACCGUUUAUCAAUCGGUCGAUCGUUUUAAUUAUUCCACCAGGUUGCUCUAUCUCUACCAGUUAACUUGUUCCUAGCUGGUCGAUCAAUUCAACUAAUUUUUAGAAAUCAAUUUACUUUCAACAUUCUUGCCAUCCAUAACAAGAGUUUGGGAUGUAAUUAAUGUAAUUAGAGCAGCUCUAAGCACAAAUCAACUUCAAUGUUAUUAAUGCUUUUAAUUUACUGCUUGUGUUUUGUUAUCUGAAGUAACCAAAACCACCACGUCUGCAAGAAGCUGAAAAUGGUCAAUUUGUUAAGAUCCAUUGUUUUCAGUAAUAAAAUGAUCUUGUUUUUCAAAUAAUUUGUGACUGUUUCUGUGUUUAGUACGUACUAGCUAGUACUCUGUUCGUUGUUGCAUUAGUUAGAUUUUGUCUCUGGUUUUUUUGGAAUCUUUACUAAAGCUGAUUUCAUUACUGGAAAAAUUAAAUUAGAUUGCACCUUUUGUUGAAGGCGAACAAAAGGACAUAUGAUGGAUAUCACCAACUUGUCCAAACGUGCUCAAGAAUUGUGGAAUGAAUGGGAGUUUCGCUCACUGAUUUUGUUAAGUCUCUUUCUCCAAAUCUUGCUCGUCAUCAUUGGAAAUCGGCGGAAGUACAGCAGUGGAAUCGGGCUCGAAUGGUUUGUCUGGAUAGCAUACUUGUCUGCGGAUUGGGUGGCAACUUUAGCAUUGGUUAUUGCUUCCCGUAGCCAAGGAGGUUUGGAAACAAAUCCCACCAAUCCGACUCCAAACGUCAUUCCAUCAUUUUGGGCACCAAUAGUCCUUGUACACCUUGGUGGCCCUGACACUAUUACUGCUUAUGCACUUGAAGACAACGAAUUGUGGUUAAGGCACAUUCUCCAGCUAGCAAUUCAAACUGCUGCAGCUUCUUAUUUCUUGUUCAAAUCAUGGGGUAAGGAUCCACUCAUAUAUAUAGCCAUUCCCGUUUUUGUUGCUGGAAUUACCAAGUAUGGGGAAAGGAUUUUGGCUCUUUGGCAAGCUAGCUCCAAGAAGUUUAGGGCCUCCGAAAUUGGAAGAAAUUUCAAUAGCGAAUUGAGAAAGAAAUUUCUAUCUGUUGGCUUAUUUGACUUGUCUAUUGGAGACGUGAAAGAAGGUUUAGAAUUUGACCUCAUAAUACCUGAGGCUGUGUAUCUCCAUGAAGCACGUUUUUUGUUUCAAAUGUUCAAGAUACUUUUCGCAGAUCUCGGCCUUGCCCAUGGUACCUAUGGUAGCUGUAUUAGGGGUGAGUAAAAAAACCGAAAAACCGAUUAAACCGAGAAAAUCGAAAAAAAAAUAACCAAAAAAACCGAAUCUAAAACAAAAACCGAUCAAACCGAUUAGAAAAAUUAAAAAACAAGCCGGUUCGAUUUUAAAAAGCUGAAACCGAAUAAACCAAACCGAACCGAACCGGUUCAAGUAAAACAAUUAAUGGUACUAUAAAUACCUACUUUUCAGCUUUCCCCUUCUCCUUUCUAAACCCUAGCCGCCACCCAUGUUUUACAAUCUUUACCUCUCAACUCAGCCCCCACCCCCAUCUUCACUCUCAACCUUUAUUGCCCAUGUUUCUUAAUCUUUAUCUCUCAGCAGAGCCCCCCCCCUCCCAUCUUCAUCUCUCAUCCCUCAACCUUUCUCACAACCCCGCAUCACAGCCCCCCAUCUUCAUCUCUUAUCUCUCAACCUUUCUCACGACCCCCCCUCAACAUCCUCAUCUCUCAUCUCUCUCAACCUUUCUUUAAGGCUUCAAGCAUAAUUUUUUUUAUCCUUUUCUUUAAGCAUAAUUGACUAAGCUCAUGGAUUAACAACCAAAUAGCAGCUCUGGAGCCUUCCUCUCUUCAAUCUUUAUCUCUUAAUUUUUGUCCUUGUUUAUUUAUUUAUUUAUUUAUUUUCUGUAGAUCUGUUAUGUAUUCAUUUUCUAUAUUUAUUUACAAGAAUGUUGAUUUGCCAUUCAUGUUGCGAUUAUUGUAAUGGAUGUUGUGAUAAAUAUUUUUUUCAAAUUUUCGUUUGAAUCUUGUUCUUUUUGGCUUCCUGAUUCAGGAAACCUGCUUGAUAUGCUUGACCAAGAUGAAAUCAGUUUUUUCUGGUUUUUCCUUUCAAUUAACCGAACCGAACCGAAAAUAAUCGGUUUGAACCGGUUUCGGUUUUGAUUUAAAAAUAAAUAAAUAAAUCGAUUUGGUUAGUUUUUUGGGUGAAAACCGGACCGAACCGGAAAUGAUCACCACAGCUGCUGUAUGGUCAGCUAUCAUAUCCUAAGUAGCAAGAAAGCCACAGAAGCCUUCAAAUUGAUAGAAGUUGAGUCGGGAUUUAUGUACGAUGUGCUUUUUACAAAGGUGAGAAGGCUCUGUUUACGGCGUACUAUUCUUCGCUCCAUCAGUUUCCUAUCUUCUACUUCUGCAUUGGUCACCUUCUCGUUAAUGAUCGCGAACAAGCAUGCCUAUCCAGAAACAGAGGUAAUUAUAUCAUACAUCUUGCUGGGUGGUGGAGUUGUUCCUGAGAUAUAUGAAGUCAUCAUGCUGCUCUUAUCUGAAUGGGCCAUGCUUCGGCUUAGCAUGCUAAGCAGGCCUUGGGCUGAUUCUGUCUAUCGAGCUGUCUAUUCUGACAGCAACAAAAGGUGGGAAAGAUAUAUGGCACAACUCGACUUUACAGAUGCUCGAAUAACCAAGAACCGAGGUUUGCGGGCGAUGGUCAUAAACUCGUUGGCAUGUAAACCAACACCCAAAGCUUGUUUUAUGAAGUUGCUAGGCAAGGAUAAAAUUCAAAGUUGGGAGGUUAUUAGUGACGAAUUAAAAGAAAAAAUUUGGGAAUACCUCUUAGAUAAACGUUUGAGAUAUGGUCAUCUAAUGCCUCAUCCUGAUCCUGGCAUGAAUGAUAUGACGGAGAUAUUGGCUGAAAGAGGUGAUCAGGUGCUGAAAAGCAUGGGAUGCUCGGAAGAAUUAUUUCAUGGGAGCCUCCUUUUAUGGCACAUUGCCACUGAUAUUUGCUACCAUGAUGAUAUUCGUAAUAACAAAGUUGAUGCAAAUAAUCAACUUUGCAAAAGGAGCAGAUCCUUAUCUAAUUACUUGUUGUAUCUUCUAAUUGAACGUCCAAAUAUGCUGCCUAAAGGGAUUAGUGAAGAACCAAUAAAGCAAACCUGCAUUCAACUCACCGAAUUCUCGUGGUGCUGGAGAUCGAAAAUAAAAACACCUACUCAUUGGGGUUCUGAAGAGUUUAUGAAUGAAAUCAAAAAAGCAGUAGGCGAUGUGUCAAUGCUACAAGCUCGCCAAGGAAUUACAAUCUCUGGAGACGCCAGAAAAGAAGUGGACCAACGAAAAAAAGUGGAGGAUGAUAAGUCAAAUAUGGGUGGAGAUGUUGACUUAUGCAGCAUCUAAGUGUGGAUGGAAAGAGCAUGCUCAAGCACUUACACGUGGUGCGGAGCUCCUCACUCGUGUGUGCCUUCUCAUGGCGUAUCUGGGCUUAAGCGAGCAGUGUCUAACAAGUGCAAGCACCAGUCCCUCUGGAAAGCUGAAGAAUAUUAUCCUAAAGAUCCAUAGUUUCAAGUCUUGCUGCUAUAAAUAAUUUUUCAGUUGCUUGCUCUUUUCUAUGUUUGAAAUAUUGUUUGAUCCAGUUUGAGAGUCUUCUUUACACGGAGACUAGUUUUAGGAGUCCUUAUUUCAUUUCAUCAUUAGUAUAUAUUAUAUUUUGGUGUGGGAUUUGCUUGUGUAAAAUUUUGUAAUUUUUUUUUAAAUAAAAAUGUUGCCCUGUGGCCUACAUCAGGCUUAGCACUCACUAACAAAAAAACAAAGAAAGAAAGAAAAAAAAAAGAGUAAUCUUAAGGAAGAUGUGAAAAAUUGAUGUAUGUCGGUAAUUACCUAAUGAAAGUUUUUGCAACACUCCCUGAUUUGGGUAACUAUAAAUCUAUCUAUCUAUGGUGGUAAUUAUAACCAUUUGAUUUUUAUAUAAAAUUUAGCAUAUAAUGAUCCAACAAUUAAAUUAAAAAUUAUCAAGCUAAUUUUAGGCUAUUCUAGUCUACUUAGACUUUCUACUAUUCCAUAGUUUACUAUUCAAAAUUAUUAGUUUUUUCAAACUUGCCUAAAUCAUUAUUAAAUAGAAAUCUUCUAUUAAAAUCAUUGUUUGAGGUUUUAAAUUAUAUAUAUUGAACUAAAAUGAUUUUUUAAAAUUAUAAUUUUUUUAAUUGGAUAUUUCCACAAAAGUUUCUUAAUUGAAAAAAAAAGGAUUAAAAUUUUCAUUGUAAGAUUUAUUUACAAUUUACAUAUCAAAGAUAAUCAAUUCAUAUUGGGAUAAGAUAUAUUUUUUAAAAAAUAUAUUGUUUGAUAGCUAAAUUUAUCUCUAUAAUGUUUCUCUAAUUUGUCCUUGCAUCUUUAAUUUGAUCAAUCUUAUCUUUAAACACAUUCUAUGAUUCUGAAUUUAUCAUUCGGCAAAAGAUAUUUAGACAAAUCCACUAAAAUUAGUCGUGAAAUUGAUAAUAAAUAUAAUUUCGACAUGUUGAUCUCUUAUAAAUACAAAAUUAACAUAUUUAAAGAAUAAAAUAAAUCUUUAAUUUUAAGAUAAAUCAUCAAAGAAUAGCAAAAAUAAAAACAUAAAUAUAGAAAAAUAGAUACUCAAAUACCAAAAUAAUUGCUAGAAAGCAUAAAUGAUCGCUAGAAAGCAUAAUUAUGAUGUAGAUGGAAACAACAAAGCAUUAACAACAAGUAUAAGCAAAAUAAAAUUCUACUAAAUAGGGUUAAUAUACAAAAACUCUCAAUUCAAAAUCUUAUUACUUAAUAUUUUCUUUCUAGUAUUUUCCUGAAAUUCAAGCUAACCAACUUUGUUUUGUCCCUUUCUAUACCUAAGCUCUUCACUGGCUUCGCCGGAUCUUGCUAAGACAAACCUUGGAUGUUGAUGGAGAAAAUCCUGCUAGAAACAGGAAGUUGGCAGAGGCAGAAUCGGCAUCUGUCUUGCCUGCUCGAAAGCCUGCCUUGGCUAGGCUGCUUUAGGUUUAGAAUAAUGGGCUCUGGGCCCUGUGGCAGUGAGAGUGGGGAUAAAUUUAAUUAUUUUACACAAUUAUUCUGGUAAUGCCUUUUUCUUCUUUACUUUGUAUAUAAAAAUAUGCAAUGAUGGAGAUGGAGAAUUGGGAUCAGCCGAAUUCUAAAACUACGGAACCAACUCCUUUCACAACUGAGAAAGAAGAUAUAGAGCAAGAACCCUAACAGUUUGGAAGAUAAGGUUUUAGUACCUGCAACACUGAAAUAACACUGAAAUAACAUAGCACUGACUGAAAUAAUUAAUCAUUUUUUCUUAGCCAAGUCCUUUAUAUAUAUAUAUAUAUAUUGGCUUCUUUUGAUCAAUAAAAUCUAUACAUUUUCGUAAAAUCUAAUGAUCAUUUCCUUAUUCAAUUCACAAAAUUACCAGCAGCUAUAACAGCACAAAUAAAUCAUAGCAACAAAGCAAACACACAUAUUUUCUCAUGGAGUCUCUCACACACACAUCAAUGUUUAUUUUCUCAUGGAGUCUCUCACACACACAUCAAUGUUCUCUUAACACCACCACAUAAUUAGACCCAAGUAAUUACAAAAUAAAAAAGAGGCAGAAGGUUUUCAUCACCAAACUUAACAUUACCAAUUGGCUAAGAAAUUGGCUCUAUUUCCAACACCCUGGAACACGCACCACACAGCCCUCCAAUACUUGCUGAUGGAGUAUCAUCGCCUUCGGAAAUCUCAUCGAUUCUUUUCUCACCUUCAAGUACACUAAUGACUUCGGAUAUGUUAGGCCUGAGAGUAGGAGACAGAUUAACACACUUCAUUGCUAACAGCAAAACAGUGAGAGCCUGCUUCCUAUUGUAACUGGAUGCUAAUUUCUUGUCCACCAAGUCAAGGAUUCUUCCCUUGUCAUGCAAAACACCAGCCUGCAAUUACAAAGCAAGAUUGGCUUAGCUCCGAGUAUUAAGGAAAUAAUCCUGACUAUUUUCUAUUCAAUAAAACACAAAUCAAGGAAUUAAAUAAUCCUAGAUAAUCAAGAAAUUAUUUCAAUCAUCCAAUUAAAGGAUACAAUCAACUAUAUUUUCUAUAAUUUAUUUUAUUUUAUUUACUUAUGUGUCUUGUUAUAUAAUUAUAUAAACUUCAUAUAGGUUGAAUAUAACACAUAUAUCAAAUUAUUGAAUAAUAAUAUCUUUUUUUGCUCGCUCUUAAUUUCUUCUUAGUAUUAGAGUGAUCUUUAAAUAUUAGCUUUUGUAUUUUCAUGAGUUGAAUGUAACACAUAUAUUAAGUUAUUUGAUGUUGACAGAACAUGUUUGGUUUGAUAAUAACUAAAAAAAAAAAAACAAAGAGUUUAUCCUGUAAGACCCACUUACAUUAUCCAGAAGAAACUCAGCUUCUUGGUUUGGUGUGUAAUCUGCACUAACUUUCCCACUAACUAUUUCGAGUAGGACAAUUCCGAAACUGUAAACAUCAGCUUUAACAGUUAUUGCUUUUCCCAUUGAAUACUCAGGUGCCAUGUAAACUCUGUGUAAUGAGAGAUUAAUUAUUGGUUAAUUAGAUCUUAAUUAAAAGAAUGGAAGUAGUUGUCAAUCAAUGAUCAUAAUACUUACCGCGACCCUUUUGCUUUGAUGGCCAUAAAUGGAUCUUCUUCAUCACAAAGCGUUGCCAAUCCAAAGUCAGACAACUUGGCCGUAAGAGAGUUAUCAAGCAAAAUAUUACUAGGUUUUAUGUUUCCAUGAACAAUCUUGAACCUUUUCUUUUCAUGUAAAUACUUCAAACCUCUCGCUAUUCCCAGACAGAUACCAAAUCUAGCUUUCCAAUCAAGUUUUGUCGUGGAAUUUGGUUCUACAAAUCAAGGUUAUUGAUAUUAAGUUAUUGAUAUUUGCAAGUACACUAUCCUUGUACUAACAGAAGAUUUAAAUAUACAAUUAAAUGAGUUUCACAAGGCAAUGCAUUAGGUGAAAGAGCAGGAUGAAAAUCGGGUGAUGGCAGUAUUACCGAACAACGCAUGGUGAAGGGAGCCUUUAUGCAUAUAGUCAUAUACUAGCAGAUGCAGGUCUUUAAUAGAAUAGCCAUCCAACAAUUGAACAAGAUUCUCAUGAUGCAAAGAUUUCAGGUUGAAGAUUUCCCUUUGUAAUUCAUCUUUUCCUUGUUGCUUUGAAUGAGGAGAAAUCUUCUUCACUGCUAAUUUUAUCUCGUUCGGCAAUUCAGCCUGUAUACACGUGAAAUCAAUUUACCAGAACUUUGAGAGAAAAAAGUGCAUGUUGAAGAACAAAUGUUUCAGAAAAGAAAAUCUGACCUUGUAUACUAUUCCAAAGCGUCCCCUGCCAAUCUCCAUUUUGGGGCUGAAUUUUCGAGUAGCAUCGAUUAUUUGUUUGAGGGUGAAAGAUUUUCCUUGGACCUCAAUGGUUAUUUCUAUUUGAAGAAAACAUCAAAGUAAGAAUUCUUAAGGUAGUGUAUGGUGCAUAAUGAUUUUAGAUUAGCAUGGAGAGGUACCAUCCAACUCGCUUUUCCGCAGCCAGCCCAUUUUCCACAUGAAAGCCAACAGAAGUAGAGGAGCAAAUACUGAACCUGCAGUAAUCCCUGUAAUUUGUGAAGGAGAUAGUCCCUUGCCACCAACUUUGAAGUCUGGAUACACAUAGUGGAAGACACCACGAAUUUUUUUAACCAGAUGAAGUGUAACAGAAAUCUUUGCUCAACAAAAAUAAAAGAAAUGCAACUCUUUACUUGCAGUUACGGAAAUGCCUGCCACAAGGGGUCCAUUCAGAGACAGGGCAGCGGUUGUAUAGGAAAAACCUGGCACCUGAAAAGAUCCUUUUCCAGCCCAGAAAAAAUGGAUAUUCAAUAGAUGAUCAUCUCCUACAUAUGCUGUGAAACUUGCAGUCCAUGUCUUAUUGGUGCCGUUGGCCAUUUCUUUUACGUUGAAGUCUUUUAGUUUCUCUUCCCCUGUAUCAAAAAUGGAUGUUGAAUGGUGGAAAUUGAAAGAAGCUGCAGAAAAUAUAGCGGUUACCUGUAUAUAUACAUCAAAAACACGUUUCCCUAAAUUCGAGUAAUCUUUAUCACUUUGGUAAACAGUUUCAGCGAAGUAAAGUUUCACAGUGUAAUUUCCUUUAAAUAAACAGAAGCCGUAAUAUGUCAGAGAAAGAGGGCAGAGGCGAGUUGAGUUGUAAAGAAGUGUCCCAGCAGAAUCACAAACUGCACAAUCCAUGUUUUUUAUGUAAUCACUGGAAUCAUAAGUUUCCGAACCAAAGUCUCCAGAACAAGAAUAAGCCCAAUUUUCUCUUGGAGCUCGAUAGUAAUUUGAUGCUGUACUGUCUGCUUCAAACACUUUCCCAUCAAAAACUGUCUCUCCUCCUCCACAAUUUAUAUACAAGGAAUCGUCUGCAAAAAAUGAAAAUUAGUACAGAAAAUCUGUCCUGCGCUAAAUUCUACAGACAAUUUUUAGAAGAGUUUCUAACAUUGCAUAUGUCAUUCCAAACCUAAGGUCAAACAAAUAAAUAAUUUAAAUGAACGACUCAGGAAUGUAAAUAUGAGCUUCUCAAUGGAACUUACACUUUGGUUUUCCCCGACAUUUAUUUUUCAAAUCCCGUAUAGAAUUCCUAGAAAUAGCAAACAAAAUUGGUAAGAAAUAACUCAUGAUCAUUUGUUCUAAAUUAAUGACACCAUAUGGAGGAUAUUAUCAUACCUGUUUGGUUGACUGCUUGAGUAGGAACAACAUGCAAGCAGUUGGUGCACAUGAUACAAAAUGAUUAGAAGUUGGGAUUUCAUAGACAAUAAUAUUCUUGCAAGUGAAAAAAAAGGAAGAAGAAAAUGAAGUUGCCGUUAUUACAUGUUCAGCUUUCCUUCUCCUUUCUUCGGACCAUCAUCAAAAUUAUUAUAUGACAAGUCCCUGCAACAUUAUUGUUUACAUAUCAAGAUUUUAUUGAGGAAAUCUACAAAAGGGAAAACAACCCAUCUGAGCAAAGAGCACAAAGCCAUAACAUACGCCUUGUCUUCAAUGGUAUCGGGAACCCAGGAAGGUACUGUGCCAUUAAGCAUAUUUCCUGUAAGAAACCUAAACAAAACAAACCAGAAUGAAAACCAUCCACCAGUUAAGCUGUUAAAGAAUAUUUUAACAGAGUGGCAGAACGAGCUUAUUAUAAGAUAUCGAGUUCAAGAAUCUCUUUUGCAUACAUCUUACUUAAUUUCAACUUUUUCAUGGAAUCUGGUAUUCCACCAGUUAAGCUGUUAAAGCUCAAGUCUCUGCAGGAUCAAUAAAAUGAAAGCAAACGUUAUCUUACAUAUUUGAUAUAUAGUUGUGCUACGGUCAAUUAUUGCAUAGUUGAUUCUGUAAACACACAAUCAAAAUCAUCAACACUUCUAUGCAUGGCCUAAAGGCCCUAAACAAUGAGCAUUUAUAGAGCUGAUGAAACAAAGUAGCCAUGACAGAACUACAAAUCCCUUUACAAAAGAGGAAAUGAAACUUACAGGUAUUUUAACGAUGACCAAUCACCGAUGUACGGGGGGAUUUCACCACUUAUUGAGCAAUUCCUUAUCACCCUACACAAACCAUUGAAGAAGUUGGUGUUUGGAUAUAUCCGAUGCAUCCAUAUCAUUAAGAGUCUCACAUACAUAAAUAUUGUAACUUCAUGAUUCUGUUAUGCCUAUAUAUAUAUUUUUUAAAAAUUCUCAAACCUGAUUCCCAGAUACAACUGGUCUUCACAGCAUGUAAUAGCUCAAGAUCAUAUAAAGAAAAAUAGGCCUAAAAAUAUAUUUACGUAAAAGAUCGAUCAUAAUCCAAAUUCUACAACAAUAACGCUCCAGACAGAUAUAAUUCUAAGUGUAUAUGGUUUUUAUUAUUUAAUUUGACUUUAUGUUACUGCUAUUUAAUUUUUGACCUAGUACUUAAAAAAAACAAUAAAUAAAUAAGAAAACACUAAAAACUAAAAAUAUAUAUAUAUUAUCUAUAUAUUUACAUUGUUUUUAGCAUUUUUAAUAUUGUCUCAAAAUAAUUUAAAUUUUUAAAGAUUUUUUUUUAAUGUGUUUGAUUUUUAACAUGUUAUUUUUUAAAUAAUUAAUUUUUCUUAUUAAGUGAUAUUACUUGUUUUUAAAAAAAUAAUAAAAAUCAAAAUUAAAAAAAAAAUUGAGAAACAAUUGAGACCUAACAAUAUUCUAUUUAUAAAUAAGAGUCACACAACACACAAUAGGGGCAAUUUUGAAAAAAAUAAAUUAAGAAACCACAAAAAAUAAUCCUAAUCCGCUCCCCUCCUCCAGCUGCCGCUCUCCAUGUCCAAGCCACAGCCGGCCCCAUCUUCUUCUCCCUCACCAAACCUUCCCUCCUGAACUAGCCGCCAGCUCGCCAAGACCAAAAGAGGGCAGAGCCGUUCACCCUGACUCUCCCCUCUCGCUGGUUGUUUCAACUUCUCCUUCUCCUUCUCCACCGCCGACCGAACCAGGUCUCCCCUCCCUCUCACGGAACCCAAGCCCAUUCUUCCCCCGGCCACAACAUCAACCUUCCAGCUCCCCACCACAACCACAAAGGCCGCCCACUGCGCUUCCUCAUCUUCCUUUCCCGAUCUCUGACAGCUGACCUAACAGCCCCAUUACCGGCCUUCACAGACCAUCCUCCACAGACCCGAACCAGGCCCUCCAGAUCCACCGAUAGUACCACCCCUCUGCUCUUUCAGCCGCCCCCAUCUCUGCUAAACCGAGACCCAGCUCUCUCUCCUUCACUCAGCCACCUCUGCCUCUCUGUAAUUCGACCACAGAUGCCAUUCCAGAUCACCCCCCUGUUUCCUGGUUUUUCUCAGCCGUUUCCAGCACUGUUCCUGAGUCUAUUUUGUAAUUUGUAGAUUUCGAAAUGUGUAUUUAAAUUAUUGUAAGCAUUUUUAAUUUUUGUUACAUUGGA